UUUCUGUUCCGGUGAAUUUCAGGCGCUCCAUAUGUCCACUUUUUAGCAAAGGUUAUGCCGAAAUUUCCUGUGAAUUUUGGCAUGACUUGUGCUAGAAAGUAGGCAUAUCGAGUGCCGGGAUUUACUGGCAAACGGCAUUCCGGCAAACCAUAGACCUUUUUUUAUGUCAUUUCUCAUUUUAUUAUAGUUUUAGAAUUAAACGAGGAGACUUAAUCAUAGGAAACAUGUCGAACAACGAAGAAACCGGCCUUCUGACCAAGAUGCAGACGAGAUGGAUUAUGAGGGUGAACAACAGUACAUUGACUUUUUGUCUGCUAAGCACAAUCAAGGUUUGCAGGUCGGCCUUGAUGAUGGUACCGACACCGACAUCGAUACCGACGGUGCCGGCACCAAUGGCGGCACCGAGAUCGGCAGGGAAGGUACCGACGGGGAAGAUACCUGCGGGGAAGGUACCAGCACCGAUGCCGCUACCAAAAGGAAGAAGCAGAAGAAGCAGAGGAUACGAAAACCUAACAAACUCGGCAUCGGACGACUAGUGAUCACAAAGAUGGCCCUUGGCAAGUUUGAGCCAUUAGAGCUGGAAGAACCUCGCAAGUGCUAUGGGAACCAAGUAGGAUGCAUCCUAUGGGAAUGUGCGAGCAUCAACGACAAUGACUUAAGGAGUAAAGAACAUUUGAGGCAGUUGCUCCUGACAAAGUUGCACGGGAGAUUCAAGUUCCCCGACCGGGAUGAUAGCAUAGAACAACCGUGGGAUGAUCCAAAGAUGAAAAAUAUUAACAAUCACGCCAUGGGCAUGUUCAACAAUGAUCUGGCCUCCUGGAAAGGGAGGGUGAAACGAGCUAUUGAGGCUGAGGAACCCCCGUCCAAGAUUCUGGAGGAAAAUUCGACACUUAUGGAAGAGGAGUUCGAAAAGUUCAAGGACACUUGCACUACCGAGGCAGCCAAGGCUAAGGCUGCGAAAUUUAAGAGCCUUUAGCAAAGCAACACGGGGAAUCAUCGCCUCUGAAGCCGUGGCUACCUUGGCAAAAGGCCCAUAUGGGAUAAGGAGGACGCAGAACGUGAAGCCGCGGGUCUCCCAGACCCCUUUGUGAAGUUCGCCAACCCCUUGGAGCGUGACUUCAUCAGGGCCCACUACAAGUGGGACAAGGAAAAGAAGGUUUUUUACACGGACCAGAUCACGAGGAAAUUGAUUAGAAUAUUGGUAAUUAUUCUUUUACCACAUUACAUUUAUCUUUUGAUCAAGUCGACUACACAUUCGUAAAUGGUUCACGUUCCUUCUGCAUGAGAAGCAACACUAGCUUGCAGCCGAAAGACCUACUUCGCCGAUGAGGCCAAGUGGGACACCCCUCUCAACUGGGCCUUGAACGAACUUAAGGGACUCCUUUGGACCAGCAGCCGCAAUAUGGACGUGUGCACGACAUCGGAGACAAUGCCGCAUGGAAGGCUUUUUACAACGAGGGCCCGGAGGCCAAGAGGCAGAAAAAGAAGUUUAGUAAGGCAGACAUCGAUGAGAAGGUGAAGCUUGCGUUCAAGAAAAAAGCAGCCGAGGAGAAAAAUGAGUUGCUACAGCAGGCAGUCGAUGCAGCUGUGCAUGCUUGCAGAAAUGAUUUUGCUACUAAGUUGAUCCCGGCUAUCAUCAACUAGACGAAGGAAAAUCCAGACAAGACGGUAGAUGAUUUCCGCAUGCCCAGUUUCGUUGGGAGCAACUCGGUGAACAACACCACCGCACCAUCACCUGCUCACCCAACCGGGCCUGCUCCCGAACCCGCACCCGCUCAUAGCAGCCCGUCCUCAGUCUCUGGUGCACUAGGCAGGCCUUCGUCUUUGGCUGAGCUCGACACCCUCACGGUAAUUACAUGUUGCACCAACAUAUAUCUAGAAUAUUCCAUUUUCAUUGCCUUUCGGAUAUUUUAUGCCGCAAACAUGUGUUUGCAAGCCGACGAAACCCCGUGCACCGUACUCUACUUGAUCAAAGGCCAGAAGGUGGACGUGGAAAAGGGGGUGAUAAUGAAGCCCUUGGAACUCAUGUUCCACGGCCAGCUGAUGCCCCAUGGGCACUUCAGGGUUACCUUGUCGAGUGUAAAAUCGAGGCACGAGGAUUUGCCUCCUCUAGUACGGCUAGGGGGAGAGGACUACGAGACCCCACUGUGGACUAGAAGCUGCAAGGGUUGGGUGCUGCUAUGGCUGAAUAAUCUUCUUCCUUUGGAGUCGGCCGAGAGCACACCAAUAACCACACAUCAACAAGUAGGUAUGGACACCACCACCCCACCUAUGCAAUUACCAGUGCCUGUAGUGCCGGGUGAGAGCGGCGGACGACGUGAUGAAGGGGGUCCAAUAGUGGCUGAUGUAAUCGCCCCCAUAUAACAAAUAAUGGAUGAUGAGAUGGAGGAAGACCUCUUCGGUUCCUCAAUACAGGCGCCUAUGAUGGUGAGUUAGAUAUGAUGAGUCAACCAUAUGAUGACUUGGGCUAUCAGCAUGCUGAUGAGGAUAUGGAUGAUCUGCCCGGGCAGGAAUGUCCUAGCAGGGUGCAAGAAGUCUCUCUUCAUGCAAUCCUCACAUGACACGCUUGAAGAUGCCGCCUCAACACAGGCUCAACUACCCGGGGGUCAUACAGUGCUUAGCCCGACAACACUGGGGCAGGGGUUAUGGAAGGGCCUGGAAGGUCAGCCCCAGAAAAAGGAGAAGAAGAGACCAGGGAAGAGAGGCUCUGCUGCCUAGAAACAAGCCAGAGCACAUAGCAGCCAGACGGCGGAUUUUGAAGAGCGUGUACCUGUCAAAGGUGCGACCAUGUUCCAUGUCAUGGGCAAGCCGAUGCUACCACAGAAACCGCUGGAGGCAAUAUCAGGGGAUCUCAGGAGACUGCACGACCAUGUUCUGUCGAUUGAGAAAAGCAUAGUAGCCUCAAAGGAUCCAGGAUAUCCGACAUAUGCGGCUCGUGUGCCUAAGGGGAAGCGCUAUGUCGACUCACGGCCCACGGAGGUGUUCUUCCUGUGGUUUGACCAUAUCUUCGAGAUGUUUCUGACAAGGCGGCUCGAUUGUACAAUCGUCCACCUUUUUGCGCUACAUAUGAGCUCUGUCAUGGAGAGAGAAGAAGUCUCGCAAAUCUGUGUGGCGAAUCUAUGCUACAUGCAUGAGUCCUUGAAUCUCGGUGACUUUGAGCGUAAAACUGCUAGGGAGUACCUUGAAAACUUCAUGGUACAGAAUAACGACCAGGAAAUAGUCUUCCUGCCUUAUCAUCCAAAGUAAGUCAGUGCCGGACAACCCUUUCGUACAUUUCAAUCAUUUCUUCUCGCUCAUAUGGAGAAUAAUUUGAGGUGUUUUUUCCCCGCAGCAACGGGCACGCCGUCCUUAUCGUUAUUUACCCGCGAGUCUUCCACGCCGUGUAUUUCGACCCUAUCAGAAACUACGAGAAGAAGGACUACAUCCACAUAAUGAAUAUUCUAGAUGUUGCUCUCCAAGGCUUCAGCUUGAGGGGUGGCCACCUAUAGAUCAGGAAACAAAGGCACAAGAAGACAGGUUUCUCGCAUAAAACUAACUUCUGCUGCAUCCAUGUCCCAAAACCAAGCAAGAACGAUGGAUUCUACCUCCUCCACCUCAUGAUGGAGUUCAGAACAGAUCACCAAAAGCUUCGCAUGACAAGCAGAAACGAUGAACAUAUCCGCGAGUGGGCAGAGUCUCUUGGAGAAGCGGAUUAUAAACUUAGAUAUACUUCUUUCGCAUCCAGAGGGACAUUGCGACGAUCAUCAUGAAAGAAGUCGUCGAUGAGAAGGAGAUGUUCCACCACGGCCCUAUAUCGCGAGCUGGCAUCCGAACUCGCAUAGGCAUAUAACGUUAGAACCUCACGCCGUUCAAGAAGCUAGGGUCCAUCCUCGAUGAUAUGGAAGGAUGGAACUUCUAGUGAUUUUUGAUGUCGACGAUGAAGAUAUUUGUCGGUUGAACUUGUAUAGUUUCUAUAGCGAUGAAACUUUGUGAUGUCCAUGGUCCCUGCCGAACUUGCGUAAUGCUACUUUGUUAGUUUGGGUACGAUGACCUGCGUACCUCUAGUUAAUUAGUUUGCAUACGAUGAAACUGCAUUCAUUAUUUGUAUGUUUACUAUAUGUUGCAUCUAGUUGCUAACCCUUUCUUUUUCGUGUUGCUCAAGUAUAUUUUGUUGCAUGUAUGAUUGUACAUUUUCUUGAUGAAGAUGCAUCUCUAACAGGUACCUAGAUUCUUGAUGGUGAUGAAGCAGUGCUAUGUCGUGUACAAAGGGAAGGUUCCGGGAGUGUACGACGAGUGGCUUGAGUGUCAGGCGCAAGUGGAGGGGGUCUCGGGCGCCAGCCAUAAAGGCUUCAAAAGCAAACAAGAAGUAGAAGCUAGUUACUUGAGGUUCACGCUAGCACGAGAGAGGACUCAUAACCACCGCCUCAUGUACUGCAUAGUUCCGCUCUCACUCAUAGUGAUAUCUCUUUUCGCGUAUAUCAUUGUUUAGAUGGAUGACGAUGUAGUUGCAAGUAUUCAAGACUUGUAUCGCUAUUUUUGAGAUGAUGAUUAUGAUCAUGACAUGAUUUGAUGAGACUAUUUGUAGGUAUAUGCUAUGAUUAUAUUUGUAUGUGUAUGAUAUGCUAGAGAUUAUUGUAUAAAGCCCUAAACAAAAUUCAGCAGCACAAAAUAUGGACCUGAAAAAAAAUCAGAAACUAAUAACAGUAGCGGGGGGUAUGGCUUUAGCAGCAACGAUGUCUUAGCAGUAGCGCUCUUUGUAGUAGGGCGCUAUAGUUAUUUGCAGCAGCGCGUGUUGGAGACGAACGCUACUGCUAUCCCUAGAUAGCAGUAGCGUGGGUCAAAUCACGCUACUAAUAAGCGCUAGCUGUAGCGCUGUAUCAGUAGCGCGGCCACCCGCCCUACUACUAAGCAUUUGAUCCGCACUACUUCUAGGCUUUUCCCUAGUAGUGAAUGUGUAGUAUAUGUCUCGUACCCCUUAAAUUAUUAUUCCCUACCACCGAUUCCCUCGAAACAAACAGACUGUUAGAGGCGCAAAAUCAUCACACCAUGGAUUCCCUUAGUAAGAUACUUGAAUUUCAUGCUGCAGUGAAGGUUGAUUUUUGGACGAAGAAUACAGAGGAUUAGAGGAACUACUAUUGGUCCUAACCUAUCUGCUUUUAUUUUCUACAGAACAAUGGGGAUUCCUAUGCAAAUUCAAACACUUUAAUCAGUAAACCAAUACAUAAAUUGGGCAAUCAAGCAACAAGCUGCGAAUAUGGAUGUGCAAAUCGGGGAACAAAUAUUGAUCCACAUGAUUCUGUAUGUAUAGGGGUACAAUCACACUUGGCAAGAUACACAUUCCCUUAAAUUAAUGCCCUACAAUCAUGGCGAUGAGUUUACAAAACUAACAAUUCUCUGGGAACGUUCCCGCAAGACAAGGUGUGUACAUAAAAGAUGCAUCUAUGUAUGUCGCUUCGACGACAUCUUCAUAACAUGGUCCACACAAGUUUCCCAAUUCUUUUAUGGUAUAAGUAUUAAAAUUUUAGGCUAGUCCCCUUCUGAAUGUUAUGCCGAGGAAUAUAACCUCUUGAUAAGGAUGAAAUCCUAGAAGAGUAGUACAAUUUUGGUAGUGCCUUUCGGCCCAGUCUUCAAUGUUGACAAUAAUGCCACUAUCGGGGUCUCGGUUGAUUUUCUCAUUGCAAUCCCACAUUGCUUGGAUGUUGUGAUCCACAAAAGGUUUUGCACGAUGUAAGGUCCAUGGUCCAUGUUCAUCAUAUUUCAGAGGUGGUAGCACAUAACGACGGUCACCAUCACGUAGAUCACACUUGAGGUGGCAUCACACAACGAAGGUCAGUGCUAUGCUUCAAAACUCACUCCGUUUGACAAUGUGAUUGACUAAGGAACCAAACCUGAAGGACGUUGAUCUUGACAGAUGCGCAGCACACCCCAUGCUCCGAUCUUCCAAGAUAAAUAUUUGGAUAUUUACCCUGUUCCAUAUCUUUAGUUGGUUUGAUCACCCAGUACUUGCGAGUUGACAAUGAUAUGCUUUGAAAGGAAAGUCAUUUUGUUAGACAGACAAUAGUAAAAAAUGCAUGCACGUGAAUAAUAACAUCAUAAUAGAGUGAUCUUUUCUCAAGAAGGAAGUACUUACCCCGUCACAGAAUUAUUUUCACAUUGUGUAUAAAGUGUUCCUUGCCAGUAGGCGGCGUAUCGCUUUUUUGCCGUGAGUCUACCCACAUGCCUGCAACCGUCCCCGCAGCGUCCCCUUCCCGAAGAAAGGUCUUCUCCUCCCAUCAUCCCGUUUGCGAUGAGAAGACAUGAAGGGCGUAUCGUGAUGGUGGCCACUCCGAGCCCUCUAUCUCUGGUUCCUUGAACUUAAUGUAACUUGGAAGGUAACAAAUGCGAGGGACAGCAAAAACUUUGUAGUGCGGAGAUACCACCGGAUCAAACACAAUGUACUUGUUAGUGUAGAAGAAACGUGUUCCCAUCAACGCACCGGGGCAUUUGGGCAAGUGAGCCAACUGUCCUGUGGCAGGGUUAACCACGCUGUCGUGAACUACAAGAAGGCCAUUGCAGUGAUCGCUGACAUAGAUGGUUGGAUCGCGGAGGUGGACCAGCUUGCCGGAGACAGCGUGGUCGAGGUUGGCUGAGGUUGCUGCCCCCCUGGAUGGGCGGGAGAGAAACCGCGACGACCUGAGAUCGUACAAAUUUAGGAUGAUGUUGUCCAUCGAGUGUGGGAGGUCUAGCUGCAACAGGCUGUGCGUGUCGAUGACGUCCCGCCAUGCCUUGCAGACGCAGUGGGGCGCGGCGAGACCAUGUGGAGGAAGUCGGCGGAGGGCGUCCAUGAGCAUGUCUUCAGGCAGCAGCAGCACCGUUGGGUCUUCAUGUUGCUCCAUUGUUUUCAUCCUUGGAGGACCCAGAACCGAUUUUUUUUCUUGGUCCCUCGGAGGCUUUCUCUUGGGAAAUAAUCCAAACGUGGGUGCAGCUACAUACCGGCUAUGCCUUCUCCCCGAUCGCAGAUGUUUCAGGUACCAGAGCCUCGUUGAAUUCAUUAGGCUUAAUCACGAUGUGUACGGCUGUGUCCGAGUAGGAUUUGGGAUGUUCUCUGAUUCGAUUUUUUUUGAAAAGGAGGUCAUCCCCGGCCUCUGCAUCGGAAAGAUGCAUGCAGCCACUUUAUUAGAUCAUGUCCAACAAAAAAAGUCUAUUCUGCAAAGUACAACUCACAAAAGGAGCAUAAGAAAAAGUAAACAACUGAAAGCCACAACCGGUUGGACGAAAGGACACUAAGGACCUAUCUAUUAUGCGACCGCCAUCCAAACUGGUUGAAAAUAGCCCGUGCUACCAUCUCCCACCUGUUGCACCCAGUAUCCAGAAGCUCCCUGGAGGCCGUAGGAGUUAGUAACGACCACGUACGGAUCCAUGCCAUAGCCCUAAAGAUAACCUGCAAGAAGUUAAUCAUAGAUAGUCUGUUAAAAAUCAUAUCAUUCCUGCAGUUCCAUAUAGCCCAAAGAAGUGCGCAUAUUCCAGUCCGAAUAAUAGACGUAAUAUGAGUAGUCACUCCAUUUAGCCACGUCCCAAACAACGCUUCAAUGCUAUCUGGAGGGAUAAUGUUAAAGGCUAUAUGAACAGACCACCAAAGUAACUUCACGAGAGGGCAAUCAAGAAAUACAUGUUCGAUUGUUUCAUCGUGAACACAAAAACAACAGCGCGAACUGCCUACCCAUCUCCACUUUAAUAAGUUAUCUUUGGUAAGGAUCACCUACUUGUGUACAAACCACAUAAAAAUCUUAAUUCGCAAGGGAACCUUAACUCUCCAAAUGUGGAUUGAUCGUGGGAUUGGGCCAGAAUUUAUGAGAUCUAAGUACAUUGAUUUGACCAUGAACUCACCAUUACCCGUUAGCUUCCAAAUCAAAGUAUCUCCCUGAUCUGAGAGUUGAACGCCCAUCAACCUCCUUACUAAGUGUAACCAGGAGUUCCAUUGUUCACCUACUAGAGACCUCCUAAACUGGAUAUUCAAAGGUACCGUCUGCAAAACCAUUGCUACGUAAUCCUCCUUACGUUGAGCAAUAUGAUACAGGGAAGGAUAUCGGAGAGCUAGCGGUGUGUCGCCUAACCAUGUAUCCUCCCAAAACCUUGUUGUUCUUCCAUCCCCAACAAUGAAUUUCACCCUAUGGAAGAAUGUUCUUUCACUCUCAUGAGUCCCUUCCAAAAUGGUGAAUCAUUAGGUCUUACGGUAACCUGGGCAAGAGUUUUAGAGUGAAAAUAUUUAUUUCUAAGGAUUUGUGCCCACAUACCCUCGGAUUCCUGUGAUAACCUGUAUAGCCAUUUGCUCAACAGGCAUUUAUUUUAACCUCAAGGUUCUCGAUCCCAAGACCCCCCUGGUCUUUUGGUCGACAAAUAAUAUCCCAUCUUGCUAGGCGAUACUUUGUCUUAACCUCGUCUGACUGCUAGAAAAAACGAGAUCGAUAGAAGUCUAAUCUCUUGCGUACCCCUUUGGGCACCUCAAAAAAGAUAGAUGGAACAUUGGCAUACUCGUGAGUACCAAAUUUAUCAAUACUAGACAUCCUCCAUAAGACAUAAGCUUACCCUUCCAGCAGCUUAGUUUCUUCUUGAAUCGAUCCUCGAUACAUUUCCAUUCUUUAUAAGUUAAUUUCCUAUGGUGAAUUGGAAUGCCUAGAUAACUGAACGGUAAUGAUCCCAGUUGACAACCGAACAGUUGCUUGUGUUGGGGAACGCAGUAUUUCAAAAAAUAACCUACGAUCACGCAAGAUCUAUCUAGGAGAUGCAUAGCAACGAGAAGGGAGAGUGUGUCUACAUACCCUCGUAGACCGAAAGCGGAAGCGUUUAUCAAUGCGGUUGGUGUAGUCGUACACCUUCCCGAUCCAUCCCGAUCAAGUACCAAACAUACGGCACCUCUGUGUUUAGCACACGUUCAGCUCGAUGAUGUGCUCGCCUUCUUGAUCCAGCAAGAGGGGCGAAGUAGUAGAUGAGUUCCGGCACCACGACGGCGUGGUGACGGUGUUGCUGAAGAACAAUCUCCGCAGGGCUUCGCCUAAGCACUAUGAAAACUAUGAUGUAGAAUGAACUAGAGGGGACGGGGUUGUCGGCACACGGCUUGGUGUUUCUUGAACUCUCUUGGGUGCUAGCCCUGCCCCUCUAUUUAUAUGUUGAGCCUUGGGAUCGAAACUUGGAGUAAAAGUCUCCACAAAGUCGGUUUCACCCGAAAGGCAAGAGUCCUUCUCGGACUCUAGGGCCAGACGCCAGGGUUCCCGGCGUCUGGACCCAGACGCCACGGACCCUGGCGUCUGGCCCCUCGACUCCGCAAAACAUUCUUUUGCGCUUUCCAAAAAUCUUGUGGGCUUUCCCUUUUGGCCCAAAUAAAGUGUUCUCGUACCCAAAUGAUACGUCCAUUUUGCAUCAUGUUUUCUUACUAUUAUUUAUAUUGUUUUUAUCCAUAAUAAUGCUUUUUGGAGUAAUUCUAAUGCAUUUUCUCUCAUAAUUUGCAAGGUACACACCAAGAGGGAGAAUUCUGGUAGCUGGAAAUCUGGACCUGAAAAGGCUACGUCAGGCCACCUAUUCUGCACAACUCCAAACAAGAUGAAACUUUACGAAGAUAUUUUAUGGAAUAUUUAAGAAAUAUUGGAGCAAAUAACUACCAGAAGGGGCUCACCAGGUGGGCACAACCCACCUGGGCGCGCCAGGGAGCCCAGGCGUGCCCUGGUGGGUUGUGCCCUCCUCGGCCCACCUCUGGUGCCCAUCUUCUGGUAUAUAAGUCAUUUUUACCUAGAAAAAGUAAGGAGAAGACUUUCAGGGUGGACCGCGCCGUCUCGAGGCGGAACUUGGGCAGGAGCACUUUUACCCUCCGGCAGAGCUAUUCUGCCGGGGAACUUCCCUCCCGGAGGGGGAAAUCAUCAUCGUCAUCAUCACCAACAACUCUCCCAUCAUGGGGAGGGCAAUCUCCAUCAACAUAUUCAACAACACCAUCUCAUCUUAAACCCUAGUUCAUCCCUUGUGUUCAAUCUUGUUACCAGAUCUAUAGAUUGAUGCUUGUGGGUGACUAGUAGUGUUGAUUACAUCUUGUAAUUGAUUACUAUAUGGUUUAUUUGGUGGAAGAUUAUAUGUUCAGAUCCAUUAUGCAUAUUAAUACUCCUUUGAUCAUGAACAUGUUUAUUAUUUGUGACUAGUUACUUUCGUUCUUGAGGUCACGGGAUAAAUCAUGUUGCAAGUAAUCAUGUGAAUUUAAUAUGUGUUCGAUAUUUUGAUGGUAUGUAUGUUGUGAUUCCCUUAGUGGUGUCAUUUGAACGUCGACUACAUGACACUUCACCAUAUUUGGGCCUAAGGGAAUGCAUUGUGGAGUAGUAAAUAGAUGGUGGGUUGCGAGAGUGACAGAAGCUUAAACCCUAGUUUAUGCGCUAUUUUGAAGGCACCUAUUGGACCCAAAAGUUUAAUGCUAUGGUUAGAAUUCAUUCUUAAUACUUUUCUCGUAGUUGCGGAUGCUUGCGGGAGGGUUAAUCAUAAGUAAGAGGUUUGUUCAAGUAAGAACAGCACUUAAGCACUGGUCCACCCACAUAUCAAAUUAUCAAAGUAGCGAGCACAAAUUAAACCAACAUGAUGAAAGUGACUAGAUGAAAUUCCCGUGUACCCUCAAGAACACUUUGCUUAUCAUAAGAGACCGUUUUGGCCAUUCCUUUGCCUCAAAAGGAUUGGGCUACCUUUCUGCACUUUUGUUACUACCAUCGUUACUUGCUUAUUACAAAUUACCUUGCUAUCAAACUACUCCGCUACUUACAAUUUCAGCACUUGCAGACACUACCUUAUUGAAAUCUACUUGUCAUUUCCUUCUGCUCCUCGUUGGGUUCGAUACUCUUACUUAUCGAAAAGAGCUACAAUUGAUCCCCUAUACUUGUGGGUCAUCAAGGCUAUUUUCUGGCACCGUUGCCGGGGAAUGAAGCACCUUGGUAAGGAAACAUUUAUAUAGUGUGCUGAAAUUUAUUGUCACUUGCUACUAUGGAAAACAAUCCUUUGAGGGGUUUGUUUGGGGUAUCUUCACCUCGUACGGAACCACAAUUAAUUGCCCCUCAACCUAUUGCACCUACUGAAAAUAUUGAAUAUGAAAUCCCUUUGGGUAUGAUAUAACAACAGCUAGCUAAUCCUUAUGCAGGAGAUAGAACCGAACAUCCUGAUAUGCACUUGAUAUAUGUAGAACAAAUUUGUGGAUUGUUCAAGCGUGCAGGUUUACCCGGAGAUGAAGUGAUGAAAAAUGUUUUCCCUUUAUCUUUGAAGGGAAAAGCAUUGGCAUGGUAUAGGCUAUGCGAUGAUAUUGGAUCAUGGAAUUGGAAUCGUUUGAAAUUGGAGUUCCACCAAAAAAUUAUCCUAUGGAUCUAGUUCAUCAUGAUCGAAAUAUUCUAUAUCUAAAUAGAGGCACCCCACUAUGUGAUUUUUCUGCCUUCUCAUGAGGCCACAUCACUUCAAUUGUUAUAGCCAUUGAUUCACUAAUGGUUAGGAGUGUGUAGCCAUCAGAUCAAAGAUUGAGCAAAUUUACUAAGAGCUGUCACCGCUAAGUGAAAUAUCGUUCCGUUAUUCUAUUUUCCAGCCCUAUCGCUAGCUGCCCUUUUUUUCCUGAGACACCGUGCCGCUCGCUCGCUGCUAAGCUUCCAGACUCGACUUUUUUGCUUGGGCUUUAUGCGUAUACUUCACCAAAACUGUACACUAGAAAGUCCAUUGAAAGCCCAUUGGCGACAGCCAUGACCAACCCUUUCUUCCGCGAAGCCGCCGCCACCAGCAUCCUUUCCGGCGACUGUGCGAGCACCCACCCAUCCCCGUCCAUCCGCUGCCGCCCCUCCUGCCCUCCCAGCAGCGGCCACCACCCUGUCUUACCUCCAGCCAGCCGUCCAUGCGAACCCUUUCGCCCUCAUCGCCGACGCUCCAGAGAUGCAUCAUCCAGCUGCUGCCAGCCUGCCACCAUGGAUUCCGCCGCCACGGCUCCUCCUCCCGCCAGUCACCGCAGGUGACCUUACGCCGCCACGCCCAACGGCCCCACUGGCAGUGACCGCCGCUAGACCUUCCGUCGCUGCACACAUGAGCAUUAACUCUAGCAAAUUUGUUCAUAUUCCUCACUUUUAUGUCGCAAUCUUCCACCUCCGUGCCACAAAUGCACAUGAAACGGCCUCGCACCAUGCAAUUUACGGCCCUCAUUAUCUUCUGCUUGAGUAACUGAUGCAGUGGUUUUCCCUUAAAGAGGCAUGUUUCCAUCGUCUCCAUAGCUUCCCCCCAUCGCAUGCUGCUACCGUGAAUACUAUCCGGGAGCAUCUGUAGUCCUCGCCAUCGGCAGCCACCGGUUUCAGUCCCCUCUCCCGUGUAGUACAGAUGCCUUUUGUUGUUUGUGGCAGUACAUAUGCAAAAUUGCGGAUCACCUCCUCACGGUGGCCUUGCACUUGGUAAGCACUAAGAAGGCCGUUAAUUCAAUCCAAUCAUGGAUGGAUAUGUCUUAUCCCUCUUAUUUUUCCUGUAAGAUACAUACUGAAUUAUGUACAACUUCAGGUAUCCAAGUCACGGUAAUUACAUCACAAGUUUUUUCUUUUACCAUGGGCUACUAUAUUGAGUGAUUUCAGAUCCUGAUGCUAUUUGUCGCUUAUAUAGCCUUUUGACUAUGUUCAGAAGCAUACAAUUUCAGUCCUUGAGCCAUAUUCUUAUCUUCACUCACGUUGUUGGUUGUGCUUCCUAACAUACUAUAAUUUUAGGCAACUGCAAUUAACUUAUCUAAAAUUCUAAAUCAUCAUGUGGUGUGUUCAGGACCUGUUGAUGGUGAUGUAGGACACGGCGUCAGGUAUACUCCAAGAUUUUCUGCUAUCAAAUAGAUAAGGCACUGUGUUGCAGUUCAGGAUUGCUAAGAGCCUAAGAAUAUGGUCGACGCUACAAUUACUAUAUAAUUAUAAUUCAAUAUAUAUUUAUACAAAAAAUUACAAUUCCCAUUUCAUUGCAUGUAAAUGAAGUCCAUAUAAUUGCUUGCAAUUGUUAUCAUCUUUAUGACAUGUUUGUUACUCAAAAAAUAUGCAACAAAGUCCUGCAGCAACGCGCGGGGCAUCACCUAGUUAUAUAUAUAAUUUGUGGCCUCGUGAAGGAGAAAGUAUCGCUCUAGCUUGGGGGAGGCUUAAGUCAAUGUUAUAUUCAUGCCCCAAUCAUGAGCUCUCAAGAGAAAUUAUUAUCCAGAAUUUUUAUGCUCGGCUUUCUCGUAAUAAUAAAACCAUGCUGGAUACUUCUUGUGCUGGUUCUUUUAUGAAGAGAACUAUUGAAUUCCGGUGGGAUAUUUUGGAAAGAAUUAAACGCAACUCUGGAGAUUGGGAACUCGACAAAGGUAAAGAGUCAGGUAAAAGCUUAAGUUUGAUUGUGUUAAAUCUUUUAUGGACACCGAUGCUUUUCAAAAGUUUAGCACUAAGUAUGGACUUGACUCUGAGAUAGUAGCAUCCUUUUGUGAAUCAUUUGCUACUCAUGUUGAACUCCCUAAAGAGAAGUGGUUUAAGUAUCACCCACCUAUUAAAGAUGAAAUCAAAGAACCAGUACCCGUUAAAGAAGAAACUAUACUCUAUAAUGUUGAUCCAGUUGUUCCUACUGCUUAUAUUGAGAAACCCCUUUUCCUGUUAGGAUAAAGGAACAUGCUAAAGUCUCAACUAUGGUUAACAAAAGCUAUAUAUGUUAGAACACCUAAACAAGAUGAACAAAUUAGAGUGGAACCUAAUGUUGCUAUGGUUAAAGAUCCCUUGGAAGAAGAUGUUGGGGAACGUAGUAAUUUCAAAAAAAUUCCUACGCACACGCAAGAUCAUGGUGAUGCAUAGCAACAAGAGGGGAGAGUGUGUCCAUGUACCCUCGCAGACCGAAAGCGGAAGCGUUAGAACAAUGCGAUUGAUGUAGUCGUACGUCAUCACGGCCUGACCGAUCAAGCAACGAAACUACGACACCUCCGAGUUCUAGCACACGUUCAGCUCGAUGACGUCCCUCGAACUCCGAUCCAGCCGAGUGUCGAGGGAGAGUUCCGUCAGCACGACGGCGUGGUGACGAUCUUGAUGUUCUACCGUCGCAGGGCUUCGCCUAAGCACCACUACAAUAUUAUCGAGGAGGACUAUCGUGGAGGGGGGCACCGCACCCGGCUAAGAGAUCGAGAGAUCAAUUGUUGUAUCUAGAGGUGCCCCCUGCCCCCGUAUAUAAAGGAGCCAAGGGGGAGGGGGCGGCCAGCCAAGGAGGGGCGUGCCAAGGGGAGUCCUACUCCCACCGGGAGUAGGACUCCCUUCUUUCCUAGUUGGAAUAGGAGAAGGGGGAAGGAGGAGGGAGAGAGGAAGGAAAGGGGGGCGCCGCCCCCCUCUCCUUGUCCUAUUCGGACUAGGGGGGCACGCGGCCCAGCCCUUGCCUCCUCUCCUCCUCUCCACUAGGGCCCAUGUAGGCCCAUUAAGCCCUGGGGGGGGGUUCCGGUAACCUCCCGGUACUCCGGUAAAAUCCUGAUUUCACUCGGAACACUUCCGAUAUCCAAAUAUAGGCUUCCAAUAUAUCAAUCUUCAUGUCUCGGCCAUUUCAAGACUCCUCGGCAUGUCCGUAGUCACAUCCGGGACUCCGAACAAACUUCGGUACAUCAAAACUCAUAAACUCAUAAUAUAACUGUCAUCGAAACCUUAAGCGUGCGGACCCUACGGGUUCGAGAACUAUGUAGACAUGACCUAGAACUGUUUUUGGUCAAUAACCAAUAGUGGAACCUGGAUGCUCAUAUUGGCUCCUACAUAUUCUACGAAGAUCUUUAUCGGUCAAACCGCACAACAACAUACGUUGUUCCCUUUGUCAUCGGUAUGAUACUUGCCCGAGAUUCGAUCGUCGGUAUCUCAAUACCUAGUUCAAUCUCGUUACCGGCAAGUCUCUUUACUCGUUAUGUAAAGCAUCAUUCCGUAACUAACUCAUUAGUUACAUUGCUUGCAAGGCUUAUAGUGAUGUGCAUUACCGAGAGGGCCCAGAGAUACCUCUCCGACAAUCGGACUGACAAAACCUAAUCCCGAAAUACGCCAACUCAACAUGUACCUUUGGAGACACCUGUAGAGCUCCUUUAUAAUCACCCAGUUACGUUGUGAUGUUUGGUAGCACACCAAGUGUUCCUCCGGUAAACGGGAGUCGCAUAAUCUCAUAGUUGUAGGAACAUGUAUAAGUCAUGAAGAAAGCAAUAGCAACAUACUAAACGAUCAAGUGCUAAGCUAAGGGAAUGGGUCAUGUCAAUCACAUCAUUCUACUAAUGAUGUGAUCCCGUUAAUCAAAUGACAGCUCAUGUCUAUGGUUAGGAAACAUAACCAUCUUUGAUUAAUGAGCUAGUCUAGUAGAGGCAUACUAGUGACAAUAUGUUUGUCUAUGUAUUCACACAUGUAUCAUGUUUCCGGUUAAUACAAUUCUAGCAUGAAUAAUAAACAUUUAUCAUGAUAUAAGGAAAUAAAUAAUAACUUUAUUAUUGCCUCUAGGGCAUAUUUCCUUCAGUCUCCCACUUGCACUAGAGUCAACAAUCUAGUUCACAUCACCAUGUGAUUUAACACUAAUGUUCACAUCUGCAUGUGAUUAACACCCAUAGUUCACAUCGUCAUGUGACCAACACCCAAAAGGUUUACUAGAGUCAAUAUCUAGUUCACAUUGCUAUGUGAUUAACACCCAAAGAGUACUAAGGUGUGAUCAUGUUUUGCUCGUGAGAGAAGCUUAGUCAACGGGUCUGUCACAUUCAGAGCCGUAUGCAUUUUGCAAAUAUUCUAUGUCUGCAAUGCUCUGCACGGAGCUACUCUAGCUAAUUGCUCCCACUUUUAAUAUGUAUCCAGAUUGAGACUUAGAGUCAUCUGGUUUGGUGUAAAAGCUUGCAUCAUUGUAACUUUUACGACGAGCUCUUUUAUCACUUCCAUUAUCGAGAAAUAUUUCCUUAGUCCUCACUAAGGAUAUUCUUGACCGCUGUCUAGUGAUCUACUCUUAGAUCAAAAUUGUACUCCCUUGCCAAACUCGGAGCAAGGUAUACAAUAGGUCUGGUACACAACAUAUCAUACUUUAUAGAACCUAUGACUGAGGCAUAGGGAAUGACUUUUCAUUCUCUUUCUAUUUUCUGCCAUGGUCGGGUUUUGAGUCUUACUCAACUUGACACCUUGGAACACAGGCAAGAACUCCUUCUUUGACUGUUCCAUUUUGAACUACUUCAAAAUAUUAUUAAGGUAUGUACUCAUUGAAAAAUCUUAUCAAGCGUCUUGAUCUAUAUCUAUAGAUCUUUGAUGUUCAAUGUGUAAGCAGCUUCACCGAGGUCUUUCUUUGAAAAACUCUUAUUCAAGUAUCCUUUUAUGCUUUCCAGAAAAAAUCUACAUUAUUUCCGAUCAACAAUAUGUUAUUCACAUAUACUUAUCAGAAAUGUUGUAGUGCUCCCACUCACUUUCUUGUAAAUACAGGCUUCACCGCAAGUCUGUAUAAAACUAUAUGCUUUGAUCAACUUAUCAAAGCGUAUAUUCCAACUCUGAGAUGCUUGCACCAGUCCAUAGAUGGAUCGCUGGAGCUUGCAUAUUUUCUUAUCACCUUUAGGAUUGACAAAACCUUCUGGUUGCAUCAUAUACAACUCUUCUUUAAGAAAACCAUUAAGGAAUGCAGUUUUGACAUCCAUUUGCCAGAUUUCAUAAAAUGUGGCAAUUGCUAACAUGAUUUGGACAGACUUAAGCAUCACUACAGUUGAGAAAAACUCAUUGUAGUCAACACCUUGAACUUGUCGAAAACCUUUUUGCGAUAAGUCGAGCUUUGUAGAUAGUAACACUACUAUCAGCGUCUGUCUUCCUCUUGAAGAUCCAUUUAUAUAAUAUUGCUUGCCGAUCAUCGGGCAACUCCACCAAAGUCCACACUUUGUUCUCAUAUAUGGAUCCCAUCUCAGAUUUCAUGGCCUCAAGCCAUUUCGUGGAAUCUGGGCUCAUCAUCGCUUCCUCAUAGUUCGUAGGUUCAUCAUGGUCUAGUAACAUGACUUCCAGAAUAGGAUUACUGAGGGAGUCCUGGACUAGGGGGUGUCCGGACAGCCGGACUAUCAUCGUCCGCCGGACUCCAAGACUACGAAGAUACAAGAUUGAAGACUCCGUCCCGUGUCCGGAUGGGACUUUCCUUGGCGUGGAAGGCAAGCUUGGAAAUACGGAUAUGUAGAUCUCCUACCAUUGUAACCGACUCUGUGUAACCCUAGCCUCCUCCGAUGUCUAUAUAAACCGGAGGGCUUUAGUCCGUAGGACAACAUACAUUACAACAAUCAUACCAUAGGCUAGCUUUAGGGUUUAGCCUCCUUGAUCUCGUGGUAGAUCCACUCUUGUACUACCCAUAUCAUCAAUAUUAAUCAAGCAAGACGUAGGGUUUUACCUCCAUCGAGAGGGCCCGAACCUGGGUAAAAACAUCGUGUCCCUCGUCUCCUGUUACCAUCCGCCUAGACGCACAGUUCGGGACCCCCUACCCGAGAUCCGCCGGUUUUGACACCGACAUUGGUGCUUUCAUUGAGAGUUCCUCUGUGUCGUCACCGAUAGGCCCGAUGGCAUCUUCAACCAGCAACGCUUUCCAGGACGAGACUUUUCUCCCCGGACAGAUCUUCGUGUUCGGCGGCUUCGCACUGCGGGCUAACUCGCUUGGCCAUCUGGAGCAGAUCGAAAGCUACGCCCCUGGCCGUCAGGUCAGAUUCGGAAGUCUAAACUUCACGGCCGAUGUCCGUGGAGACUUGAUCUUCGACGGACUCGAGCCACAGCCAAGCGCGCCGCACUGUUACGAUGGGCAUGAUCUAGCUCUGCCGCUGGACAGUGCCUUGGUGGCCGCACAUGAAUCCGCUUCGGCCUUUAGUCCGGAGCCGAUCGCCCAGACCGAGGAUUGGUGGAUGGACACCGCCUUGGGGGCUCCAACUUCCACGACGAUGGAGCCGAACGCUAAUCUUGUCCCCUGCGAAACUCGUGAUUCCGAGGUUCUGGACUCCUUGCCGGACUCCGAACCUCCCGCGCCCCUACCAAUCGAUUCGGAUUGGGCGCCGGUUAUGGAAUUCACCGCCGCGGACAUCUUCCAACACUCGCCCUUUGGCGACAUCCUAAAUUCGCUAAAGCACCUCUCAUUAUCGGGAGAGUCCUGGCCGGACUAUGGCCAGGAUGGUUGGGGUACGGACGACAAAGAAAUUCAGAGCCCACCCACCACCCACUUUGUAGCCACUGUCGACGAUCUAACCGACAUGCUUAACUACGACUCCGAUGACAUCGACUCUAUGGACGACGAUGCCGGAGACGAACAGGAACCAGCGCCUACAGGGCACUGGAAGACCACCUCGUCAUACGACAUAUACAUGGUGGACACCCCAAAAGACGGGGACGGCGAAGAAGCAGCGGAGGCAGACUCUUUAAAGAAGCAGCCCAAACACCAGCGUCAGCGGCGCCGCUCUAAAUCCCGCCACAGCAAGAAUGGAGAUUCUGGCACAGGAGAUAAUAAUACCCCAGAGAGUGCCGAAGACAAUCCCCUCCAGCAAGACUCAGCGCAGGAGGAUGCAGAAGCAAGCCCUCACGAGAGGGCGGCAGACGAAGAGGUUGAGGAUCAUAACUAUAUGCCUCCCUCCGAAGACGAAGCAAGCCUCAACGAUGACGAAUUCGUCGUACCUGAGGAUCCCGUCGAACAAGAGCGUUUCAAGCGCAGGCUUAUCGCCACAGCAAACAGCCUAAAAGCAGCAACAGCUUCAAGCUGAUCAGGACCUGCUGGCCGAUCGAUGGACCGAGGUCCUCGCGGCCGAAGAGUAUAAACUCGAACGCCCCUCCAAAAGCUACCCAAGACGCAAGCUACUCCCCCAUUAGAGGAGGAAGCAUACACACCUCCAUCACCAGCGCACGAUACGGCUGACCGACCACCCCGUGGUCGUGACAGAGAGGCAUCCAGGCCCCCAGCCAAGACCGUACCCCGGCAUCGCUCCAAAAGUAUGAAGCCAAGAGGGAAUGCGCCGGACUUGCGAGACAUAUUGGAGGACAAAGAAAGGCAAUCCAGAUCCAUCUACGGAUCACGUGGGCGCCCCACAACCCAUGACGAAUACCGUCGCGCCGGAUACAAUAACCCCGGCCGGGCCGAACACAGCAGACAACACUCUCUCGAGCUGCGUCGUGAUAUUGCCCAAUGCAGAGGCACCGCACACCCACUGUGCUUCACUGACGAAGUAAUGGAUCAUCAAAUCCCUGAAGGGUUUAAACCCGUAAACAUCGAAUCCUACGAUGGCACAACAGACCCCGCGGUUUGGAUCGAAGAUUAUCUUCUCCACAUCCAUAUGGCCCGCGGCGACGAUCUCCACGCCAUCAAGUAUCUCCCACUCAAGCUUAAAGGACCAGCUCGGCAUUGGCUCAACAGCUUUCCCGCAGAGUCAAUUGGGUGUUGGGAAGACCUGGAAGCCGCAUUCCUCGACAACUUCCAGGGCACGUACGUGCGACCACCAGAUGCCGAUGACCUAAGCCACAUUAUUCAGCAGCCAGACGAAUCGGCCAGACAAUUCUGGACACGGUUCUUGACAAAGAAAAACCAAAUCGUCGACUGUCCGGAUGCAGAGGCCCUUGCAGCCUUCAAACAUAACAUCCGGGACGAAUGGCUAGCCCGGCACCUGGGACAGGAAAAGCCGAAAUCCAUGGCAGCCCUCACAUCAUUAAUGACCCGCUUUUGCGUGGGAGAGGACAGCUGGCUAGCUCGCAGCAACAAUCUCCGUAAAAAUUCUGGCAGUCCGGAUACUAAGGACAACAACGGCAGGUCACGUCGAAACAAAAACAAACGCCGCAUUAACGGCGACGAUAAGGAGGAUACGACAGUCAACGCCGGAUUCCGAGGCUCUAAACCCGGUCAGCGGAAGAAGCCAUUCAAAAGAACCACUCCGGGUCCAUCCAAUUUGGACCGAAUACUCGACCGCUUAUGCCAGAUACAUGGCACCCCUGAAAAACCAGCUAAUCACACUAAUAGAGAUUGCUGGGUGUUCAAGCAGGCAGGCAAGUUAAUUGCCGAAAACAAUGACAAGGGGCUAAACAGCGACGACGAGGAAGAGACCCGACCGCCAAACAAUAGAGGACAGAAGGGUUUUCCCCCACAAGGUCGGACGGUGAACAUGAUUUACACGACCCAUAUACCCAAGAGGGAGAGGAAGCGCGCACUAAGGGAUGUCUACGCGAUGGAGCCAGUCGCCCUGAAGUUCAACCCAUGGUCCUCUUGUCCAAUCACUUUCGAUCGAAGAGACCAUCCGACUAGCAUACGCCAUGGCGGAUUCGCCGCAUUGGUUUUAGACCCAAUCGUCGAUGGAUUUCACCUCACGAGAGUCCUGAUGGACGGCGGUAGUAGCCUGAACCUACUUUAUCAGGAUACAAUGCACAAAAUGGGCAUAGACCCCUCAAGGAUUAAACCUACAAAGACAACCUUUAAAGGUGUCAUACCAGGAGUGGAAGCCAACUGUACAGGCUCAGUCACACUGGAAGUGGUCUUCGGAUCCCCGGAUAAUUUCCGGAGCGAGGAGUUAAUCUUCGACAUAGUCCCAUUUCGCAGCGGCUAUCACGCUCUGCUCGGACGAACCGCGUUUGCAAAAUUCAACGCGGUGCCGCAUUAUGCAUACCUCAAGCUCAAGAUGCCAGGCCCUCGUGGAGUCAUCAUGGUCAACGGGAAUACGGAACGCUCCCUCCGAACGGAGGAACAUACAGCGCCUCUCGCGGCAGAAGUACAGAGCAGCCUCUUAAGGCAAUUCUCGAGUCCGGCCGUUAAACGGCCGGAUACAGCAAAAUGCGCCCGAAGCAAUACCAACCAAGACCACCUGGCGCGAUCAGAGCAUGCGUAGCAAUGCGGCCCCAACCCCCGCCCGCGCAUGAUCGCAAGAAUAACACUCCGCGUACAUCAUUACGCUUUGGAGAUACCAUGGGCACAGGGGAAGGGGCACGAUCGCAAUGGACCCAGAGUGCGGUUCGACCACACCAGGGGCUCGCAAGUGUGCCCCCUUUUUUAUUUUUUAUUUUUUAUUUUUCUUCUUUGUGUACACAGGACUCCGUUAACCAGAGGCCCUGUCCGGCGAUGAACUUGCCGAACUCAUGAUGCAACAGUCAGGGACGAAAGAAGGUUGCGACGAACACUCAGGUGGUCUCAAUUACGAGCAUUAAAUUCGAUUAUAUACACCAAGUCCGCAGCUCACCCCUGGAGGGGGGACAUGUUUAAUUAGUCCAAAUCCCUUGCUUACCGCACUAUUUGUAUCAGUCCGCACUCAUAGCAGACUUUCUUUCAUAAAUAAUGCAGCACCUUUUUGACUGCAAUUGCAUUACCUUUUAUAUAUAUAUGCUCAUCAUAUGACAUCUUGCACCCAUAUAUUUUGGUACGGCCUAAUACGCCAGGGGCUUAUGUUCCCCACACUAUGGUGUGAUAAGUCCGAACACUUUCAUAAGUGUGGCACCCCGAACUUAUAGCAUUAUAUGAAUCGGCUCCGAAUCAUGUCUUGGGUCAAUAGUUGGGUUUGCCCGGCUCCCAUGUUUUGGUGCCUUACAUUCCGUUCUGUCGGCUAAGGUGGCACUGGGAGAACCACUGCGAUUGCGCCCCGGUUGAGUCGGGCGAGCGCCUCAGUGGAGAAAGCUAAAACUGACUGGCAUGAUAAGGCGAGAGACUGGUCGCUGUUCGAGAGGUCUUUUCGGGUCCUUAAAGACUCACGCCGCUUCGAGCGAAGUUCCGGACCAUGUCCGACGAAGGCGUGGAUAGCGCCCCGGAUUCGGUCUUCCGAAUACUAGGGGCUUCGCCGAAAUUUAAAAUUAUAGAAUUCUAUGGCUAAGUGAGAGUGUUUAAGCACUAUAAGUCCGGUUGCCUUGUUCGUUGUGUUGAGCGCCUUCCUAGAUGGACCCAAAAAUGGGAACAACAGUGCUCAAGUUUAUCCCGAACACCCCAGCACUCGUGGCUUGGGGGCUGAAGCCAACGACUUGCCAUCUCUCAGAUUUUAUAAACGGCCGCACAGAAGGUAAUAUUUUAAAUUAGACAAGCGUUGCUUAAUGCGCACAUGAACAAUGUUUCAGCGCACAGGAUAAUACAUAACGAGGUUACUCAAAGAUUACAUUUCUGGGGCACUCAUCCGCAGUAUCGCGGGCUCCCUUCAGGACAGUUUUAUAAUACAUCUCGGGAGUGCGAUACUCCUUGCCCGGUGGCGGUGGGUCCGUGAGAAGCUUCUCCGCAUCCAACCUGCCCCAAUGCACCUUGGUGCGGGCGAGGGCCCGGCGAGCACCUUCAAUACAGGCGGAGCGCUUGAUGACCUCCACCCAGGGGCACGCAUCCACCAGCCGCUGCACGAGGCCGAAAUAGCUCCCAGGCAUGGCCUGUUCAGGCCACAGCCGGACUAUAAGGCCCUUCAUGGCCUCCUCAGCUACCUUGUGGAGUUCGACCAGCUGCUUCAGCUGGUCGCUUGGAGGCACCGGAUGGCCGGCCUCAGCGUACUGAGACCAGAAGACCUUCUCCAUCGAGCUCCCCUCCUCGCCACGAUAGAAUGCGGCGGCAUCGGACGCACUACGCGGCAGAUCUGCAAACGCCCCUGGAGAGCUCCGAAUGCGGGUAAGUGUCAGGUAGUUUACAUUAACAUGCCUGCUUUGCAUGAAAAAUGCCUUACCCGCCGCUAUCUUCUUUACAUCUUCAACCUCCUGAAGGGCCUUAUGGGCCUCGGCCUUGGAGGACUUGGCACUUUCGAGAGCCGAGGCAAGCUCAGACUCUCGAGUCCUGGAGUCAUGCUCCAAACUCUCAUGCUUCUCCAUGAGAGCCUGGAGCUCUUGCCGAACUUCCACCACCCGUGCCUCCUGCUUUUCUCGCUCUGCUCGUUCUGCAGCCGCACUGCGUUCAGCCGCGGACACAUCCUCCUUCAGGGCUGCCGCCUCGUUCGUGGCCCCUGCAAUACCCAUAUUAUCCUUUUAACUUUAUUGCAACCAAAACCCUUUUCUGUAAGGUAACUAUUCAAAGUGGUGUUACUCACCUUCUUUGUCCUCGAGCUGCUUCUUCGCAUGGCCGAGCUCUUGCUCGGACCGCUCGAGAUCUUGCUUCAGCACAUUGACCUCCGCAGUCAGUGCGGCAAAGGUCAGCAGCGCAGCCUGCAAAUCCAUAUUGACAUAUUUUAAGCAACACUGCGUAUAUCUUGUUAGAUCCUCAGUCCGGCUUUUCUUUUCGAACACCGAACUGAGCAUCAGGGGCUACUGUCUAUGUGGUAUUAUAUUACAUAAUUUUAAACUUUUUACCUCAAAGCCUGUUAGAAGGCUGCUGCAGGCUUCGGUCAGCCCGCUCUUGGCGAGCUGAACCUUCUGAAUCACCGCAUUCAUGAUAGUGCGGUGUUCUUCCUCGAUGGAAGCGCCUUUAAGCGCCUCCAACAAGUUAUCCGGCGCCUCCGGUUGGACGGAGGUCGCCGGUGUCACGGUCUUGCCCUUCUUUCGAAGGGGCCGCCCGCCCGACUCUGGAACCACUGCGGGUUCCGAUGUAGAGUCCGGCACAAAGUCCGGGAGGCAGCCUGACGGCGCCUCCGGAGCCUCCUCCUGAUGGGUCCCUCUUUGGGAUCCCACCUCGGCGUCCUCGCCGGCGCGGGGGGUAGUGGCAGUCGGAAGUGAAUCCACAUCCGACGGGGCCAAUGACCCGCUUGAUGAAGCGGGGAGAUCAUCAUCAGCCGGACUACGGAUAGAAUGCGGCGUUAGAAGGACACUAUGCGACACGAAAGAAAUUGCAUAUCAAGGAUCCGGAUACUUACGAUCUUGCCGGAUGCCUGGCCCUUGGAGGCCACUCAUCCUCGCCAACGGUGGUGUUGGUGAAACUGUCCGGGGGGAUAGUCCUCCCCCUCCUGGACCCUUCGGCCUCCCCUAUUGGGGAAGCCUUCCUCUUCUUCUCUCCCUCCUCCGGGAGAGAGUCCUCCUCCUCCUCGUCGUCUUCGGGGGAGGAGUCCGCCACGUCGUCGGACGCCUGAUUGCGGGAACUUUUUUGAGUCCUCGCGGCCACCUUCUUGGCCUUCUUCUCCGGCACCACAUGCGGUGCUGGAACCAGCAGCCCUGCUAAACGGGCGUCCACUGGGUCUUCUGGCAUGGGAGGCGGGCUGAUAAGCUGCUUGGCCUUCUCCAUCCAUUCCUGUCAAAGGAAAAGAAAGAAUGAAACCCUCUUAGAAUCAAUUCGAUUACCACAAGUGUCCCGUAAUGGGGUUGAAUCACUUACCUCGUCAGCCGGAUGCUGCGAGCGAAAUCCGUGAUCUUCCGUCGCGGAUACGGGGGCUUCGGCGCCCUUAAACAGCACCCUCCAGGCGCCUUUGUAUGUCGUAUCGAAGAGCCCGCUCAGCGCCUGGUGCUGUUCCGGAUUGAACUCCCACAGAUUGAAUGCCCGUUCUUGGCAUGGGAGAAUCCGGCGGAUGAGCAUGACUUGGACCACGUUGACGAGCCUGAGCUUAUUGCUCACCAGCUUCUGGAUGCAGGCUCGGAGUCCCGUCACCUCCUUCGGAUUGCCCCACAGCAAGCCCUUCUCUUUCCAGGAGGUGAGCUGCGUGGGGACGCCAAAUCUAAACUCGGGGGCCGCCGCCCAUGUGGGCUUGCACGGCUCGGUGAUGUAGAACCACCCCGAUUGCCACCCCUUGACGGAGUCCACAAAGGCCCCUUCGAGCCAAAGGACGUUGGGCAAUUUACCCAACAUGGCGCCUCCGCAUUCCGCUUGCGAGCCCUUCACAACCUUCGGCUUGACGUUGAAGGUCUUGAGCCAUAGGCCGAAGUGGGGCCGGAUGCAGAGGAAGGCCUCGCACACAACGAUAAACGCCGAGAUGUUGAGGAUGAAGUUCGGCGCCAGAUCGUGGAAAUCCAGGCCGUAGUAGAACAUGAGCCCCGGACGAAUGGAUGGAGUGGAAAGCCCAGUCCGCGGAGGAAGUGGGGAAGGAAGACGACCCUCUCAUGAGGCCCAGGGGUAGGGAUGAGCUGCCCCUCGUCGGGCAGCCGAUGCGCGAUAUCGCCGGAGAGGUAUCCGGCGCUGCACAGCUUGGUGAUGUGCUCCUCCUUAACGGUGGAGGCCAACCAUUUGCCUCCCGCUCCGGACAUAUUCGGAGAAGUUCAAGGCGAGAUGCGCGAGCUUGGGCGUUGGAGCUUGAGUGCGCGGAGAUGGAUAAGCAAAGGAGGAAGAAGGCGUAGGUGAGAAGGUAAAUCCUUAUCCCUUAUAUAUAGGCAGACAAAACUGUGCGUCCCCCACCGGCCUGGUAAAACUCGCUUAUCUCCCAAGCGCCACCAUCAAUGGCGCGGUUGGGUUACCCACGUCCGUAUUGAUGAGAAUCCCAGAAUAAGGGGAACACGAUCUCUGCUUUGACAAGACGUGCCAAGGAAACCGCUUCGCUAAACGUGCUAAGGUGGUAUAGUAAAAAAACGAUUCAAGUAAAAGCCUGGUAGCGGUGUGAUGUCACGCCGCAUAAUACGUCAGCAGAUUGGACUAGUGUACAUUUUAUUCUCUCUAUGGUGGAAUGUGGAAUUUAUUUUGCAGAGCCGGACACUAUCCUGGUGUUCAUGAUCUUCUCUGGAUUAUUCAAGGGAGGAACCCGCCUUGCAAUGCCGAACAUUAUGCGCGCCGGACUAAUCGUCAUUGAAGCCUGGUUCAGGGGCUACUGAGGGAGUCCUGGACUAGGGGGUGUCCGGACAGCCGGACUAUCAUCGUCCGCCGGACUCCAAGACUACGAAGAUACAAGAUUGAAGACUCCGUCCCGUGUCCGGAUGGGACUUUCCUUGGCGUGGAAGGCAAGCUUGGCAAUACGGAUAUGUAGAUCUCCUACCAUUGUAACCGACUCUGUGUAACCCUAGCCUCCUCCGAUGUCUAUAUAAACCGGAGGGCUUUAGUCCAUAGGACAACAUACAUUACAACAAUCAUACCAUAGGCUAGCUUUAGGGUUUAGCCUCCUUGAUCUCGUGGUAGAUCCACUCUUGUACUACCCAUAUCAUCAAUAUUAAUCAAGCAGGACGUAGGGUUUUACCUCCAUCGAGAGGGCCCAAACCUGGGUAAAAACAUCGUGUCCCUCGUCUCCUAUUACCAUCCGCCUAGACGCACAGUUCGGGACCCCCUACCCGAGAUCCGCCGGUUUUGACACCGACAAUUACCGUACCACUCUGGUGCAGACUGCACUUUGGAAGACCUAUGAGGUUUUGUAGUAACUUAAUCUGAAGUUUCAUGAUCAUCAUCAUUACCUUCCUCACUAAUUGGUGUAGGAAUCACCGGAACUGAUUUCUGUGAUGAACUACUUUCCAAUUCGGGAGAAGGUACAAAUUACCUUAUCAAGCUCUACUUUCCUCCCACUCACUUCUUUCGAGAGAAACUCCUUCUCUAGAAAGGAUCCAUUCUUAGCAAUGAAUGUUUUGCCUUCGAAUCUGUGAUAGAAGGUGUACCCAACAGUUUCCUUUGGGUAUUCUAUGAAGACGCACUUCUCCGAUAUGGGUUCGAGCUUAUCAGGUUGAAACCUUUUUCACAUAAGCAUCGUAACUCCAAACUUUUAAAAAUGACAUCUUAGGUUUACUUGCCAAAUCACAGUUCAUAAAGCAUCUUCUCAACGGAUUUUGAUGGUGCCCUAUUUAAAGUGAAUGCAGCUGUCUCUAAUGUAUAAACCCAAAACGAUAGUGGCCAAUCGGUAAGAGACAUCAUAGAUCGCACCAUAUCUAGUAAAGUAUGAUUAUGACGUUCGGACACACCAUUACGUUGUGGUGUUCCAUAUGGCGUGAGCUGUGAAACUAUUCCACAUUGUUUAAAAUGAAGGCCAAACUCGUAGCUCAAAUAUUCAUCUCUACGAUCAGAUCAUAGAAACUUUAUUUUCUUGUUACGAUGAUUUUUCCACUUCACUCUGAAAUUCUUUGAACUUUUCAAAUGUUUCAGACUUGUGUUUGAUUAAGUAGAUAUACCCAUAUCUGCUCAAAUCAUCUGUGAAGGUCAUAAAAUAACGAUACUUGCUAGGAGCAUUAACACUCAUUGGAUCGCAUACAUCGGUAUGUAUUAUUUCCAAUAAGUCAGUAGCUCGUUCCAUUGUUCCGGAGAACGGAGUUUUAGUCAUCUUGCCCAAAAGGCAUGGUUCACAAACAUCAAAUGAUUCAUAACCAAGUGAUUCCGAAAAUCCAACUUUAUGGAGUUUCUUCAUGCUCUUUACACCGAUAUGACCCAAACGACAGUGCCACAAAUAAGUUGCACUAUCAUUAUUAACUUUGCAUCUUUUGGCUUCAAUAUUAUGAAUAUGUGUAUCAACACGAUCGUGAUUCAAUAAACCAUUUAUUUUGAGUGUAUGACCAUAGAAGGUUUUAUUCAUGUUAAUAGAACAACAAUUAUUCUCUAACUUAAAUGAAUAACUGUAUUGCAAUAAACAUGAUCCAAUCAUAUUCAUGCUCAACGCAAACACCAAAUAACAUUUAUUUUUGGUCCAACACUAAUCUCGAAGGUAGAGGGAGUGUGCUAUGGUGAUCUUAUCAACCUUGGAAUCACUUCCAACACACAUCGUCACCUUGCCCUUAACUGGUCUCUGUUCAUUUUGUAAUUCCUAUUUCGAGUUACUAAUCUUAGCAACUGAACCGGUAUCAAAUACCUUGGGGUUACUAUGAACACUAGUAAACUACACAUCAAUAACAUGUAUAUCAAAUAUACCUUUGUUCACUUUGCCAUCCUUCUUAUCCGAUAAGUAUUUGGGGUAGUUCCGCUUCCAGUGACCAUUCCCUUUGCAGUAGAAGCACUCAGUUUCAGGCUUAGGUCUAGCUUUGGGUUUCUUCAAGGGAGUGGCAACUUGCUUGCCAUUCUUUAUUGAAGUUCCCUUUAUUUUCCUUGCCCUUUUACUUGAAACUAGUGGUCUUGUCAACCAUCAACACUUGAUGCUCUUUCUUGAUUUCUACCUUCAUUGAUUUCAGCAUCACGAAGAGCUCGAGAAUCGUAGUUGUCAUCCCUUGCAUAUUGUAGUUCAUCACGAUGUUCUAGAAACUUGGUGAUAGUGACUAGAGAACUCUGUCAAUCACUAUCUUAUCUGGAAGAUUAACUCCCAUUUGAUUCAAACGAUUGUAGUACUCAGACAUUCUCAGCACAUCCUCACUGGUCGAGCUAUUCUCCUCCAUCUUGUAGGCAAAGUACUUGUCAGAGGUCUCAUACCUCUUGACACAGGCAUGAGACUGAAAUACCAAUUUUAUCUCUUGGAACAUCUCAUAUGCUCCAUGGCGUUCAAAACAUUUUUGAAGUCCCGGUUCUAAGCCGUAAAGCAUGGUGCACUAAACUAUCAAGUAGUCAUCAUAUCGAGCUUUGUCAAACAUUCAUAACGUCUGCAUCUGCUCCUGCAAUAGAUCUGUCACCUAGUGGUGCAUCAAGGACAGAAUUCUUUUGUGCAGCAAUGAGGAUAAUCCUCAGAUCAUGGACCCAGUCCACAUCAUUGCUACUAACAUCUUUCAACUUAUUUUUAUCUAGGAACAUAUAAAAAAUAGUGGAGCUACAACGCGAGCUAUUGAGCUACAACAUAAAUAUGCAAAAUACUAUCAGGUACUAAGUUCAUGAUAAAUUAAAGUUCAAUUAAUCAUAUUACUUAAGAACUCCCACUUAUAUAAACAUCCCUCUAGUCAUCUAAAUGAUCAUGUGAUCCAAAUCAAUCAAACCAUGUCCGAUCAUCACGUGAUAUGGAGUAGUUUUCAAUGGUGAACAUUACUAUGUUGAUCAUAUCUACUAUAUGACCCAAACGACAGUGCCACAAAUAAGUUGCACUAUCAUUAUUAACUUUGCAUCUUUUGGCAUCAAUAUUAUGAAUAUGUGUAUCACUAUGAUCGAGAUUCAACAAACUAUUUUCAUUGGGUGUAUGACCAUUGAAGGUCUUAUUCAUGUAAAUAGAAUAACAAUUAUUCUCUGACUUUAAAUGAAUAACCAUAUCGCAAUAAACAUGAUCAAAUCAUAUUCAUGCUCAACACAAACGCCAAAUAACAUUUAUUUAGGUUUAACACUAAUCUCGAAAGUAUAGGGAGUGUGCGAUGAUGAUCAUAUCAAUCUUGGAACCACUUCCAACACACAUCGUCACUUCACCCUCAACUAGUCUCUGUUUAUUCUGUAACUCCUGUUUCGAGUUACUAAUUUUUAGCAACCGAACAAGUACCAAAUACUCAGGGGCUACUACAAACACUAGUAAGGUACACAUCAAUAACCUGUAUAUCAAAUAUACCCUUGUUCACUCUGCCAUCCUUCUUAUCUACCAAAUAUUCAGGGUAUUUCCGUUUCCACUGACCAUUUCCUUUGCAGUGUAAGCACUCAGUUUCAGGCUUUGGUCCAGCUUUGGGCUUAUUCGCGGGAGUGACAACUUGCUUUUCAUUCUACUUGAAGUUCCCUUUCUUUCCCUUUGCCCUUUUCUUGAAACUAGUGGUCUUGUCAAUCAUCAACACUUGAUGCUCUUUCUUGAAUUCUACCUUCGUCGAUUUCAACAUCACGAAGACCUUGGGAAUCGUUUUCGUCAUCCCUAUAGUUCAUCACGAAGUUCUAGCAACUUGGUGAUGGUGACUAGAGAACUCUGUCAAUCACUAUCUUAUCUGGAAGAUUAACUCCCACUUGAUUCAAGUGAUUGUAGUACCCAGACAAUCUGAGCACAUGCUCACUAGUUGAGCGAUUCUCCUCCAUCUUUUAGCUAUAGAACUUGUUGGAGACUUCAUAUCUCUCAACUCGGGUAUUUUCUUGAAAUAUUAACUUCAACUCCUGGAACAUCUCAUAUGGCCCAUGACGUUCAAAACGUCUUUGAAGUCCCGAUUUUAAGCCGUUAAGCAUGGUGCACUAAACUGUCAAGUAGCCAUCAUAUUGAGCUAGCCAAACAUUCAUAACGUUUGCAUCUGCUCCUGCAAUAGGUCUGUCACCUAGCGGUGCACCAAGGACAUAAUUCUUCUGUGCAACAAUGAGGACAAUCCUCAGAUCACGGAUCCAAUCCGCAUCAUUUCUACUAACAUCUUUCACAAUUUUUCUCUAGGAACAUAUCAAAAUAAACAUAUGAAAGCAACAACGCGAGCUAUUGAUCUACAACAUAAUUUGCAAGAUACUACCAGGACUAAGUUCAUGAUAAAUUUAAGUUCAAUUAAUCAUAUUACUUAAGAACUCCCACUUAGACAGAUAUCUCUCUAGUCAUCUAAGUGAUCACGUGAUCCAAAUCAACUAAACCAUGUCCGAUCAUCACGUGAGAUGGAGUAGUUUCAAUGGUGAACAUCACUAUGUUAAUCAUAUCUACUAUAUGGUUCACGUUCGACCUUUCGGUCUCCGUGUUCCGAGGCCAUAUCUGUAUAUGCUAGGCUCGUCAAGUUUAACCUGAGUAUUCCGCGUGUGCAACUAUUUUGCACCCGUUGUAUUUGAAUGUAGAGCCUAUCACACCCGAUCAUCACGUGGUGUCUCAGCACGAAGAACUUUCGCAACAGUGCAUACUCAGGGAGAACACUUCUUGAUAAUUUAGUGAGAGAUCAUCUUAAAAUGCUACCAUCAAUCAAAGCAAGAUAAGAUGCAUAAAGGAUAAACAUCGCAUGCAAUCAGUAUAAGUGAUAUGAUAUGGCCAUCAUCAUCUUGUGCUUGUGAUCUCCAUCUCCGAAGCACCGUCGUGAUCACCAUCGUCACCGGCGUGACACCUUGAUCUCCAUCAUAGCAUCGUUGUCGUUACGCCAUCUAUUGCUUAUACGAGUAUAGCUACCGUUUAGUGAUAAAGUAAAGCAAUUACAGGGCAUUUGCAUUUCAUACAAUAAAGCGACAACCAUAUGGCUCCUGCCAGUUGUCGAUAACUCGGUUACAAAAUAUGAUCAUCUCAUGCAAUAAAAUAUAGCAUCGCGUCUUGACCAUAUCACAUCACAACAUGCCCUGCAAAAACAAGUUAGACGUCCUCUACUUUGUUGUUGCAAAUUUUACGUGGCUGCUACGGGCUGAGUAAGAACCGUUCUUACCUACGCAUCAAAACCACAACGAUAGUUCAUCAAGUUAGUGCUAUUUUAACCUUCGCAAAGACCGGGCGUAGCCACACUCGGUUCAACUAAAGUGAGAGAGACAGACACCCGCCGGGCACCUUUAAGCAACAAGUGCUCGUAACGGUGAAACCAGUCUCGCGUAAGCGUACGCGUAAUGUCGGUCCAGGCCGCUUCAUCUCACAAUACCGCUAAACCAAAGUAUGACAUGCUGGUAAGCAGUAUGACUUAUAUCGCCCAUAACUCACUUGUGUUCUACUCGUGCAUAUGACAUCUACGCCUAAAACCUGGCUCGGAUGCCACUGUUGGGGAACGUAGUAAUUUCAAAAAAAUUCCUACACACACGCAAGACCAUGGUGAUGCAUAGCAACGAGAGGGGAGAGUGUGUCCACGUACCCUCGUAGACCGAAAGUGGAAGCAUUAGAACAACGCAGUUGAUAUAGUCGUACGUCUUCACGGCCUGACCGAUCAAGCACCGAAACUACGGCACCUCCGAGUUCUAGCACACGUUCAGCUCGAUGACGUCCCUCGAACUCCGAUCCAGCCGAGUGUAGAGGGAGAGUUCCGUCAGCACGACGGCAUGGUGACGAUCAUGAUGUUCUACCGUCGCAGGGCUUCGCCUAAGCACCGCUACAAUAUUAUCGAGGAGGACUAUCGUGGAGGGGGGGGCCGCACACAGCUAAGAGAUCAAGAGAUCAAUUGUUGUAUCUAGAGGUGCCCCCUGCCCCCGUAUAUAAAGGAGCCAAGGGGGAGGGGGCGGCCGGCCAAGGAGGGGCGCGCCAAGGGGAGUCCUACUCCCACCGGGAGUAGGACUCCCUUCUUUCCUAGUUGGAAUAGGAGAAGGGGGGAAGGAGGAGGGAUAGAGGAAGGAAAGGGGGGCGCCGCCCCCUCUCCUUGUCCUAUUCAGGACUAGGGGGAGGGGCGCGCGGCCCAGCCCUUGCCUCCUCUCCUCCUCUCCACUAGGGCCCAUGUAGGCCCAUUAAGCCCCCGGGGGGUUCCGGUAACCUCCCGGUACUCCGGUAAAAUCCCGAUUUCACCCGGAACACUUCCGAUAUCCAAAUAUAGGCUUCCAAUAUAUCAAUCUUCAUGUCUCGACCAUUUCAAGACUCCUUGUCAUGUCCGUAAUCUCAUCCGGGACUCCGAACAAACUUCGGUACAUCAAAACUCAUAAACUCAUAAUAUAACUGUCAUCGAAACCUUAAGCGUGCGGACCCUACGGGUUCGAGAACUAUGUAGACAUGACCUAGAACUGUUUUCGGUCAAUAACUAAUAGCGGAACCUAGAUGCUCAUAUUGGUUCCUACAUAUUGUACGAAGAUCUUUAUCGGUCAAACCGCAUAACAACAUACGUUGUUCCCUUUGUCAUCGGUAUGUUACUUGCCCGAGAUUCGAUCGUCGGUAUCUCAAUACCUAGUUCAAUCUCGUUACCGGCAAGUCUCUUUACUCGUUAUGUAAUGCAUCAUUCCGUAACUAACUCAUUAGUUACAUUGCUUGCAAGGCUUAUAAUGAUGUGCAUUACUGAGAGGGCCCAGAGAUACCUCUCCGACAAUCGGAGUGACAAAACCUAAUCUCGAAAUACGCCAACUCAACAUGUACCUUUGGAGACACCUGUAGAGCUCCUUUAUAAUCACCCAGUUACGUUGUGACGUUUGGUAGCACACAAAGUGUUCCUCCAGUAAACGGGAGUUGCAUAAUCUCAUAGUUGUAGGAACAUGUAUAAGUCAUGAAGAAAGCAAUAGCAACAUACUAAACGAUCAAGUGCUAAGCUAACGGAAUGGGUCAUGUUAAUCACAUCAUUCUACUAAUGAUGUGAUCCCGUUAAUCAAAUCACAACUCAUGUCUAUGGUUAGGAAACAUAACCAUCUUUGAUUAAUGAGCUAGUCUAGUAGAGGCAUACUAGUGACAAUAUGUUUGUCUAUGUAUUCACACAUGUAUCAUGUUUCCGGUUAAUACAAUUCUAGCAUGAAUAAUAAACAUUUAUCAUGAUAUAAGGAAAUAAAUAAUAACUUUAUUAUCGCCUCUAGGGCAUAUUUCCUUCAGAAGAUAUAGAUGGGCAUGUUAUCUACUUCUGUGUAGAAGCUGCUAGAAUUGCUAAACCCGAUAAAAGGGAUAAACAUAGACCAGUUGUUGGCAUGCCUGUCAUUUCAGUUAAAAUAGGAGAUCACUGUUAUCAUGGUUUAUGUGACAUGGGUGCUAGUGUAAGUGCUAUUACUUACACUUUAUAUCAAGAAAUUAAGAAAGACAUAGCACCUAUAGAGAUAGAAGACAUAGAUGUUACUAUUAAACUUGCUAAUAGAGACUCCAUAUCACCUUUUGGGAUUGUUAGAGAUGUUGAAGUCUUGUGUGGGAAAAUUAAAUACCCUACUGAUUUUCUUGUUCUUGGUUCCCCACAAGAUGACUUCUGUCCCAUUAUCUUUGGUAGUCCUUUACUGAACUCAGUUAAUGCUAAGAUAGAUUGCAAGAAACAAACUAUCGGUGUUAGUUUUGGUGAUGAGUCUCAUGAGUUUAAUUUUUCCAAGUUCAGUAGAAAUCAUCAUGAAAAAGAAUUGCCUAGUAGAGAUGAAUUAAUUGGUCUUGCUUCUAUUGCUGUGCCACCUACUGAUCCUUUAGAACAAUAUUUGCUAGACCAUGAAAAUGACUUACAUAUGCAUGAAAGAAAUGAAAUAGAUAAGAUUUUCUUUGAACAACGUCCUCUACUUAAACACAAUUUGCCUAUUGAAACUCUAGGAGGUCCUCCUCCACCUAAAGGUGAUCCUGUGUUUGAAUUAAAACAAUUGCAAGACACUUUGAAAUAUGCUUAUCUUGAUGAAAAGAAAAUAUAUCCUGUUAUUAUCAGUGCUAACCUUUCAGAACAUGAAGAAGAAAGAUUAUUGAAAGUUCUAAGGAAGCACCAAGCUGUUGUUGGAUAUACUCUUGAUGAUUUAAAGGGCAUUAGUCCCACUUUAUGUCAGCACAAAAUUAAUAUGGAACCUGGUGCUAAACACGUUGUUGAUCAACAACGUCGGUUAAAUCCGAAGAUGAAAGAGGUGGUAAGAACGGAAAUAUUAAAACUUCUGGAAGCAGGUAUAAUCUAUCAUAUAGCUGAUAGUAGAUGGGUAAGUCCUGUUCAUUGUGUCCCUAAGAAAGGAUGUAUAACUAUUGUUCCUAAUGAUAAGAAUGAGCUUAUCCCACAAAUAAUUGUUACAGGCUAUAGAAUGGUAAUUGAUUUUAGAAAAUUAAAUAAAGCAACUAGAAAAGAUCAUUACACUUUGCCUUUUAUUGAUCAAAUGCUUGAAAGAUUAUCUAAGCAUACACAAUUUUGUUUCCUUGAUGGAUAUUCUGGCUUCUCACAAAUACCUGUUUCUCUACCUGAUCAAGAAAAGACCACUUUUACUUGUCCUUUUGGAACCUAUGCUUAUAGACGUAUGCCUUUUGGUUUAUGUAAUGCACCUGCUACCUUUCAAAGAUGUAUGACUGAUAUAUUCUUUGACUUUUGUGACAAGAUUGUUGAGGUUUUCAUGGAUGACUUUUCUGUUUAUGGGAAGUCUUUUGAUGAUUGUUUAAGCAAUCUUGAUCGAGUUCUGCAGAGAUGUGAACAAACAUAUCUUGUCUUGAAUUGGGAGAAGUGCCACGUUAUGGUUAAUGAAGGCAUUGUCUUAGGUCAUAAAAUUUCUGAAAGAGGUAUCGAAGUGGACCAAGCUAAGGUUGAUGCAAUUGAGAAAAUGCCAUGUCCUAAGUACAUAAAAGGUAUAUGUAGUUUCUUAGGUCAUGUUGGUUUCUAUAGGAGAUUUAUCAAGGACUUCUAUAAAAUUUCUAGGCCUCUCACUAAUCUUUUGCAAAAGGAUAUUCCUUUUGUUUUUGAUGAUGACUGUUUAGAAGCCUUUGAAACACUAAAUAAAGCCUUAAUCUUCACACCUAUUGUUCAACCACCUGAUUGGAACUUGCCUUUUGAGAUUAUGUGUGAUGCUAGUGAUUAUGUUGUUGGUGCUGUUCUAGGAUAAAGAGUUGAUAAGAAAUUGAAUGUUAUUCAUUAGGCUAGUAAAACUCUAGACAGUGCUCAAAGAAAUUAUGCUACUACUGAAAAAGAAUUCUUAGCAGUGGUUUUUGCUUGUGAUAAGUUAAGACCUUAUAUUGUUGAUUCCAAAGUAACUAUUCACAUAGACCAUGUUGCUAUUAAAUAUCUUAUGGAAAAGAAAGAUGCUAAAUCUAGACUUAUUCGUUGGGUCCUCUUGUUACAAGAAUUUGAUUUACAUAUCAUUGAUAGAAAAGGAGCUGAGAACCCCGUAGCUGAUAACUUGUCUAGGCUUGAAAAUGUGCUUGAUGACUCGCUACCUAUUGAUGAUAGUUUUCCUGAUCAGCAGUUAGCUGCAAUAAAUGUUGCUAAUAGUACUCCUUUGUAUGCUGACUAUGCUAAUUACAUUGUUGCUAAAUAUUUGCCACCUAGCUUUACAUACCAACAAAAGAAAAAAUUCUUCUAUGAUUUAAGACAUUACUUUUGGGAUAACCCACAUCUUUAUAAAGAAGGAGCAGAUGGUAUUAUUAGACGUUGUGUACCAGAGCAUGAACAGGGACAAAUCCUACAUAAAUGUCACUGCAAACCAUGUGGAGGGCAUCAUGCUGGAGAUAGAACUGCUCAUAAGGUAUUGCAAUCUGGAUUUUAUUGGCCUACUCUUUCAAGGAUGCUCGUAAGUAUGUCUCGUCUUGUGGUGAAUGCCAAAGAAUAGGUAAUAUCGGUAAACGACAAGAAAUGCCUAUGAAUUAUUCACUUGCUAUUGAACCAUUUGAUGUUUGGGGAUUUGAUUACAUGGGACCUUUUCCUUCCUCUAAUGGGUAUACACAUAUUUUGGUUGUUGUUGAUUAUGUUACUAAAUGUGUAGAAGCUAUUCCAACUAGUAGUGUUGAUCACAACAGCUCUAUUAAAAUGCUUAAGGAAGUUAUUUUCCCAAGGAUUGGAGUCCCUAGAUAUUUAAUGAUUGAUGGUGGUUCACACUUUAUUCAUGGUGCUUUCCGUAAAAUGCUUGCCAAGUAUGAUGUUAACCAUAGAAUUGCAUCACCCUAUCAUCCUUGGUCUAGUGGUCAAGUUGAGCUUAGCAAUAGAGAAAUAAAAUUAAUUUUGCAAAAGACUAUCAAUAGGUCCAGGAAGAAUUGGUCUAAGAAAUUAGAUGAUGCACUUUGGGCUUGUAGAACAGGUUAUAAAAAUCCUAUGGGUAUGUCUCCUUAUAAAAUGGUUUAUGGAAAAGCUUGUCAUUUACCUCUUGAGUUAGAACAUAAAGCAUAUUGGGCAGUUAAAGAACUCAACUAUGAUUUCAAACUUGCUGGUGAAAAGAGGUUAUUUGAUAUAAGCUCAUUAGAUGAAUGGAGAGCCCAAGCUUAUGAAAAUGCAAAGUUAUUCAAACAAAAGGUUAAGCAUGACAAAAGAAUUCAAAAGCGUGAGUUUAAAGUCGGAGAAUAUGUUCUUUUGAACAACUCUUGUUUCAGAUUCUUUGCAUGAAAGCUCCUCUCGAAAUGGGAAGGCCCAUAUGUCAUCGAGGAGGUUUACCGGUCUGGAGCCAUCAAAAUAAAUAAUUCCAAAGGUACUAACCCGAAGGUUGUCAAUGGGCAACGAAUAAAGCAUUAUAUCUCAGGUACGCUUAUUAAUGUUGAAAGCAAUAUUAUCCAAACCUUGACACCGGAAGAGCACGUAAAAGAGUCCUUCUGGAACACUCCAGAAUCGUCAAAAUAAGGAGGUACGUGAUACGGUAAGUAAACGGACUCCAAAAAAUCCGCAAAAAUAUUUUUUGUCAGUUUUGGAAUAUUUUAGAAUUUUGGAAAUAAAGAAACUUCCAGGAAGCAUCCCCUGGUGGGCACAAGACACCAGGGUGCCACAGGCAUGCCUGGCGCGCCCAGGUGGGUUGUGCCCACCUGGGAUACCUCCCGUACUCCGUUUUUCUUCCGUAUAACUUGUCCUCCAAGAUAAAAAAAUCUAUAUAUACUUCCCGAACCUGUUAACCACCGUAUCACGGAGAAAUCCUCUGUUUUCUUUCUAGCUGUUUUCUAUCAGAUCCCAUCUACCAUGGCCUCUUCAAGUUCCUCCAAGGACAAGUUCUUAAAGAAUGUCAUCAACCCAUAUCUGCGGGAGGUGGUGCAGCACCCUCAAACCAUCCAGAUGCAUGAGGGGUGAUGUACAUACGCGAUGAGCAAGGUCCUAAGGGCACGGGAACCGUGGAGGCCAGGCUUGAAGCUAUGGAGCAAGAAGUCUUCCAGUGCAAGGGGAUGGUGGAGUGUGGUAUCAAUGCCAAUCACCUCAUGAUCAUGGAGCUUUCCCGUGAUCCCAAGGUAGAUGGCAAGCCCAUGAAGGACAUCAUCUUCACCCUCAACGAGCAAAUCAACUUCCUCCAAAGCCAGAUCUAUGAUCUUCAAAACCAAGUCUUUGAAUAUGAGGCGAGGUUUAAAGGUAUGAGUUUGGCUGCUAGUUGCAGGACCCGUGAGACUCACUCCUCCUCUUAUGAUGGUGGACCGCUGCCAUGGAAAUCCGAGGACAAUAUCUCUUUUUCUUCACCACCACCAUCUUCUUCAUCACCUAAGGAGAGCUGAGUAUCGGGUAUGGGCACUCCCCUUGGCUUCCGCCAAGCUUGGGGGAUGUGCCCCGGUAUCGUAUCAUCCCACUGUCUUUUUGCUUUUACUUAUCUUAGUCCGAUCCUUUUGCUUUAGAUGAAUAAAAAUUUAGUUCGAUCCUUUCUUCUUUGAAAGUUUGCUGAGUGGUCUAUCAUUGUAAUUGUGUGCAAGUUAUAUAAUAAAGUUUAGUUUGAGUUUUUGCUUUCUUUUAAUUUCAUGUUGCAAAUAAAAAAUAAAAAAUAAAAGAAAAAGAGAAAGAAAGCAAAUAAAAGAAAGGAAAUAAAUCAACAAGAUCAUAUACUAAUCCUAUGGUAGGUGAUAGCACCACAUAAGGAAACGUAUAGGUAUAAAAUUUUAUUAGAGAUUGACAAACAUAGCAUUAGUCAAUGAUGCAACUCAUGCAAGAAUUAAUAAGGGAAGGGAAGAUUCACAUAUAAAUAUACUAUCCUAGAAAUCUUUUGUGAUUGUGAGCCCUCAUCAAAAUAUUAUAUGCCAAAAAUGUUGACGUUGGACAAGGGAGACAACAUAAUGGUUUAUGUUUGUUUAUAUUCACAUAGAAGUCAUAUUGUCAUAGAUCCUUCAACAUGUCGUGUUUACCCCCUAUCUUUGCUAGAAAAAAAUUCCGCACUAAGUAGAGAUACUACUUGUGCAUCCAAAACACUUAAACCCAAAUCUUUUUGAAGUGUCCACUAUACCUACCUAGGGAUUGAGCAAGAUCCCUCAAGUAAGUUUUCAUCGGUGCAAAAAGGCAAUAAAAAUUGCUUCUAAAUGUGUGAGAUUGUUUAGUGUAAGAGAAAAUUGAGCGUUGCACAAACUUGGAUGACAAAGAAUAAAAGUGACAGACUGCAUAAUAAAGGUUGUCAUCUUAAGGGGCAAUGUAAUGCGACCUUCUCUUGCACUAAGGGAUUGAGCAUACAAACAAAUAAGCGCAUGGCAACCUCUGCUUCCCUCUGUGAAGGGCCUAUCCUUUACUUUUAUGUAUUUACUUUUAUGCAAAGAGUCAAUUUUUCCUUCUAUUCCUUUUAUUUUUUUUUCUCCUUUGGCAAGCAUCAUGUGGCGAGGAAAGAUCUAGGCACAUAUGUCCAGUUGAAUACAGAUAGCAUGAGUUAUUAUUGUUGACAUCACCCUUGAGGUGAGUAUGUUGGGAGGCAAAAAUAUAAGCCCCUAUCUUUCUGUGUGUCCGGUUGAAGUGUUUUGCUCAUGUGUACGCGGUCAGUGUUAGCAAUCAUAGAAGACUAUAUGAUGGUUGAGUAUGUGGACUUGCCUAAAGGCUCUGUGCUACGUCUUGAGCUUGCGUUGGUUUUCCUCGAAGAGGAGAGGGUGAUGCAGCAAAGUGUAGCGUAAGUAUUUCCCUCAGUUUUGAGAACCAAGGUAUCAAUCCAGUAGGAUGCUCCUCAAAAGUCCCACGCACCUACACAAACAAACUGAGAACUCGCAACCAACGCAAUAAAGGGGUUGUCAAUCCCUUCACGGCCACUUGCGAAAGUGAGAUCUAAUAAAGAUAGUAAGAUAAGAUAAAUAUAUUUUUGGUAUUUUAUAAGAUAGAUGCAAAAAGUAAAGAUGAAAAUAAAGAUAGAUUGAAAGCAAAUAUGAUAAGAGAUAGACCCGGGGGCCAUAGGUUUCACUAGAGGCUUCUCUCAAGAUAGCAUAAGUAUUACGGUGGGUGAACAAAUUACUGUCGAGCAAUUGAUAGAAAAGCGCAUAGUUAUGAGAUUAUCUAGGCAUGAUCAUGUGUAUAGGCAUCACGUCCAUAACAAGUAGACCGACUCCUGUCUGCAUCUACUACUAUUACUCCACACAUCGACCGACUCCUGCCUGCAUCUAGAGUAUUAAGUUCAUAAGAACAGAGUAAUGCAUUAAGCAAGAUGACAUGAUGUAGAGGGAUAAACACAUGCAAUAUGAUAUAAACCCCAUCUUGUUAUCCUCGAUGGCAACAAUACAAUAUGUGUCUUGCAACCCUUUCUGUCACUGGGUAAGAACACCGCAAGAUUGAACACAAAGCUAAGCACUUCUCCCAUGGCAAGAAAGACCAAUCUAGUAGGCAAAACCAAACUGAUAAUUCAAAGAGACUUGCAAAGAUAACUCAAUCAUACAUAAAAGAAUUCAGAGAAGAUUCAAAUAUUAUUCAUAGAUAAACUUGAUCAUAAACCCACAAUUCAUCGGAUCUCGACAAACACACCGCAAAAAGAGUUUACAUCGAAUAGAUCUCCACAAGAGAGGGGGAGAACAUUGUAUUGAGAUCCAAAAAGAGAGAAGAAGCCAUCUAGCUAAUAACUAUGGACCCGUAGGUCUGUGGUAAACUACUCACAACUCAUCGGAGGGGCAAGGAUGUUGAUGUAGAGGCCCUCCGUGGUUGAUUCCUCCUCCGGCAUGUAAGUGCAUCUAGUGCCCCUUAGUGAUUUUGGUGUAUUGAAGACUUAUAGGUUAAGGGACUGAUGCGUUUGUGAGUGUACACAGGUCUAUAAGUCUAUGAGGAGUUUGAUAUUUACAGAGAAAGUCGACCCCUAAAAAUGAAGUUCUUCGACUGAAGACUUUGAUAUUCUGAAGACUUUCUGAAGACUUUGAAAGUGAAGAAAUUGGUGUGACCUUGAAGACUUGGUAUUCAUUUGAGGAACAUGAAGUGUGAAGACUUUUGUUUUCGUAGUUUCAUUUUCUCUUUCUUGAAUCAUAGGAAACACCGUACUGUUAAAGGGGGUCGAGGAAAUACUAAGGAAAAAUUUCCAUGUGAUGAUCAACUCAAAAUCCUACACCUACCAAUCCCUUCGAGUGAAGCCAUUGGAAAUCUCAUACAAUCCAGUCAUUUUUUCAGUGACAGAGACGCAGUUCUUUUGGUCACUGAGGACUUUGCUCUGACUGAGGAGUUAGGAAUUCGCCAGUGCGAAUUGCCUACACAGUGAGGAACAUGAUAGCCCUGAGGAAUUUGAGAGUCAAAUUUCCGACCAUUGCUGUGCUGCACGCCGGCUGUCCAAAAUAUCUUAUCCACCUAACGGUCAUAUCAUUGAAGGGCAUUUAUGUCUUAUCAUGUCGGGCUGCUCCCUAGGCUAUAAAUAGCCGCCCCCUACAACCACUAGUUGGUUGGCUGCUCCGAGAGAACUUGACACUUGUCAUCUGAGAGCAACCCAUCCUCCGAGGACUUUGAGCGAAAAUCAUCAAGUGAGGAAAAUCCAAAACCAAACCCCCACAAACCCAAAGUGAUUGAGCAUCACUGAAGAAAUUGAUCCUGUGUGGAUCCGACGCUUGUUACCUUUGAAGAUUGUGCUUCUUCCAGACGGUUAGGCGUCAAGGUCUAGAGCAUCCAAGAGGAAUUGUGGAUCGCCGAGUGACCAAGUCUGUGAAGGUUUGGAAGUCACCUGAAGACUUACCACGAGUGAUUGGACGAGACCUGUGUGGUCUUAGUUCAAGGAGAAUACGGUGAGGACUGGGUGUCCUGAGUUGCGGCUCAGAGACUGGGUGUCCGGGACUGCGUGUCCUCGAGUUUAAAUACUCAGCCGCUCCAACCAUACGUACAACUGAGACAGCAGUUGGAACUGGUUUACCAAAUCAUUGUCUUCACCAACUAACUGGUUCUAUUUCCUCAACCCUUUCAUUUCCUCAUUACUGUGUUGAAUGUUGUUCAUAUCUGUGCUUGAAGACUUUGACUGAAGACUUUCUCAAUUUCCUCAGUUCAAUUUCUUCAGUCUGUUUGUCUUCAUCUUGUUAUCCUAUGUUUACGCUUUCUGUACUCUAUGAUAGUAUUCAUUUCAUCAUGAUGACUAUGCUUGUAUCAUGUUAUGUUUACUUCUGAGUACUUAUUCCGCUGCAAGUAGUUCUUCGCUAAGGAAUUUCCUCACUGGCAAAUUCCUCAGUGAAGAAUUCAUAAAAAUCGCCUAUUCACCCCCCCUCUAGUCGAUAUAACGCACUUUCAAUUGGUAUCAGAGCGAGGUACUCCCUUGUUCUGUGUGAUUUUGGUUUAACCUCCUGGAGUUUUAGUUAUGUCGACCACAGGUAUGAAGAAAGUCACAUGCCCUAUCUUUGACGGUCAUGAUUAUCCCAAGUGGAAGGCCAUGAUGAGGAAGCGCCUCAUGGCUAGGAACAGCGAGCUGUGGACAGUCACUGAAAUUGGUCUUACUGAUCUAUGCAAGAUGGCGAACGCAGAUGACAUUCGCAAGUACACUCGACUUGACAUCAUAGCGAAGGAUAUCAUCUGUUCCUGCCUAUCCAGAGAUCAAUUUGGGCGCAUUAUGCAUCUUGGCAAUUCGAAGCUUAUCUGGGACCGAAUCUUUGAUGUCUAUGAAGAUCAUCGAACUCGUCAUGAUCCCUGGUUUGAGGACUUCAAGGAUAUCUCUCAAAACGAUGACUUUCGAGCCAGAAUCAUCAUCUUCUGCAUCGUGUCUCAUGGCAGACGGUGCUGAGGUAACCAAAUGCUCCUCAUCCGAGUUCUGUGACGAUGAAUCUGAUAAUGAUGAAUCUGAUAAUGUUGAAUCUGAUAAUGAUGAAUCUGAUAAUGAUGAAUCUGAUGAUGACAUUGAAUCUUGUUAUUCCAAACUCAUUUGCAUUGCCACUAAACAACAAACAGCUUUGGAACAAACUCAAGACAUGUUAGCCAAAAGUGAUGAUAUGUUGCGUAAAGAAAUGGAUCAGUCAAAAGCAUUGGGUGAAUGUCUUCAGAGAAUUCACUCCAAGUUUGACGCCCUUCAAGAUCAACAUAAUACCCUCUUGACAGAUCACGAGAAGCUUUCUCUUGAAUUUCUUCAAAGAAAGGAAGAUCUUGAAAAGCUAAGAGUGUGUUAUGAAGAUCUUCAGAAGGAGCGCGAUUCAUUACUAGCUCAACAGAUCAGCACUUCUUAGGAAGAAUUUGUUCCUCCAUGCUUAAAGUGCAUUGAACGUGAAUCUGCUAAUUCUUCACCUGAAUGUUCAAAUGCUUCAACUGUUAUAAAUUCUUCAUCUGCCUCUGCUAUCACUAAUUCCUCACCUGAGGACAUUGCUAGUAUCACUGACAAUGCAGGGCUGAAGGAAUUGUACAUGACAGGCAUGUACAAAAGCCUCAAAGGGCAUCAGACUCUAUGUGAUGUGCUUAAAAAGCAGAUCCUUAACAGAAACCCUAGGAAAGAGGGUAUUGCAUUUGAGAGGAAACUCAAUGCUGAUGGAACAUAUUGGAAACCUGAGCAGUACCCCAAAACCUCAUGGGUUGCUGCAAAGGGACCUCCAGUUGAUCCAUCUAACUUAUCUGGCUUUACAUGUGAAUCUCCUCAUUCUUCUGAUGAGUCAUUUGACUCCAACUAUAAAAUGUUCAAAAAUCAAAAUGGUGAAGUAUUUGCUAGAUAUGUUGGCACUAACUGCAGGAACGGUUCCCCUAUGAAGAAAAUCUGGGUUCCCAAAAGUUAUGUUGAAAGUCUUCAGGUGAAUGUCCUCAUGACACCACCUGUGAAGAACAGGAACCUCAGAUCAAAUUCUUCAUAUGGACCAAAUUCUUCAUAUGGAUCCAAGUCCUCAUACGGACCAAAUUCCUCACGUGGAUCAAAUUCCUCAACAGGAUCGAAGUCCUUGUAUGAUUAUCAUCGUGCUAACAACUUUGUCUCGCGGGGUAGAGCUAAGGGCUAUGAAUAUGUGCAUUAUUCCUCCAACCAUUAUGUUCAUAAGUCCUCGAAGAAUUACUCUGCUUAUUCAUAUGCUUACCCUAACCCAUCUUAUGUGAAACAAAACGGUUUGGCAUCUUUGCCCCCAUUCUCACAUGGUGCUCGCAGAAUGAUGAACUCUUUGCCACCCCUUCAGAUGUGGGUGGUGAAGAAAAAGAACUAAUCUCUUCUGCAGGGUCAGGUCUCCAGACGUGCUCUAACGUCUGAAGAAUUUGCUGGGGACCUGACGAAAUGCCUGAAAGGACGCAGGCGAAUCACGAUGAAAUGAACUUUCAUUUCACACGUCCUCAUACUGCUAUAUCAGUUUACUGCUUGAUGAAAUUCAUCUGAUGAACUUGAUAUCAUAUUCUUCACUGACGAAGCAUAUGAGAUUGUAAGCUACACUAAUUCAUCUGCAGGAUGAUCAACCCAAAACCACUGAAUGGGUCCUCGAUAGUGGAUGUACAAAUCACAUGACUGGUGACAAGAAUCUAUUGAUGGAUGCUCCCUUAUCACCGUCACCUCUGAAGCAUAUCAUCUUUGCUGACAAAGGCAAAAGUCAGGUAUUGGGUCUUGGUAAGGUUGCAAUCUCUAAGGAUAAACACAUGGACAAAGUCAUGCUUGUUGAGUCCUUAGGAUACAAUCUAAUGUCAGUCUCAAUGCUUUGUGAUCUUGAUAUGGUUGUUGUCUUUGGCAAGUAUCGCUAUGUUGUGAUUAUGGAAGCUGACAAUUCCAAAGUCUUCGAAGGCUUUAGGAGAGGAGAUUUGUAUAUUGUUGAUUUCUCUACAGGACCACAACCAGCCGUGUGUCUACUUCCAAAAGCUUCAGAAGGCUGGCUAUGGCAUCGACGACUUGGUCACGCAGGCAUGAGGAAUUUGAACACGCUUGCGAAGAAGAAGCAUGUCAUUGGCAUUGAGAAUGUCAAAUUCCUCAAGGAUCACUUAUGCGGAGCCUGUGAAGCUGGAAAAAUGACCAAGGCCAAGCAUCCAGCGAAGACUAUCAUGACCACUACACGUCCAUUCGAAUUGCUUCACAUGGACCUCUUCGGACCUAACCAUUACUCAGCAGUCACUAAUGAUGCAUCUCUAUAUGGUUUUGUCAUUGUUGAUGAUUAUUCUCGAUAUACAUGGGUACACAUUGUUACUUACAAACAUGAAGUGCAGGAAGUCUUCAAACGAUUUUCCUCGAGGGCUUCAACCAACUUUGGUGUGAAGAUCAAGCAUAUUAGAAGUGACAAUGGAACUGAGUUCAAGAAUUCCGGUCUUGAUGCCUAUCUUGAUGAACUUGGUAUUACUCAUGAGUUAUCUGCUCCCUAUACUCCUCAGCAGAAUGGCGUCGUGGAGCGCAAGAACAGAACUCUUGUUGAGAUGGCUCGCACUAUGCUUGAUGAAUACAAAACGCCUCAGCGUUUUUGGAUUGAUGCUAUUGAUACUGCGUGCCACAUCAUCAACAGAGUAUAUCUUCACAAAUUCUUCAAGAAGACGGCCUAUGAACUCCUCACUGACAAGAAACCCAAUGUGAGUUAUUUCAAAGUCUUCGGUGCUAAAUGCUGGAUUAGAGAUCCUCACCACAACUCUAAAUUUGCACCGAAAGCACAUGAAGAUUUUAUGCUUGGUUAUGGAAAGGACUCGCACACCUACAGAGUCUUCAACAUUGUUCUUCACAAGAUUGUUGACACUGUAGAUGUGCGGUUCGAUGAAACUAAUGGCUCGCAAAGAGAGCACCUGCCUUCUGUGAUAGAUGAACCAGCACCUGAGGAUGCUAUCAAGCUCAAGGCAACUGAGGAUGUCAUUCCUACUGAAGAAUCUGCUGAAGAAUUCAUUCCUGUCCAUGAAGAACGUCGAGCUGAUGCACCUGAAGAACAUGAUGAGGAAAAUGGUGCUGAAGAAAAUGUUGAUCAAAAUCCUCAGUGACAACCAGCUCACCCUCGGGUUGCAAAAGAAGUGCAAGUGGAGAAGAUCAUCGAUGACAUUAGCGCACCAGGUCCUCUCACACGCUUAAAAGCUUCACAUUUAUCUAACUUUUGUGGGCACUAUGCUUUUGUCUCUAUCACAGAGCCCACUAAGGUAGAUGAAGCAUUUCUGGAGCCGGAGUGGAUUCAGGCUAUGCAAGAAGAAUUACAUCAGUUCGAGCUUAACAAUGUCUGGGAAUUGGUCAAUCGCCAGAUCCUCGCAAGCAUAAUAUCAUUGGCACAAAGUGGAUCUACCGCAACAAGCAAGAUGAAAAUGGCCUUGUGGUGAGGAAUAAGGCACGACUAGUAGCUCAAGGCUACACACAGGUUGAAGGAAUUGAUUUCGAUGAAACUUUUGCACCUGUUGCUAGACUUGAGGCUAUUCGCAUAUUACUUGCCUAUGCUAACCAUCAUGAUAUCAUCUUAUAUCAAAUGGAUGUGAAAAGUGCAUUCCUCAAUGGUAAGCUUGAGGAAGAAGUAUAUGUUGCUCAACCCCCAGGUUUUGAAGAUCCAAAGAAUCCUGACAAAGUCUUUAGACUCAAUAAGGCCCUGUAUGGCCUCAAGCAAGCCCCUCGGGCGUGGUAUGAUACACUGAAGGAAUUCUUUGUGAAGAAUGGCUUCACACCCGGUUCACUCGACCCUACUCUUUUUACUAAGUCAUAUGAUGGUGAACUGUUUGUGUGCCAAAUAUAUGUUGAUGAUAUUAUCUUUGGUUGUACUGACCAACGUUAUAGUGAUGAAUUUGCCUAUAUGAUGAGUGAAGGAUAUCAAAUGUCUAUGAUGGGAGAGUUGAAAUUCUUCUUAGGUCUUCAAAUUCGUCAGCAGCGCAAUGGCAUAUUCAUAUCUCAGGAGAAAUACCUCAAAGAUGUACUGAGGAAAUUCGGCAUGCAAGAUUGCAAAGGCGUCAAAAUUCCUAUGCCCACAAAUGGCCAUCUGUGCACUGAUGAAAAUGGUAUUGACUUCGAUCACAAGGUAUACCGCUCCAUGAUUGGUUCUUUAUUGUACUUAUGUGCAUCUAGGCCAGAUAUAAUGCUUAGUGUUUGCAUGUGUGCCCGAUUUCAAGCUGCACCGAAGGAAUCACACCAUAAGGCUAUGAAGCAUAUUCUUCGAUAUCUAGCUCACACACCAACACUAGGAUUAUGGUACCCCAAGGGCUCUGCUUUUGAUCUCAUUGGAUAUUCUGACUCUGACUAUGCUGGUGAUCGUGUGGACCGCAAGUCAACAUCUGGCACUUGUCAUUUCCUCGGACGAUCUUUGGUCUGUUGGUCCUCGAAGAAAUAGAACUGUGUAUCACUGUCUACUGCUGAAGCUGAAUACAUUGCUGUUGGCUCUUGUUGUGCUCAACUGCUUUGGAUGAAGCAAACCCUCAAGGACUAUGGCGUCAACGUGAAUAAUGUGCCUCUCCUCUGCGACAAUGAGAGUGCCAUCAAGAUUGCUCACAACCCAGUUCAGCACUCGAAGACAAAGCACAUCCAAAUUCGUCAUCAUUUCCUUCGUGAUCAUGUGUUGAAGGGUGAUAUCUCCAUCGAGCACGUGAAGACUGAAGAACAGUUAGCAGAUAUCUUCACUAAGCCCUUGGAUGAGAAGAGAUUUAGCAAGUUGCGGUGUGAGCUAAAUAUCUUAGAAUCUUCGAAUGUUCUUUGAAAAGGACACACAUCCUAACCCUUAUGCAGAAUUGAUGACUUAGAUGUGCAACACAUAAAGAAACGGUUUUCUUCAAUCAAUGAAGAAUAACACUCUAAGUGUGAAAAAAAUAAUGAAGAAUUUGAUUCUCAGAACCCUACGACAAUUGUACAUGGUGUCUGAAAUCAUCAUUCUUAUACGGUGGGUCACGCCACCACAAGAAGUUGAAAAUCUUCAAUUUGAGUUUUCCCUCAGUUUUGAAAUUCUUCAGUUUUUCAAACUCUUCAACUUUGCAAAAUCUUCACUGUUUCCGUCAUUUUUCUUCAUUGGCCAUAUAUAUAUGUGAGCUUAUGUCCUCUACAGCAUUCACUUAUUGCUAUUUCUUCAAGUUGUGAUUUCUGCUAAGUGAAUGUGAUCGGACCCUUCCCCCUUUAUGCUAUACUCAACCCAAUCUAUUCACAAAUUCUUCAUGUGCGUUCUAUUUGAAACUCGUUCAAAGUCUUCACUGUGUCCUUGACAGCUGAAGAAAUUGCGAACGAAACUUUAAAACAAAUCUUAUCUAGAUUUUCGGUUUUACCGCUCAAACCGUUCCGCAUCCCAUGAUGCAUUAGUUUAUUCACCCACGAUCUUACACGAUCUCAUCUGCACAAUACGUGGGUGACACAUGUCACGUGAAGGAGAAAGGGCAGGGGCAUGUUCGUCCCAAAAUCUUCGGGCGAACAGUUUUUACCGUGGCUAUAAAUACCCCUCUCCCCUUCCUCACUUCAUUUACUCCGCUCGGUCGCUGUCUCUCGCUCGAGCUUCCCAAACCCUAGCGUCGCCGCUACUCCAUCGUCGCCGCUGAGGAAGAGCUUCACUGCCUCGACCUCAUCGCCGUCGUACUCGCGCCGGCUGCGGAAAUCUUCACUCCGCCGCCGCCGUAGCUAUUUCCCUCUGCCAAGUUAGGGCGUGGGAGAUCGAACCGGACGAACUUCACAUCUGUUCAUCUCAGUUCGUCGUGUUCUUCGGUUCGGGUAAUUAAAAGUUACUUUUAUUACUCACUUUGAUUCUCAAACUUUCCUAAAAAUCUUCAAAGGUGUUUUAUUCUUCAAAUCUUCACACAUAUGAACACCUCGCACACUGUAUGCUCUUGAUCCAUUUCUCGAAGCACUCAUUUUCUUCAAGAUUCCUCAAUUGUGUGGAUUUUCGAUCUGUACAACUCUGGAACCUAAGACAAAGAGCACUUAGUGAAAUUCCUCAAGGCUCAAUGGGUCAAAUUCCUCAAAACUUGUCUUUUCAAAAAAUCCUUCCGAGAACGCAUAUGACCUCUUCAAAUUUCUCGCACCUACACUCCGUUCACAGGUACUCAUGACCGCUGCUGAAUCACUAGGUUCUCAUCAACUUAACUCAUUUGCAGCGUUCCUCGAAGAAAAACUGCAUACUUCUUCAGAGUGCUCAGUUGUUCAAAUUCCUCAUUUGAAGAAUAUGGCUAAAGGAAAGAGACCGCAGAAAGGAGGAAAGAGGCCUGAGGUCAUGACUGCUUUCGAAAUCCCUGAUGAACUCUAUAAGGAUUAUUGCACACCUGAUGAAGCCAAGUUUGGCAAAGAAAACAAGAAUCAGCGCAAGGUGCGCAUUCAGAGAAUUGAACGGAGAUGGGCAAGGGAGUGGAGAGAAUAUCGAUAUGUUACUCCAAAGUACAUGAAGAAAUUCGCCCUCAAUCCUCCGUGCCCUAGAGCUCCACUGGCACCUGGCCAAGUUGCUGAUCCCACUAGCAUCAAAAGUGGUGAAGACUUUCCUGAAGAAUGGGCUAAGCGCCAAGCAAAAUUAGCAAGGCAAGCCAAGGAGGCAGUGAGGAAAUUCAAUGAGGAUUCUGCCGCUGCUGCUGCCGCUGAGACCUCCGUCAAACUGAGGAAAUCAAUGCCGAAGAAGCCUGCACGCAAGCCAAGUGCUUCACCAACAGCGCCCUCACGGCCAGGUUCCUUAGCUACACCCUCACGGCAAAUUCCUCAGACUGCCACUGCUCCACCAAAGUCCUCAGCAGCUCCCUCAAAGUCCUCAACUCCUGUGCUUCUGGCUACAUGUCAAAGGACUCAGGGUUUCUCAAUUGCUUCUGGUGUCUCAGCAAGUUCCUCAGCUGCACCAAUGUCCUCAUCAGCCCCCACUCUGUUGAAGACUAAAGCAACAGCUGGACGCGAUCCUCGGCCAAGUCCAAGGAAGAAACAGGUUGCAUUCCAAGUGCCAUCUGAUGAUGAAGCUUCUGAUGAAGAACUUGCAGAAAUCAUCAGAGAUAGACAAGUGAAGGCCGCUAGAGCCAAAGGGACGUUUGUGCCACUGCUUUUGGAUCCGAAGAAGAUCCUCGACUACAUCGAUCUCUGGCACAAGGAUCCGAACACUCCAAUGCCUGAUCUGCCUCUGACUCCCGGUCAAAGUCACAUGCUGACCCAUUUUAUCUCUCAAGAGAAAUGGAAGUUUGAAAAGGCUCAUGAAAUCAAAAAGGCUCAAUCUAGAAAGGAGAAGCUCCUGAAGAAGAAUGUUGUAAGACUGACUCCUGAGGAACUUCUCAAGGCUCAAUCUGAAAUCCAAGCACUCAGCAAGGACUUCGAUGCAUACAAUGCUGAUUGGCAAGGAGCCAAAGUGAGAUUCGUCAACCUGACGAAGAAAAUGACAACUGUUGCAGCCCCAUCGCAACAAGAAAAUCCUCAGGCUGCAGAUUCUGCUCAGCCUGCUGAAGAACAUGCCAGCACCGCUGAUGACUUUCACCAUGCUGAUGAAAAUACAAGUUCCAGGGAUGAUGACUCCAUCCCAGCCGCUGAAGAAAUUGCCAGGGCAUCCACUAGUGGUGCGCCUGAAGAAACUGAAGAAAUCAGGGCAACUGCACCAGUUGCGCCUGAAGAAAAUCAACCACAGUCCUCAGCUCCUCCCGCGCCAACACCAACUCCAAUUCUUCCUUCUGCCUAUGAAGUGAAGAAGAGCAAGGCUGCAGAGCGAGCUGUAGUGAAGAAAAGGAAGGCAUCAGCUGCGUCAAAUUCUUCGGCUGCGAAGAAAAUGAAGCCAAUGACCAGCUCUCUUGAAAAUCCUAUUGAUGUCGUUCCGAUUUCCUCCAUGUCAUCAAAGGAAAUUGUUCCUUAUGGAGAAGACUACAAGAUCCCAAGCGGAUCUGAUGAAGAAAAUCAUUCUGCUGCUACUUCAGAGCAGUUUGAUGAAGAAAUUGAAGUGGAAGCAAUCCCUUCAACGCCACUCAUUUCCUCACCUAUGCCUCAGUUCACAGCUGAAGAGGCGGGUGUUGAGGAAAUUGAAAAUGAAGAUGAAGAUGUGGAUAUUGGAUGCACUACACCAGUGAUGAAUGAUGACUUUUGGGAAAGUCAGCAUCCCAAUACUCCUCCAUUUACACCGAUCCAACAAAUUCCUCAGUCCCCGGCAACCAUAGUUCAGAUGGGCUCUGAAGAAACUCAUCCCACUCCUUCUGUUCAUGAAGAAAUUCCAGCCGCUAGUGCUGAAGAACCUGCUGCUGCUGAUCCUCAAGUUGCACAAGAGGAGGAACCAGAAAUUCCUCAGCCUGCAGAACCUGAGCUCAUGAUUCCUGAGGUUGUGCUGCAAAUCACUGACACUCCUCUGCCCAAGCCGAAGAAUCCGUUCUCAAGCAAGCAAAAAUUCAAGGCUGAAGACUUCUUUUCUGAGCAUGUGUUCUUCACUGAUUAUAAUCCAUAUGACUCUGCUCGCAUAAGGAAGAGGCGUUUCUGGACUGCAAGUCAAGCCAACUUUAUUCCUCAGUGCUCUUCGACAAGGACAAAAUCUUCGAUCAUGAACAUAUUCCUCAUGUGGGUAUGGAAUCUCUGCCGUGCUUCGAGCCAGUCCUCAGAGUUAUUCACGAUGCAGGACUACUGAACUUUUGCACUGAUAUCUGUGAUUGGAAUGAAGAACUCAUUCUUCAGUUCUACACCACAUUGCAUAUCACUGGAGACGCUGAAGAUAUCAAUUCAUGGGUGCUGGAUUGGUAGACCGAAAACACUCACUAUAAGGCACCAGCAACUGAAUUGCUUCAUGUCCUUCCUCUUGAUCCUCCCCAGGACAGUGCACGUUGCAUCUACAAUGACCGUGAACUGACAAAUCAUUAUAUGCAAGUGCUCAUGAAGCCUUUGAAGCCAGGGCAGGCCCCAUGAACCAAAUUCCUCGUCAAGGAAUUGCUCUAUGUGCCUCGGACUGUCUAUCGCAUCCUGACGAAGACAAUGAGUCCUAUCAAAGGCCACGACUCAAAUGAUGAAGAUGUCGUUGGCAUCAUGAAGAACAUGCUUUUCAACAUCAUUCAUGGCGUUCCCGUCAACUUCCAUGGUUUCUUCAUGAGGACUCUUGCAAAUGUUGCAAUGUCACCAUUCGAGCUGAAGCCCUAUGCGCCUUGGAUUAUGAGAUUCAUAAGGGCAAGAUCUUCACUGAAUUACAAGGCUGACACUCUGAACCAUGGUAGCUACUUGCCUCCCAUUGAAGUCCUCAAGUGACCAGUUUCAUCAUCUGAUGAUAAAGGCAAGGCAGCUGCUAUGAUUGAUGAAGGCACUCGUCCAUUGGAUGGUCAAUUUCGUCUGGCUACAUCUUAUUCUACCAAUGACGACUUUGCCACACAUGACACUGCCGCAAAUACCUCAGCAAAGCAAAAUCCUCAAGCCACAGCUCCCAGGGUGAUGACUGAUCGUGAGUUACUCCUCAGUCUUCAUCAGAAGGUUGAUCGCAAUCACAAAUGGGUGAAGCGUCAGUUUGCUGCUAUUCUUCACAAUAUGACCUCAACACAUAAUGCAGUGAAGAAGAACCAUUAUCACCUUCAUGAAACCCUCAACCGCACCUGGGCUGUUCUCACUCAUGUAUAUUGCGCGGAAGAACUAAAGACUAUGGAUCUCCAGGAAGCAUUUGACUGGUCUGCACCUCCUCCGAAGAAAUUCAAGAGAGUCAAAGUGCCUGAUCUGGUUGCCAGCUCCUAUUCUUCAUCGUGUGACACUGAUGAAUUUGAAGAUUUGGAUGACACUACGGUAGGCCCUACUUCAACAAACAACCCCGACAACGCCGGCGCUCCUCCAUCAACGUGAAAAUCUUCAGGGGCGUUAGUCCUCAGUUUCGAUCCUUUUGGUCAUUUGAUGACAAAGGGGGAGAAAUCUGAGUUAGUCUUCAAGCGGGUUUAUAUUAUGGGCGUUUUUUUAAGUUACAACUCUCGUUCUUCCGAAACUUUUAGUGGAUCGAGUUGUAAUCUUAAAACCGAUGGUGCCUUGAUACUUUUGGUCGUGCUAUGAUGCUUUUGAUGCACUGAGCUCUGAUACUUUUGAUGUGCUAUUCUGCAUGCUUAUACUUUUGAUGAGCUAUGAUACUUUUGAUACUUUUGAUGUUUUAAUAUUAUUGCACGCAUGCUGAAUUACAUCAGGCACCAUAUUUCAUCAUGCAUUUCAAAUUCUUCAUAUUAUAUAUCAAAUGCGUGUAUGAAUUACAAGAUAUAGGGGGAGAUCUCCAUGAUUCAAUUCUUCAAAUGUGCAUUGCCUCAAAAGCAAAUUCCUCACUAUGCACAUAGUCAGGGGGAGUUCUUCUAUAUCUUGCAAUCAAAUUCCUCAAUAUCAGUAUUUACACUUCACAUAUUUAUCCCCGUUGAAAACUUAACCUAUGUUGUCAUCAAUCACAAAAAAGGGGGAGAUUGUAAGUGCAUCUAGUGCCCCUUAGUGAUUUUGGUGUAUUGAAGACUUAUAGGUUAAGGGACUGAUGCGUUUGUGAGUGUACACAGGUCUAUAAGUCUAUGAGGAGUUUGAUAUUUACAGAGAAAGUCAACCCCUAAAAAUGAAGUUCUUCGACUGAAGACUUUGAUAUUCUGAAGACUUUCUGAAGACUUUGAAAGUGAAGAAAUUGGUGUGACCUUGAAGACUUGGUAUUCAUUUGAGGAACAUGAAGCGUGAAGACUUUUGUUUUUGUAGUUUCAUUUUCUCUUUCUUGAGUCAUAGGAAACACCGUACUGUUAAAGGGGGUCGAGGAAAUACUAAGGAAAAAUUUCCAUGUGAUGCUCAACUCAAAAUCCUACACCUACUAAUCCCUUCGAGUGAAGCCAUUGGAAAUCUCAUACAGUCCAGUCAUUUUCUUCAGUGACAGAGACGCAGUUCUUUUGGUCACUGAGGACUUUGCUCUGACUGAGGAGUUAGGAAUUCGCCAGUGCGAAUUGCCUACACAGUGAGGAACAUGAUAGCCCUGAGGAAUUUGAGAGUCAAAUUUCCGACCGUUGUUGUGUUGCACGCCGGCUGUCCAAAAUAUCUUAUCCACCUAACGGUCAUAUCAUUGAAGGGCAUUUAUGUCUUAUCAUGUCGGGCUGCUCCCUAGGCUAUAAAUAGCCGCCCCCUACAACCACUAGUUGGUUGGCUGCUCCGAGAGAACUUGACACUUGUCAUCUGAGAGCAACCCAUCCUCCGAGGACUUUGAGCGAAAAUCAUCAAGUGAGGAAAAUCCAAAACCAAACCCCCACAAACCCAAAGUGAUUGAGCAUCACUGAAGAAAUUGAUCCUACGUGGAUCCGACGCUUGUUACCUUUGAAGAUUGUGCUUCUUCCAGACGGUUAGGCGUCAACGUCUAGAGCAUCCAAGAGGAAUUGUGGAUCGCCGAGUGACCAAGUCUGUGAAGGUUUGGAAGUCACCUGAAGACUUACCACGAGUGAUUGGACGAGACCUGUGUGGUCUUAGUUCAAGGAGAAUACGGUGAGGACUGGGUGUCCUGAGUUGCGGCUCAGAGACUGGGUGUCCGGGACUGUGUGUCCUCGAGUUUAAAUACUCAGCCGCUCCAACCAGACGUACAACUGAGACAGCAGUUGGAACUGGUUUACCAAAUCAUUGUCUUCACCAACUAACUGGUUCUAUUUCCUCAACCCUUUCAUUUCCUCAUUACUGUGUUGAAUGUUGUUCAUAUCUGUGCUUGAAGACUUUGACUGAAGACUUUCUCAAUUUCCUCAGUUCAAUUUCUUCAGUCUGUUUGUCUUCAUCUUGUUAUCCUGUGUUUACGCUUUCUAUACUCUGUGAUAGUCUUCAUUUCAUCAUGAUGACUAUGCUUGUCUCCUGUUAUGUUUACUUCUGAGUACUUAUUCCGCUGCAAGUAGUUCUUCGCUAAGGAAUUUUCUCACCGGCAAAUUCCUUAGUGAAGAAUUCAUAAAAAUCGCCUAUUCACCCCCCCUCUAGUCGAUAUAACGCACUUUCACGGCAGAGUGCCGGCGAAGGCUCCAAGAUGGGAUCUCGCGGAUACAGAAGGUUACGGCGAUGGAAAUUGUGUUUCGUGGUGCUCUUGGAUGUUUUCGGGGUACGUAGGUAUAUAUAGGAGGAAGAAGUACGUCGGUGGCCGCCCGAGGGGCCCACAAGACAGGGGGCGCGCCCUACAGGGGGGGCGCGGCCCCCUAUCUCGUGGGGCCCUCGGAAGCUUCUUGAUUUGCACUCCAAGCUCUCCAGAUCAUGUUCGUUCCAAAAAUCACGCUCCCGAAGGUUUCAUUCCGUUUGGACUCCGUUUGAUAUUCCUUUUCUUCGAAAUACUGAAAUAGGCAAAAAAAACAGCAAUAUGGGUUGGGCCUCCGGUUAGUAGGUUAGUCCCAAAAAUGAUAUAAAUGUGUAAAAUAAAGCCCAUAAACAUCCAAAAGGGGUAAUAUAAUAGCAUGGAACAAUCAAAAAUUAUAGAUACGUUGGAGACGUAUCAAGCAUCCCCAAGCUUAAUUCCUGCUCGUCCUCGAGUAGGUAAAUGAUAAAAAAGAAAUUUUUCAUGUGGAAUGCUACCUAGCAUAAUUCAUAAUGUAAUUUUCUUUAUUGUGGCAUGAAUGUUCAGAUCCAAAUGAUACAAAAUAAAAGUUCAUAUUGACAUAAGAAAUAGUAAUACUUCAAGCAUACUAAUCAAAGUAAUCAUGUCUUCUCAAAAUAACAUGGCCAAAGAAAGUUAUCCCUACAAAAUCAUAUAGUCUGGCUAUGCUCUAUCUUCAUCACACAAAGUAUUUAAUCAUGCACAACCCCGAUGAAAAGCCAAGCAAUUGUUUCAUACUUUAAUAAUUUCACACUUUUUCAACUUUCACGCAAUACAUGAGCGUGAGCCAUGGACAUAGCACUAUAUGUGGAAUAGAAGGGUGGUUGUGGAGAAGACAAAAAGGAGAAGAUAGUCUCACAUCAACUAGGCGUAUCAACGGGCUAUGGACAUGCCCAUUAAUAGAUAUCAAUGUGAGUGAGUAUGGAUUGCCAUGCAACGGAUGCACUAGAGCUAUAAAUAUAUGAAAGCUCAACAAAAGAAACUAAGUGGGGUGCAUCCAACUUGCUUGCUCAUGAAGACCUAGGGCACUUUGAGGAAGCCCAUCAUUGGAAUAUACAAGCCAAGUUCUAUAAUGAAAAAUUCCCACUAGUAUAUGAUAGUGACUACAUAUGAGGCUCUCUAACAUGAAGAUCAUAGUGCUAUUUUGAAGCACAAGUGUGGAAAAAGAGAUAGUAGCAUUGUCCUUUCUCUCAUUUUAUUAUUAUUAUUAUUUCCUUUUUUUUCCUUUUUUUUCUUUGGCCUUUUUUUGGCCUUUCUCUUUUUUUUUGUAAAGUCCAAAGUCUCAUCCCGACUUGUGGGGGAAUCAUAGCCUUCAUCAUCCUUUCCUCACUAGGACAAUGCUCUAAUAAUGAAGAUCAUCACACUUUUAUGGAUUUACAACUCAAAGCUAGAACAAGAUAUGACUCUAUAUGAAUGCCUCUGGCGGUGUACCGGGAUAUGCAAUGAAUCAAGAGUGACAUGUAUGAAAAUUAUGAAGGUGGCCUUGCCACAAAUACGAUGUCAACUACAUGAUCAUGCAAAGAGCAAUAUGACAAAAGUAAUGCGUGUCAUAUGAACGGAACGGUGGAAAGUUGCAUGGCAAUAUAUCUCGGAAUGACUAUGGAAAUGCCAUAAUAGGUAGGUAGGGUGGCUGUUUUGAGGAAGGUAGAUGGUGGGUGUAUGGUACCGGCGAAAGUUGCGUGGUACAAGAGAGGCUAGCAAUGGUGGAAAGGUGAAAAAGUGCGUAUAAUCCAUGGACUCAACAUUAAUCAAAAGAACUCAUAUACUUGUUGCAAAAAUUUAGAAGUCAUCAAAAACCAAAGAACUACGCGCAUGCUCCUAGGGGGAUAGAUUGGUAGGAAAAGACCAUCGCUCGUCCCCGACCGCCACUCAUAAGGAAGACAAUCAAUAAAUAAAAUUGUGCUCCGACUUCAUCACAAAGCGGUUCACCAUACGUGCAUGUUACGGGAAUCACAAGCUUCAACACAAGCAUUAUUUAAAUUCAUAAUCACCCAACUAGCAUGACUUUAAUAUCACUACCCCCAUAUCUCAAAACAAAUAUCAAGCAUCAAAUUGAUCAUAGCAUCCAAUUCACUUUCUAUGAUAGUUUUUAUUAUACCCAACUUGGAUGCUCAUCAUUCUAGGACCAACUUUAUGAUCAUAGCAAAUAUCAUGCUGUUCUAACAGACUCUCAAAAUAAUAUAAGUGAAGCAUGAGAGACUAGCAAUUUCUUCAAAAUUAAGACACCACCAUGCUCUAAAAGAUAUAAGUGAAGCACUAGAGCAAAAAUUAUCAAACUCAAAAGAUAUAAGUGAAGCACAUAGAGUAUUCUAGCAAAUCCUAAUCAAAUAGGCUUCUCCCAAAAGGUGUGUACAGCAAGGAUGAUUGUGGUAAACUAAAAAGCAAAGACUAAUAUAAUACACGACGCUCCAAGCAAAACACAUAUCAUGUGGCGAAUAAAAAUAUAGCUCCAAGUAAAGUUACCAAUGAACAAAGACGAAAGAGGGGAUGCCUUCCCGGGGCAUCCCCAAGCUUAGGAUUUUGGCUAUUCUUGAAUAUCUUGGGGUGCCAUGGGCGUCCCCAAGCUUAGGCUCUUGCCACUCCUUAUUCCAUAGUCCAUAAAAGCUUUACCCAAAACUUGAAAACUUCACAACACAAAACUCAACAGGAAAUCUUAUAAGCUCCGUUAGUGAAAGAAAACAAAACCACCACAUAAGGUACUGCCAUGAACUCAUUCUUUAUUUAUUUUGGUGUUAAACCUACUGUAUUCCAACUUCUUUAUGGUUCAUAGACGGAAUUACUAGCCAUAGAAGCAUUGAAAUAAGCAAAUAACACACGAAAAACAGAAUCUGUCAAAAACAGAACAGUCUGUAGCAAUCUGUAACUAACGCAAACUUCUGGAACUCUAAAAAUCCUACCAAAAUAGGAAGUCCUGGACAAUUUGUUUAUUGAACAGCAUCAAAAUAAAUCAACGCAAAAGCACGUUCCUGUGAUUUAUCAAAAUUACACUUGUGCGUGCAAAGUUUCUGUUUUUCAGCAGAAUCAAAUCAACUAUCAUCGUAGGUUAUCCUAUAGGUUCUACUUGGCACAAACACUAACUAAAAGAUAAAAACACAUCUAAACAGAAGGUAGAUGCAAGAUUUAUUACUAAACAGGAGCAAAAACAAAAAAACAUAAAGAAAAUUGGGUUGCCUCCCAAUUAGCGCUAUUGUUUAACGCCCCUAGCUAGGCAUAAAAGCAAAGAUAGAUCUAACGAGUGCCAUCUUUGGCACUAAAUUCAUAAGUAGCACGCAUGAUAGAUUCAUAAGGUAAUAGACCCUCAAAAAAAAGAUUCAUAAGGUAAUUUGACUUUCUUUCUUGGAAAGUGCUCCAUGCCUUUCUUUAAGGGAAACUGGAAUCUAAUAUUCCCUUCCUUCAUAUCAAUAAUCGCACCAAUCGUUCUAAGGAAAGGUCUACCAAGAAUAAUAGGGCAAGAAAGAUUGCAAUCUAUAUCAAGAAUGAUAAAAUCUACGGGCACCGAAUUUCUAUUUGCAACAAUAAGAACAUCAUUGAUCCUUCCCAUAGGCUUUUUAAUGGUGGAAUCCGCAAGGUGCAAAUUUAAAGAGCAAUCAUCAAGAUCAUGGAAACCUAGAAUAUCACAUAAAGUUUUCGGAAUCAUGGAAACACUAGCACCCAAAUAACACAAAGAAAAACACUCAUAAUCUUUAAUUCUAAUCUUUAUAGUAGGUUCCCACUCAUCAUUAAGUUUUCCAGGUAUAGAAACUUCCAAAUUAAGUUUUUCAUCAUAAGAUUGCAUCAAGGCAUCAACAAUAUGUUUGGUAAAAGCUUUGUUUUGACUAUAAGCAUGAGGAGAGUUAACAACGGAUUGCAACAAGGAAAUACAACCUUUUAAAGAACAAUUAUUAUAAUAAAAUUCCUUGAAAUCCGAGAUAGAAAGUUCAAUAUUAUUAGAAGUUGAGGAUGAAGGAAAUAUGCCCUAGAGGCAAUAAUAAAGUUAUUAUUUAUUUCCUUAUAAUCAUGAUAAAUGUUUAUUAUUCAUGCUAGAAUUGUAUUUACCGGAAACAUAAUACAUGUGUGAAUACAUAGACAAACAAAGUGUCACUAGUAUGCCUCUACUUGACUAGCUCGUUAAUCAAAGAUGGUUAUGUUUCCUAACCAUGAACAAUGAGUUGUUAUUUGAUUAACGAGGUCACAUCAUUAGUAGAAUGAUCUGAUUGACAUGACCCAUUCCAUUAGCUUAGCACACGAUCGUUUAGUAUGUUGCUAUUGCUUUCUUCAUGACUUAUACAUGUUCCUAUGACUAUGAGAUUAUGCAACUCCCGUUUACCGGAGGAACACUUUGGGUACUACCAAACGUCACAACGUAACUGGGUGAUUAUAAAGGAGUACUACAGGUGUCUCCAACGGUCGAUGUUGGGUUGGCGUAUUUCGAGAUUAGGAUUUGUCACUCCGAUUGUCGGAGAGGUAUCUCUGGGCCCUCUCGGUAAUACACAUCACAUAAGCCUUGCAAGCAUUACAACUAAUAUGUUAGUUGUGAGAUGAUGUAUUACGGAACGAGUAAAGAGACUUGCCGGUAACGAGAUUGAACUAGGUAUUGGAUACCGACGAUCGAAUCUCGGGCAAGUAACAUACCGAUGACAAAGGGAACAACGUAUGUUGUUAUGCGGUUUAACCGAUAAAGAUCUUCGUAGAAUAUGUAGGAGCCAAUAUGGGCAUCCAGGUCCCGCUAUUGGUUAUUGACCAGAGACGUGUCUCGGUCAUGUCUACAUUGUUCUCGAACCCGUAGGGUCCGCACGCUUAAGGUUACGAUGACAGUUAUAUUAUGAGUUUAUGCAUUUUGAUGUACCGAAGGUUGUUCGGAGUCACGGAUGUGAUCACGGACAUGACGAGGAGUCUCGAAAUGGUCGAGACGUAAAGAUUGAUAUAUUGGAAGCCUAUAUUUGGAUAUCGGAAGUGUUCCGGGUGAAAUCGGGAUUUUACCGGAAUACCGGGAGGGUUACCGGAACCCCCCGGGAGCUAUUUGGGCCAUAGUGGGCCUUAGUGGAAAAGAGAAGGGGCUGCCCUAGAUGGGCUGCGCCCCCCCCCCUUCCCCUAGUCCUAUUAGGACUAGGAGAGGUGGCCGGCCCCCUCCUCCUCUUUUCCCCUCCGAGGAAUCCUAGUUGGACUAGGAUUGGAGGGGGAAUCCUACUCCCAGUGGGAGUAGGACUCUCCUGCGCCUCUCCCCCUUGGCCGGCCAGCCUCCCCUCCUCUCCUCCUUUAUAUACGGAGGCAGGGGCACCUCUAAACACACAAGUUGACACAAGUUGAUCCACGUGAUCUAUUCCUUAGCCGUGUGCGGUGCCCCCUGCCACCAUAUUCCUCGAUAAUACUGUAGCAGAGUUUAGGCGAAGCCCUGCUGCUGUAGUUCAUCAAGAUCGUCACCACGCCGUCGUGCUGACGGAACUCUUCCCCGACACUUUGCUGGAUCGGAGUCCGGGGAUCGUCAUCGAGCUGAACGUGUGCUCGAACUCGGAGGUGCCAUAGUUUCGGUGCUUGAUCGGUUGGAUCGAGAAGACGUACGACUACUUCCUCUACGUCGUGUCAUCGCUUCCGCAGUCGGUCUGCAUUGGGUACGUAGACAAUACUCUCCCCUCGUUGCUAUGCAUCACAUGAUCUUGCGUGUGCGUAGGAAAAUUUUUGAAAUUACUACGAAACCCAACAGUGGCAUCCGAGCCAGGUUAUUUAUGUUGAUGUUAUAUGCACGAGUAGAACACAAGUGAGUUGUGGACGAUACAAGUCAUACUGCCUACCAGCAUGUCAUACUUUGGUUCGGCAGUAUUGUUGGACGAGACGACCCGGACCAACCUUACGCGUACGCUUACGCGAGACCGGUUCCCUCGACGUGCUUUGCACAGAGAUGGCUUGCGGGCGACUGUCUCUCCAACUUUAGUUGAACCAAGUAUGGCUACGCCCGGUCCUUGCGAAGGUUAAAACGGAGUCUAUUUGACAAACUAUCGUUGUGGUUUUGAUGCGUAGGUGAGAUUGGUUCUUACUUAAGCCCGUAGCAGCCACGUAAAACAUGCAACAACAAAGUAGAGGACGUCUAACUUGUUUUUGCAGGGCAUGUUGUGAUGUGAUAUGGUCAAAGCAUGAUGCUGAAUUUUAUUGUAUGAGAUGAUCAUGUUUUGUAACCGAGUUAUCGGCAACUGGCAGGAGCCAUAUGGUUGUCGCUUUAUUGUAUGCAAUGCAAUCGCGAUGUAAUGCUUUACUUUAUUACUAAACGGUAGUGAUAGUCGUGGAAGCAUAAGAUUGGCGAGACGACAACGAUGCUUCGAUGGAGAUCAAGGUGUCGCGCCGGUGACGAUGGUGAUCAUGACGGUGCUUCGGAGAUGGAGAUCACAAGCACAAGAUGAUGAUGACCAUAUCAUAUCACUUAUAUUGAUUGCAUGUGAUGUUUAUCUUUUUAUGCAUCUUAUCUUGCUUUGAUUGACGGUAGCAUUAUAAGAUGAUCUCUCACUAAAUUAUCAAGAAGUGUUCUCCCUGAGUAUGCACCGUUGUGAAAGUUCUUCGUGCUGAGACACCACGUGAUGAUCGGGUGUGAUAGGCUCUACGUUCAAAUACAACGGGUACAAAACAGUUGCACACGCAGAAUACUCAGGUUAAACUUGACGAGCCUAGCAUAUACAGAUAUGGCCUCGGAACACGGAGACCGAAAGGUCGAGCGUGAAUCAUAUAGUAGAUAUGAUCAACAUAAUGAUGUUCACCGAUGAAACUACUCCAUCUCACGUGAUGAUCGGACAUGGUUUAGUUGAUUUGGAUCACGUGAUCACUUAGAGGAUUAUAGGGAUGUCUAUCUAAGUGGGAGUUCUUUAGUAAUAUGAUUAAUUGAACUUAAAAUUUAUCAUGAACUUAGUCCCUGAUAGUAUCUUGCUUGUUUAUGUUGAUUGUAGAUAGAUGGCUCGUGCUGUUGUUCCGUUGAAUUUUAAUGCGUUCCUUGAGAAAGCAAAGUUGAAAGAUGAUGGUAGCAAUUACACGGACUGGGUCCGUAACUUGAGGAUUAUCCUCAUUGCUGCACAGAAGAAUUACGUCCUGGAAGCACCGCUGGGUGCCAGGCCUGCUGCUGGAGCAACACCAGAUGUUGUGAACGUCUGGCAGAGCAAAGCUGAUGACUACUCGAUAGUUCAGUGUGCCAUGCUUUACGGCUUAGAAUCGGGACUUCAACGACGUUUUGAACGUCAUGGAGCAUAUGAGAUGUUCCAGGAGUUGAAGUUAAUAUUUCAAGCAAAUGCCCGAAUUGAGAGAUAUGAAGUCUCCAAUAAGUUCUAUAGCUGCAAGAUGGAGGAGAACAGUUCUAUCAGUGAGCAUAUACUCAAAAUGUCUGGGUAUAAUAAUCACUUGAUUCAAUUAGGAGUUAAUCUUCCGGAUGAUUGCGUCAUUGACAGAAUUCUCCAAUCACUGCCACCAAGCUACAAGAGCUUCGUGAUGAACUAUAAUAUGCAAGGGAUGAACAAGACUAUUCCCGAGCUCUUCGCAAUGCUGAAAGCUGCGGAGGUAGAAAUCAAAAAGGAGCAUCAAGUGUUGAUGGUUAACAAAACCACUAGUUUCAAGAAAAAGGGCAAAGGAAAGAAGAAAGGGAACUUCAAGAAGAACAGCAAGCCAGUUGCUGCUCAAGAGAAGAAACCCAAGUCUGGACCUAAGCCUGAAACUGAGUGCUUCUACUGCAAGCAGACUGGUCACUGGAAGCGGAACUGCCCCAAGUAUUUGGUGGAUAAGAAGGAUGGCAAGGUGAACAAAGGUAUAUGUGAUAUACAUGUUAUUGAUGUGUACCUUACCAAUGCUCGCAGUAGCACCUGGGUAUUUGAUACUGGUUCUGUUGCUAAUAUUUGCAACUCAAAACAGGGGCUACGGAUUAAGCGAAGAUUGGCUAAGGACGAGGUGACGAUGCGCGUGGGAAACGGUUCCAAAGUCGAUGUGAUCGCAGUCGGCACGCUACCUCUACAUCUACCUUCGGGAUUAAUAUUAGACCUAAGUAAUUGUUAUUUGGUGCCAGCGUUGAGCAUGAACAUUAUAUCUGGAUCUUGUUUAAUGCGAGAUGGUUAUUCAUUUAAAUCAGAGAAUAAUGGUUGUUCUAUUUAUAUGAGUAAUAUCUUUUAUGGUCAUGCACCCUUGAAGAGUGGUCUAUUCUUAUUGAAUCUCGAUAGUAGUAAUACACAUAUUCAUAAUAUUGAAGCCAAAAGAUGCAGAGUUGAUAAUGAAAGUGCAACUUAUUUGUGGCACUGUCGUUUAGGUCAUAUUGGUAUAAAGCGCAUGAAGAAACUCCAUGCUGAUGGACUUUUGGAACCACUUGAUUAUGAAUCACUUGGUACUUGCGAACCGUGCCUUAUGGGCAAGAUGACUAAAACACCAUUCUCCGGUACUAUGGAGAGAGCAACAGAUUUGUUGGAAAUCAUACAUACCGAUGUAUGUGGCCCGAUGAAUAUUGAGGCUCGUGGUGGAUAUCGUUAUUUUCUCACCUUCACAGAUGAUUUAAGCAGAUAUGGGUAUAUCUACUUAAUGAAACAUAAGUCUGAAACAUUUGAAAAGUUCAAAGAAUUUCAGAGUGAAGUUGAAAAUCAUCGUAACAAUAAAAUAAAGUUUCUACGAUCUGAUCGUGGAGGAGAAUAUUUGAGUUACGAGUUUGGUGUAUAUUUGAAAAACUCUGGAAUAGUUUCGCAACUCACGCCACCCGGAACACCACAGCGUAAUGGUGUGUCCGAACGUCGUAAUCGUACUUAACUAGAUAUGGUGUGAUCUAUGAUGUCUCUUACUGAUUUACCGCUAUCAUUUUGGGGAUAUGCUUUAGAGGCGGCCGCAUUCACGUUAAAUAGGGCACCAUCAAAAUCCGUUGAGACGACGCCUUAUGAACUGUGGUUUGGCAAGAAACCAAAGUUGUCGUUUCUUAAAGUUUGGGGCUGCGAUGCUUAUGUGAAAAAGCUUCAACCUGAUAAGCUCGAACCCAAAUCGGAGAAAUGUGUCUUCAUAGGAUACCCAAAGGAAACUGUUGGGUACACCUUCUAUCACAGAUCCGAAGGCAAAACAUUCGUUGCUAAGAAUGGAUCAUUUCUAGAGAAGGAGUUUCUCUCGAAAGAAGUGAGUGGGAGGAAAGUGGAACUUGACGAGGUAACUGUACCUGCUCCCUUACUGGAGAGUAGUUCAUCAUAGAAAACUGUUUCAGUGACACCUACACCGGUUAGUGAGGAAGCCAAUGAUAAUGAUCAUGAAACUUCAGAUCAAGAUACUACUGAACCCCGUAGAUCAACCAGAGUAAGAUCCGCGCCAGACUGGUACGGUAAUCCUGUUAUGGAAGUCAUGCUACUAGAUCAUGAUGAACCUACGAACUAUGAAGAAGCGAUGGUGAGCCCAGAUUCCGCAAAGUGGCUUGAAGCCAUGAAAUCUGAGAUGGGAUCCAUGUAUGAGAACAAAGUAUGGACUUUGGUUGACUUGCCCAAUGAUCGGCAAGCAAUUGAGAAUAAAUGGAUCUUUAAGAAGAAGACUGACGCUGAUGGUAAUGUUACUGUCUACAAAGCUCGACUUGUCGCAAAAGGUUUUCGGCAAGUUCAAGGGAUUGACUACGAUGAGACCUUCUCACCCGUAGCGAUGCUUAAGUCCGUCCGAAUCAUGUUAGCGAUUGCCGCAUUUUAUGAUUAUGAAAUUUGGCAGAUGGAUGUCAAAACUGCAUUCCUGAAUGGAUUUCUGGAAGAAGAGUUGUAUAUGAUGCAACCGGAAGGUUUUGUCAAUCCAAAGGGAGCUAACAAAGUGUGCAAGCUCCAGCGAUCCAUUUAUGGACUGGUGCAAGCCUCUCGGAGUUGGAAUAAACGUUUUGAUAGUGUGAUCAAAGCAUUUGGUUUUAUACAGACUUUCGGAGAAGCCUGUAUUUACAAGAAAGUGAGUGGGAGCUCUGUAGCAUUUCUGAUAUUAUAUGUGGAUGACAUAUUACUGAUUGGAAAUGAUAUAGAAUUUCUGGAUAGCAUAAAGGGAUACUUGAAUAAAAGUUUUUCAAUGAAAGACCUUGGUGAAGCUGCUUACAUAUUAGGCAUUAAGAUCUAUAGAGAUAGAUCAAAACGCUUAAUUGGACUUUCACAAAGCACAUACCUUGACAAAAUUUUGAAGAAGUUCAAAAUGGAUCAAGCGAAGAAAGGGUUCUUGCCUGUGUUACAAGGUGUGAAAUUGAGUAAGACUCAAUGCCCGACCACUGCAGAAGAUAGAGAGAAUAUGAAAGAUGUUCCCUAUGCAUCAGCCAUAGGAUCUAUCAUGUAUGCAAUGCUGUGUACCAGACCUGAUGUAUGCCUUGCUAUAAGUUUAGCAGGGAGGUACCAAAGUAAUCCAGGAGUGGAUCACUGGACAGCGGUCAAGAACAUCCUGAAAUACCUGAAAAGGACUAAGGAUAUGUUUCUUGUAUAUGGAGGUGACAAAGAGCUCAUCGUAAAAGGUUACGUUGAUGCAAGCUUUGACACUGAUCCGGACGAUUCUAAAUCGCAAACCGGAUACGUGUUUACAUUAAACGGUGGAGCUGUCAGUUGGUGCAGUUCUAAACAAAGUGUCGUAGCGGGAUCUACAUGUGAAGCGGAAUACAUAGCUGCUUCGGAAGCAGCAAAUGAAGGAGUCUGGAUGAAGGAGUUCAUAUCCGAUCUAGGUGUCAUACCUAGUGCAUCGGGUCCAAUGAAAAUCUUUUGUGACAAUACUGGUGCAAUUGCCUUGGCAAAGGAAUCCAGAUUUCACAAAAGGACCAAACACAUCAAGAGACGCUUCAACUCCAUCCGGGAUCUAGUCCAGGUGGGAGACAUAGAGAUUUGCAAGAUACAUACGGAUCUGAAUGUUGCAGACCCGUUGACUAAGCCUCUUCCACGAGCAAAACAUGAUCAGCACCAAGGCUCCAUGGGUGUUAGAAUCAUUACAGUGUAAUCUAGAUUAUUGACUCUAGUGCAAGUGGGAGACUGAAGGAAAUAUGCCCUAGAGGCAAUAAUAAAGUUAUUAUUUCUUUCCUUAUAAUCAUGAUAAAUGUUUAUUAUUCAUGCUAGAAUUGUAUUUACCGGAAACAUAAUACAUGUGUGAAUACAUAGACAAACAAAGUGUCACUAGUAUGCCUCUACUUGACUAGCUCGUUAAUCAAAGAUGGUUAUGUUUCCUAACCAUGAACAAUGAGUUGUUAUUUGAUUAACAAGGUCACAUCAUUAGUAGAAUGAUCUGAUUGACAUGACCCAUUCCAUUAGCUUAGCACACGAUCGUUUAGUAUGUUGCUAUUGCUUUCUUCAUGACUUAUACAUGUUCCUAUGACUAUGAGAUUAUGCAACUCCCGUUUACCGGAGGAACACUUUGGGUACUACCAAACGUCACAACGUAACUGGGUGAUUAUAAAGGAGUACUACAGGUGUCUCCAAUGGUCGAUGUUGGGUUGGCGUAUUUCGAGAUUAGGAUUUGUCACUCCGAUUGUCGGAGAGGUAUCUCUGGGCCCUCUCGGUAAUACACAUCACAUAAGCCUUGCAAGCAUUACAACUAAUAUGUUAGUUGUGAGAUGAUGUAUUACGGAACGAGUAAAGAGACUUGCCGGUAACGAGAUUGAACUAGGUAUUGGAUACCGACGAUCGAAUCUCGGGCAAGUAACAUACCGAUGACAAAGGGAACAACGUAUGUUGUUAUGCGGUCUGACCGAUAAAGAUCUUAGUAGAAUAUGUAGGAGCCAAUAUGGGCAUCCAGGUCCCGCUAUUGGUUAUUGACCAGAGACGUGUCUCGGUCAUGUCUACAUUGUUCUCGAACCCGUAGGGUUCGCACGCUUAAGGUUACGAUGACAGUUAUAUUAUGAGUUUAUGCAUUUUGAUGUACCGAAGGUUGUUCGGAGUCACGGAUGUGAUCACGGACAUGACGAGGAGUCUCGAAAUGGUCGAGACGUAAAGAUUGAUAUAUUGGAAGCCUAUAUUUGGAUAUCGGAAGUGUUCCGGGUGAAAUCGGGAUUUUACCGGAAUACCGGGAGGGUUACCGGAACCCCCCGGGAGCUAUUUGGGCCAUAGUGGGCCUAGUGGAAAAGAGAAGGGGCUGCCCUAGAUGGGCUGCGCCCCCCCCCCCCUUCCCCUAGUCCUAUUAGGACUAGGAGAGGUGGCCGGCCCCCUCCUCCUCUUUUCCCCUCCGAGGAAUCCUAGUUGGACUAGGAUUGGAGGGGGAAUCCUACUCCCAGUGGGAGUAGGACUCUCCUGCGCCUCUCCCCCUUGGCCGGCCAGCCUCCCCUCCUCUCCUCCUUUAUAUACGGAGGCAGGGGCACCUCUAAACACACAAGUUGACACAAGUUGAUCCACGUGAUCUAUUCCUUAGCCGUGUGCGGUGCCCCCUGCCACCAUAUUCCUCGAUAAUACUGUAGCGGAGUUUAGGCGAAGCCCUGCUGCUGUAGUUCAUCAAGAUCGUCACCACGCCGUCGUGCUGACGGAACUCUUCCCCGACACUUUGCUGGAUCGGAGUCCGGGGAUCGUCAUCGAGCUGAACGUGUGCUCGAACUCGGAGGUGCCGUAGUUUCGGUGCUUGAUCGGUUGGAUCGAGAAGACGUACGACUACUUCCUCUAUGUCGUGUCAUCGCUUCCGCAGUCGUUCUGCGUUGGGUACGUAGACAAUACUCUCCCCUCGUUGCUAUGCAUCACAUGAUCUUGCGUGUGCGUAGGAAAAUUUUUGAAAUUACUACGAAACCCAACAGAGGAUUCUCCAAUCUCUCUUUUACCAAAUUUAAUAUCAAGAUCUAAAGACUCCGAAUUUUUGGGACGCCUUCUAGGAGAAGUUCAUUCAUCAUCACUCCCAUAAUCAUCAAAAUUCAUAUUGCAAAACAUAGAUCUAAUCGGAGACGCAUCAAUAACUUUAAGAUCCUCAUCAUUAUUUUCAUGAAGACUAGAAGAACACGCUUUUAUAAAGCUUUCUUUUUUAGCAUGCAAUCUAGCGGUUCUUUCCUUGCACUCGUCAAUGGAAAUUACCAUUACUUUGAGAGACUCAUUGAUAUCAUGCUUAGGAGAAGAAGAUCCAAGUUUAAGAGAAUUAACAUCAAGCGAAAUUCUAUCAACGUUCCUAGCCAAAUCAUCAACUUUGAGCAAUUUUUCUUCAAGCAAAGCAUUAAAAUUCUUUUGAGAAAUCAUAAAUUCUUUCACACUAUUCUCAAAAUCAGAGGGCGUCUUAUUAAAAUUACCAUAAGAAUUAUUGUAGGAAUUUCCAUAAUUAUUAGAGGAAUUACUAGGGAACGGUCUAGCAUGAAAAUUUCCUCUAUAAGCAUUGCUUCCAAAACUAUUCCUACCAACAAAAUUCACAUCCAUAGAUUCAUUAUUAUUCUCAAUCAAGGAAGACAAAGGCAUAUCAUUGGGAUCAAGAGGAGUAUUUUUAGUAGCAAACAUCUUCAUAAGUUCAUCCAUCUUUCCCCUCAAAACAUUAAUUUCUUCUAUAGCAUGCACUUUUUUACUAGAAGAUCUUUCGGUGUGCCAUUGAGAAUAAUUAGCCAUAAUAUUAUCAAGCAAUUUUGUAGCAUCUCCUAACGUGAUUUCCAUAAAGGUGCCUCCCGCGGCCGAAUCUAAGAGAUUUCUAGAAGCAAAGUUCAAACCGGCAUAGAAAUUUUGUAUGAUCAUCCAUAAAUUCAAACCAUGAGUAGGGCAAUUGCGAAGCAUCAAUUUCAUUCUUUCCCAAGAUUGGGCAACAUGCUCAUGAUCAAGUUGUUUAAAAUUCAUAAUAUCGUUCCUAAGAGUGAUGAUCUUAGCGGGAGGAAAAUACUAAGAGAUAAAAGCAUCUUUGCACUUGUUCCAAGAAUCAAUACUAUUUUUAGGCAAAGACGAAAACCAAACUUUAGCACGAUCUCUAAGUGAAAACGAAAAUAACUUCAAUUUGACAAUAUUGUUAUCCGUAUCUUUCUUCUUUUGCAUAUCACAUAAAUCAACAAAAUUGUUUAGAUGAGUAGCGGCAUCUUCACUAGGAAGGUUGGCAAAUUGAUCUUUCAUGACAAGAUUCAGCAAAGCGGUAUUGAUUUCACAAGACUCAACAUCAUUAAGAGGAGCAAUCAGAGUACUAAGGAAAUCAUUAUUAUUGGUAUUCGAGAAAUCACACAAUUUGGUAUUAUCUUGCACCAUGGCAACAAGUAAUCCAACACACAAGCAAAUAGAAAAAAUGGCAAGCAAAAAAGAGAGGAGGAGAUUGGGAAAGAGAGGGCAAAUAAAACGGCAAGGGUGAAGUGGGGGGAGAGGAAAACGAGAGGCAAAUGGCAAAUAAUGUAAAUGCGAGGGAGAUGGGUUUGUGAUGGGUACUUGGUAUGUCUUGACUUGAGCGAAGACCUCCCCGGCAACGGCACCAGAAAUCCUUCUUGCUACGUCUUGAGCUUGCGUUGGUUUUCCACGAAGAGGAGAGGGUGAUGCAGCAAAGUGUAGCGUAAGUAUUUCCCUCAGUUUUGAGAACCAAGGUAUCAAUCCAGUAGGAGGAUCCUCAAAAGUCCCACGCACCUACACAAACAAGCUGAGAACUCGCAACCAACGCAAUAAAGGGGUUGUCAAUCCCUUCACGGCCACUUGCGAAAGUGAGAUGUAAUAAAGGGGUUGUCAUCCCUUGUGUUCAAUCUUGUUACCCAAACUGUAGAUUGGUGCUUGUGGGUGACUAGUAGUGUCGAUUAUAUGUUGUAGUUGAUUACCAGAUGGUUUAUUUGGUGGAAGAUUAUAUGUUCAUAUCCAUUAUGCAUAUUAAUACUCCUCUAAUCAUGAACAUGUUUAUUAUUUGUGAGUAGUUACUUUCGUUCUUGAGGUCACGGGAUAAAUCAUGUUGCAAGUAAUCAUGUGAAUUUGAUAUGUGUUCGAUAUUUUGAUGGUAUGUAUGUUGUGAUUCCCUUAGUGGUGUCAUGUGAAUGUUGACUACAUGACAAUUCACCAUAUUUGGGCCUAAGGGAAUGCAUUGUGGAUUAGUAAAUAGAUGGUAGGUUGUGAGAGUGACAGAAGCUUAAACGCCAGUUUAUGCGCUAUUCCGUAAGGGACAGAUUGGACCCAAAAGUUUAAUGCUAUGGUUCGAAUUCAUUCUUAAUACUUUUCUCAUAGUUGUGGAUGCUUGCGGGAGGGUUAAUCAUACAUAGGAGGUUUGUUCAAGUAAGAACAACACCUAAGCACCGGUCCACCCACAUAUCAAAAUAUCAAAGUAGCAAACACGAAUUAAACCAACAUGAUGAAAGUGACUAGAUGAAAUUCCCGUCUACCCUCAAGAACACUUUGCUUAUAUUAAGAGACCGUUUUGGCCUGUCCUUUGCCUCAAAAGGAUUGGGCUACCUUGUUGCACUUUUGUUACUACUAUCGUUACUUGCUCGUUACAAAUUACCUUGCUAUCAAACUACUCCGCUACUUACAAUUUCACCACUUGCAGACACUACCUUACUGAAAUCUACUUGUCAUUUCCUUCUGCUCCUCUUUGGGUUCGACACUCUUAAUUAUCGAAAAGAGCUACAAUUGAUCCCCUAUACUUGUGGGUCAUCACCAAACAUUUCCGGAAAUGUCCGGAACCCCUUUCGGUGAAUUCUGGAACCCUUUCGGAGACCAAACACUAUUAUCCCAUAUAUCAAUCUUUAUCUCCGGACCAUUCCGGAGUUCCUCGUCAUGUCCGUGAUCUCAUCCGGGACUCCGAACAACAUUCGGUCACCAACAUACAUAACUCAUAUAAUACUAUAUCGUCAACGAACAUUAAGUGUGCGGACACUACUGGUUCGAGAACUAUGUAUACAUGACCGAGACAUCUCUCUGGUCAAUAACCAAUAGCGGAACCUGGAUGCCCAUAUUGGCUCCUACAUAUUCUAUGAAGAUCUGUAUCGGUUGAACCAUUAUGACAACAUAUGUUAUUCCCUUUGUCCUCAGUAUGUUACUUGCCCGAGAUUCGAUCGUCGGUAUCCUCAUACCUAGUUCAAUCUCAUUACGGGCAAGUCUCUUUACUCAUUCCGUAAUGCAUCAUCCCGUAACUAACUCAUUAGUCACAUUGCUUGCAAGAUCAUAGUGAUGUGCAUUACUGAGAGGGCCCAGAGAUACCUCUCCGAUACACGGAGUGACAAAUCCUAAUCUCGAUCUAUGCCAUUUCAACAAACACCAUUGGAGACACCUGUAGAGCAUCUUUAUAAUCACCCAGUUACGUUGUGACGUUUGAUAGCACACAAGGUAUUCCUCUGGUAUUUGGGAGUUGCAUAAUCUCAUAGUCAGAGGAAUAUGUAUGAGUCAUGAAGAAAGCAAUAGCAAUAAUACUAUACGAUCAGUAUGCUAAGCUAACAGAUGGGUCUUGCCCAUCACAUCAUUCUCUAAUGAUGUGAUCCCGUUCAUCAAAUGACAACACAUGUCUAUGGUUAGGAAACUUAACCAUCUUUGAUUAAUGAGCUAGUCAAGUAGAGGCAUACUAGGAUACUUUGUUUGUCUAUGUAUUCACACAUGUACAAAGUUUCCGGUUAAUACAAUUCUAGCAUGAAUAAUAAACAUUUAUCAUGAUGUAAGGAAAUAUAAAUAACAACUUUAUUAUUGCCUCUAGGGCAUAUUUCCUUCAGUCUCCCACUUGCACUAGAGUCAAUAAUCUAGUUCACAUCGCCAUGUUAUUCCACACCAAUAGUUCACAUCGUCAUGUGAUUUAACACUCUAUAGUUCACAUCGCCAUGUGACCAAUACCCAAAAGGUUUACUAGAGUCAAUAAUCUAGUUCACAUCGGCAUGUGAUUAACACCCAAAGAGUACUAAGGUGUGAUCAUGUUUUGCUUGUGAGAGAAGUUUAGUCAACGGGUCUGCCACAUUCAGAUCCGUAUGUAUUUUACAAAUUUCUAUGUCUACAAUGCUCUGUACGGAGCUACUCUAGCUAAUUGCUCCCACUUUCAAUAUGUAUCCAGAUUGAGACAUAGAGUCAUUCGGAUCAGUGUCAAAGCUUGCAUUGACGUAACCCUUUACGACGAACUUUUUGUCACCUCCAUAACCGAGAAACAUAUCCUUAUUCCACUAAGGAUAAUUUUGACCGCUGUCCAGUGAUCCGCUCCUAGAUCACUAUUGUACUCUCUUGCCAAACUCAUGGUGAGGUACACAAUAGGUCUGGUACAUAGAAUGGCAUACUUUAUAGAACCUAUGACUGAGGCAUAGGGAAUGACUUUUCAUUCUCUUUCUAUUUUUUGCCGUGGUCGGGUUUUGAGUCUUUACUCAACUUCACACCUUGCAACACAUGCAAGAACUCCUUCUUUGACUGUUCCAUUUUGAACUACUUUAAAAUUUUGUCAAGGUAUGUACUCAUUAAAAAAACUUAUCAAGCGUUUUGAUCUAUCUCUAUAGAUCUUGAUUCUCAAUAUGUAAGCAGCUUCACCGAGGUCUUUCUUUGAAAAACUCCUUUCAAACACUCCUUCAUGCUUUCCAGAAGAUUCUACAUCAUUUUUGAUCAACAAUAUGUCAUGCACAUAUACUUAUCAGAAAGGUUGUAGUGCUCCCACUCACUUUCUUAUAAAUACAGGCUUCACCGCUAGUAUGUAUAAAACUAUAUGCUUUGAUCAACUCAUCAAAGUGUAUAUUCCAACUCCGAGAUGCUUGCACCAGUCCAUAGAUGGAUCACUGGAUCUUGCACAUUUUGUUAGCACCUUUAGGAUUGACAAAACCUUCUGGUUGCAUCAUAUAUAACUCUUCUUUAAUAAAUCCAUUAAGGAAUGCAGUUUCGUUAUCCAUUUGCCAGAUUUCAUAAAAUGCGGCAAUUGCUAACAUGAUUCGGACAGACCUAAGCAUCGCUACGAGUGAAAAAAAUCUCAUCGUAGUCAACACCUUGAACUUGUCGAAAACCUUUUGUGACAAGUCGAGAUUUAUAGAUAGUAACACUACCAUCAGCGUCCAUCUUCCUCUUGAAGAUCCAUUUAUUCUUAAUGGUUUGCCGAUCAUCGGGCAAGUCCACCAAAGUCCACACUUUGUUCUGAUAUAUGGAUCAUAUCUCAGAUUUUCUGGCCUCAAGCCAUUUGCGGAAUCUGGGCUCAUCAUCGCUUCUUCAUAGUUCGUAGGUUCGUCAUGGUCUAGUAACAUGACUUCCAGAACAGGAUUACUGUACCACUCUGGUGCAGAACGUGCUCUAGUUGACCUAUGAAGUUUGGUAGUAACUUGAUCUGAAGUUUCAUGAUCAUCAUCAUUAGCUUCCUCACUAAUUGGUGUAGGCAUCACUAGAGCGGAUUUCUGUAAUGAACUACUUUCCAAUUCGGGAGAAGGUACAAUUACCUCAUCAAGUUAUACUUUCCUCCCACUCACUUCUUUCGAGAGAAACUCCUUCCCUAGAAAGGAUCCAUUCUUAGUAACGAAUAUCUUACCUUCGGAUAUGUGAUAGAAGGUGUACCCAACAGUUUCCUUUGGGUAUCCUAUGAAGACGCAUUUCUCCGAUUUGGGUUCGAGCUUAUCACGUUGAAGCUUUUGCACAUAAGCAUCGCAGCCCCAAACUUUAAGAAACGACAACUUAGGUUUCUUGCCAAACCACAAUUCAGAAACGACAAUUAAGCAAGAUGACAUGAUGUAGAAGGAUAAACACAUGCAAUAUGAUAUAAACCCCAUCUUGUUAUCCUCGAUGGCAACAAUACAAUAUGUGUCUUGCAACCCUUUCUGUCACUGGGUAAGAACACCGCAAGAUUGAACCCAAAGCUAAGCACUUCUCCCAUGGCAAGAAAGACCAAUCUAGUAGGCCAAACCAAACUGAUAAUUCGAAGAUACUUGCAAAUAUAACUCAAUCAUACAUAAAAGAAUUCAGAGAAGAUUCAAAUAUUAUUCAUAGAUAAACUUGAUCAUAAACCCACAAUUCAUCAGAUCUCGACAAACACACCACAAAAAGAGUUUACAUCGAAUAGAUCUCCACAAGAGAGGGGGAGAACAUUGUAUUGAGAUCCAAAAAGAGAGAAGAAGCCAUCUAGCUAAUACUUACGGACCCGUAGGUCUGUGCUAAACUACUCACAACUCAUCGAAGGGGCAAGGAUGUUGAUGUAGAGGCCCUCCAUGGUUGAUUCCCCCUCCGGCAGAGUGUCGGCGAAGGCUCCAAGAUGGGAUCUCGCAGAUACAGAAGGUUACGGCGGUGGAAAUUGUGUUUCGUGGUGCUCCUGGAUGUUUUCGAGGUACGUAGGUAUAUAUAGGAGGAAGAAGUACGUCGGUGGCCGCCCGAGGGGCCCACGAAACAGGGGGGCGCCCUAUAGGGGGGCGCAGCCCCCUAUCUCGUGGGGCCCUCGGAAGCUUCUUGACUUGCACUCCAAGCUCUCCGGAUCAUGUUCCUUCCAAAAAUCACGCUCCCGAAGGUUUCAUUCCGUUUGGACUCUGUUUGAUAUUCCUUUUCUUCGAAAUACUGAAAUAGGCAAAAAAAACAGCAAUAUGGGCUGGGCCUCCGGUUAGUAGGUUAGUCCCAAAAAUGAUAUAAAUGUGUAAAAUAAAGCCCGUAAACAUCCAAAAGGGGUAAUAUAAUAGCAUGGAACAAUCAGAAAUUAUAGAUAUGUUGGAGACGUAUCACUCCGACACGUGACCCUUCCUGAAAAGAUGAUGAAUUGUAGUUGCAAAGUUGACUGAGAACAUAGUUUGUUGGUUUCUAAUAGAGUUUUUGCUUUAUACUUUGAUUGUGUGAUGAACUAUCACUUAUUCAUGAGAAGUGUAUGAUAGAAGUUAUACGAUAAAAGUCUUAUGUUUAAAUUUGUUGUUGUUAUAAUAAUCAACAUGAUGCUUCUAUGUCCGUAUUUUGUUUUUAUCGACACCUCUCUUUCAAAGCAUGUGGACAUGUUCUUCGAUUUCGGUUUUCGCUUGAGGACAAGCGAGGUCUAAGCUUGGGGGAGUUGAUACGUCCAUUUUGUAUCAUGUUUUCUUACUGAUAUUUAUAGUGUUUUUAUCCAUAAUAAUGCUUUUUGGAGUAAUUCUAAUGCCUUUUCUCCCAUAAUUUGCAAGGUACACACCAAGAGGGAGAAUUUUGGCAGCUGGAAAUCUGGACUUGAAUAGGCUACGUCAGGCCACCUAUUUUGCACAACUCCAAACAAGCUAAAACUUCACGGAGAUUUUUUAUGAAAUAUUUAAGAAAUAUUGGAGCAAAUAACUACCUGAGGGGGCCCACCAGGUGGGCACAACCCACCUGGGCGCGCCAGGGAGCCCAGGCGUGCCCUGGCGGGUUGUGCCCUCCUCAGCCCACCUUUGGUGCCCAUCUUUUGGUAUAUAAGUCAUUUUUACCUAGAAAAAUAAGGAGAAGUCUUUUGGGGCGGAGCGCCGCCGUCUCGAGGCGAACUUGGGCAGGAGCACUUUUGCCCUCCGGCAGAGCGAUUCUGCCGGGGGANNNNNNNNNNNNNNNNNNNNNNNNNNNNNNNNNNNNNNNNNNNNNNNNNNNNNNNNNNNNNNNNNNNNNNNNNNNNNNNNNNNNNNNNNNNNNNNNNNNNNNNNNNNNNNNNNNNNNNNNNNNNNNNNNNNNNNNNNNNNNNNNNNNNNNNNNNNNNNNNNNNNNNNNNNNNNNNNNNNNNNNNNNNNNNNNNNNNNNNNNNNNNNNNNNNNNNNNNNNNNNNNNNNNNNNNNNNNNNNNNNNNNNNNNNNNNNNNNNNNNNNNNNNNNNNAAUCAUCGUCAUCAUCAUCACCAACAACUCUCCCAUCUUGUGGAGGGAAAUCUCCAUCAACAUCUUCAACAACACCCUCUCAUAUCAAACCCUAGUUCAUCCCUUGUGUUCAAUCUUGUUACCCAAAUUGUAGAUUGGUGCAUGUGGGUGACUAGUAGUGUUGAUUACAUCUUGUAGUUGAUUACUAUAUGGUUUAUUUGGUGGAAGAUUAUAUGUUCAUAUCCAUUAUGCAUAUUAAUACUCCUCUAAUCAUGAACAUGUUUAUUAUUUGUGAGUAGUUACUUUCGUUCUUGAGGUCACGGGAUAAAUCAUGUUGCAAGUAAUCAUGUGAAUUUGAUAUGUGUUCGAUAUUUUGAUGGUAUGUAUGUUGUGAUUCCCUUAGUGGUGUCAUGUGAAUGUCGACUACAUGACAAUUCACCAUAUUUGGGCCUAAGGGAAUGCAUUGUGGAUUAGUAAAUAGAUGGUAGGUUGCGAGAGUGACAGAAGCUUAAACCCCAGUUUAUGCGCUAUUCCGUAAGGGACAGAUUGGACCCAAAAGUUUAAUGCUAUGGUUCGAAUUCAUUCUUAAUACUUUUCUCAUAGUUGUGGAUGCUUGCGGGAGGGUUAAUCAUACAUAGGAGGUUUGUUCAAGUAAGAACAACACCUAAGCACCGGUCCACCCACAUAUCAAAAUAUCAAAGUAGCAAACACGAAUUAAACCAACAUGAUGAAAGUGACUAGAUGAAAUUCCAGUCUACCCUCAAGAACACUUUGCUUAUAUUAAGAGACCGUUUUGGCCUGUCCUUUGCCUCAAAAGGAUUGGGCUACCUUGUUGCACUUUUGUUACUACUAUCGUUACUUGCUCGUUACAAAUUACCUUGCUAUCAAACUACUCCGCUACUUACAAUUUCAGCACUUGCAGACACUACCUUACUGAAAUCUACUUGUCAUUUCCUUCUGCUCCUCUUUGGGUUCGACACUCUUACUUAUCGAAAAGAGCUACAAUUGAUCCCCUAUACUUGUGGGCCAUCACCAAACAUUUCGGGAAACGUCCGGAACCCCUUCCGGUGAAUUCCGGAACCCUUCCGGAGACCAAACACUAUUAUCCCAUAUAUCAAUCUUUAUCUCCGGACCAUUCCGAAGUUCCUCGUCAUGUCCGUGAUCUCAUCUGGGACUCCGAACAACAUUCGGUCAACAACAUACAUAACUCAUAUAAUACGAUAUCGUCAACGAACAUUAAGCGUGCGGACCCUACUGGUUCGAGAACUAUGUAUACAUGACCGAGACAUCUCUCUGGUCAAUAACCAAUAGCGGAACCUGGAUGCCCAUAUUGGCUCCUACAUAUUCUACGAAGAUCUGUAUCGGUUGAACCAUUAUGACAACAUACAUUAUUCCCUUUGUCCUCAGUAUGUUACUUGCCCGAGAUUCGAUCGUCUGUAUCCUCAUACCUAGUUCAAUCUCAUUACGGGCAAGUCUCUUUACUCAUUCUGUAAUGCAUCAUCCCGUAACUAACUCAUUAGUCACAUUGCUUGCAAGAACAUAGUGAUGUGCAUUACUGAGAGGGCCCAGAGAUACCUCUCCGAUACACGGAGUGACAAAUCCUAAUCUCGAUCUAUGCCAUUUCAACGAACACCAUUGGAGACACCUGUAGAGCAUCUUUAUAAUCACCCAGUUACGUUGUGACGUUUGAUAGCACACAAGGUAUUCCUCUGGUAUUUGGGAGUUGCAUAAUCUCAUAGUCACAGGAAUAUGUAUAAGUCAUGAAGAAAGCAAUAGCAAUAAUACUAUACGAUCAGUAUGCUAAGCUAAUAGAUGGGUCUUGUCCAUCACAUCAUUCUCUAAUGAUGUGAUCCCGUUCAUCAAAUGACAACACAUGUCUAUGGUUAGGAAACUUAACCAUCUUUGAUUAACGAGCUAGUCAAUUAGAGGCAUACUAGGAUACUUUGUAUGUCUAUGUAUUCACACAUGUACAAAGUUUCCGGUUAAUACAAUUCUAGCAUGAAUAAUAAACAUUUAUCAUGAUGUAAGGAAAUAUAAAUAACAACUUUAUUAUUGCCUCUAGGGCAUAUUUCCUUCAGUCUCCCACUUGCACUAGAGUCAAUAAUCUAGUUCACAUCGCCAUGUUAUUCCACACCAAUAGUUCACAUCGUCAUGUGAUUUAACACUCUAUAGUUCACAUUGCCAUGUGACCAGUACCCAAAAGGUUUACUAGAGUCAAUAAUCUAGUUCACAUCGGCAUGUGAUUAACACCCAAAGAGUACUAAGGUGUGAUCAUGUUUUGCUUGUGAGAGAAGUUUAGUCAACGGGUCCGCCACAUUCAGAUCCGUAUGUAUUUUACAAAUUUCUAUGUCUACAAUGCUCUGUACGGAGCUACUCUAGCUAAUUGCUCCCACUUUCAAUAUGUAUCCAGAUUGAGACAUAGAGUCAUUCGGAUCAGUGUCAAAGCUUGCAUUGACGUAACCCUUUACGACGAACUUUUUGUCACCUCCAUAACCGAGAAACAUAUCCUUAUUCCACAAAGGAUAAUUUUGACCGAUGUCUAGUGAUCCACUCCUAGAUCACUAUUGUACUCUCUUGUCAAACUCAUGGUGAGGUACACAAUAGGUCUGGUACAUAGCAUAGCAUAGCAUACUUUAUAGAACCUAUGACUGAGGCAUAGGGAAUAAAUUUUCAUUCGCUUUCUAUUUUCUGCUGUGGUCGGGUUUUGAGUCUUUACUCAACUUCACACCUUGCAACACAUGCAAGAACUCCUUCUUUGACUGUUCCAUUUUGAACUACUUUAAAAUUUUGUCAAGGUAUGUACUCAUUAAAAAAACUUAUCAACCGUUUUGAUCUAUCUCUAUAGAUCUUGAUGCUCAAUAUGUAAGCAGCUUCACCGAGGUCUUUCUUUGAAAAAAUCCUUUCAAACACUCCUUCAUGCUUUCCAGAAAAUUCUACAUCAUUUUUUAUCAACAAUAUGUCAUUCACAUAUACUUAUCAGAAAGGUUGUAGUGCUCCCACUCACUUUCUUGUAAAUACAGGCUUCACCGCUAGUAUGUAUAAAACUAUAUGCUUUGAUCAACUCAUCAAAGUGUAUAUUCCAACUCCGAGAUGCUUGCACCAGUCCAUAGAUGGAUCACUGGAGCUUGCACAUUUUGUUAGCACCUUUAGGAUUGACAAAACCUUCUGGUUGCAUCAUAUAUAACUCUUCUUUAAUAAAUCCAUUAAGGAAUGCAGUUUCGUUAUCCAUUUGCCAGAUUUCAUAAAAUGCGGCAAUUGCUAACAUGAUUCGGACAGACCUUAGCAUCGCUACGAGUGAAAAAAAAUCUCAUCGUAGUCAACACCUUGAACUUGUCGAAAACCUUUCGCGACAAGUCGAGCUUUAUAGAUAGUAACACUACCAUCCGCGUCCAUCUUUCUCUUGAAGAUCCAUUUAUUCUUAAUGGUUUGCCGAUCAUCGGGCAAGUCCACCAAAGUCCACACUUUGUUCUUAUAUAUGGAUCCUAUCUCAGAUUUUCUAACCUCAAGCCAUUUGUGCAAUCUGGGCUCAUCAUCGCUUCCUCAUAGUUUGUAGGUUCGUCAUGGUCUAGUAACAUGACUUCCAGAACGGGAUUACCGUACCACUCUGGUGCAGAACGUGCUCUGGUUGACCUACGAAGUUUGGUAGUAACUUGAUCUGAAGUUUCAUGAUCAUCAUCAUUAGAUUCCUCACUAAUUGGUGUAGGCAUCACUAGAACUGGUUUCUGUAAUGAACUACUUUCCAAUUCGGGAGAAGGUACAAUUACCUCAUCAAGUUAUACUUUCCUCCCACUCACUUCUUUCGAGAGAAACUCCUUCCCUAGAAAGGAUCCAUUCUUAGCAACGACUAUCUUGCCUUCGGAUAUGUGAUAGAAGGUGUACCCAACAGUUUCCUUUGGGUAUCCUAUGAAGACGCAUUUCUCCGAUUUGGGUUCGAGCUUAUCACGUUGAAGCUUUUGCACAUAAGCAUCGCAGCCCCAAACUUUAAGAAACGACAACUUAGGUUUCUUGCCAAACCACAAUUCAUACGAUGUCGUCCCAACGGAUUUAGAUGGUGAACUAUUUAAUGUGAAUGCAGCUGUCUCUAAUGCAUAACCCCAAAAUGAUAGAGGUAAAUCGGUAAGAGACAUCAUAGAUCGCACCAUAUCUAAUAAAGUAUGAUUACGAUGUUCGGACACACCAUUACGCUGUGGUGUUCCAGGUGGCGUGAGUUUUGAACUAUUCCACAUUGUUUCAAAUGAAGACAAACUCGUAACUCAAAUAUUCGCCUCCGUGAUCAGAUUGUAGAAACUUUAUUUUCUUGUUACGAUGAUUUUCCACUUCACUCUGAAAUUCUUUGUACUUUUCGAAUGUUUCAGACUUAUGUUUCAUUUAGUAGAUAUACCCAUAUCUGCUCAAAUCAUAUGUGAAGGUCAGAAAAUAAUGAUACCCGUUGUGAGUCUCAACACUCAUUGGAUCGCACACAUCAGUAUGUAUUAUUUCCAAUAAGUCAGUGGCUCGCUCCAUUGUUCCGGAGAACGGAGUCUUAGUUAUCUUACCCCUGAGGCAUGGAUCGCAAGCAUCAAGUGAUUCAUAAUUAAGUGAUUCCAAAAGCCCAUCAGCAUGGAGUUUCUUCAUGCGCUUUACACCAAUAUGACCUAAACGGCAGUGCUAUAAAUAAGUUGCACUAUCAUUAUUAACUUUGCAUCUUUUGGCUUCAAUAUUAUGAAUAUGUGUAUCAACACGAUCGUGAUUCAAUAAACCAUUUAUUUUGAGUGUAUGACCAUAGAAGGUUUUAUUCAUGUAAAUAGAACAACAAUUAUUCUCUAACUUAAAUGAAUAACCGUAUCGCAAUAAACAUGAUCCAAUCAUAUUCAUGCUCAACACAAACACCAAAUAACAUUUAUUUUUGGUCCAACACUAAUCUCGAAGGUAGAGGGAGUGUGCUAUGGUGAUCUUAUCAACCUUGGAAUCACUUCCAACACACAUCGUCACCUCGCCCUUAACUGGUCUCUGUUCAUUUUGUAAUUCCUAUUUCGAGUUACUAAUCUUAGCAACUGAACUGGUAUCAAAUACCUUGGGGUUACUAUGAACACUAGUAAAGUACACAUCAAUAACAUGUAUAUCAAAUAUACCUUUGUUCACUUUGCCAUCCUUCUUAUCCGACAAGUAUUUGGGGUAGUUCCGCUUCCAGUGACCAUUCCCUUUGCAGUAGAAGCACUCAGUUUCAGGCUUAGGUCUAGCUUUGGGUUUCUUCAAGGGAGUGGGAACUUGCUUGCCAUUCUUUAUUGAAGUUCCCUUUAUUUUCCUUGCCCUUUUACUUGAAACUAGUGGUCUUUUCAACCAUCAACACUUGAUGCUCUUUCUUGAUUUCUACCUUCAUUGAUUUCAGCAUCACGAAGAGCUCGAGAAUCGUAGUUGUCAUCCCUUGCAUAUUGUAGUUCAUCACGAUGUUCUAGAAACUUGGUGAUAGUGACUAGAGAACUCUGUCAAUCACUAUCUUAUCUGGAAGAUUAACUCCCAUUUGAUUCAAGCGAUUGUAGUACUCAGACAUUCUCAGCACAUCCUCACUGGUCGAGCUAUUCUCCUCCAUCUUGUAGGCAAAGUACUUGUCAGUGGUCUCAUACCUCUUGACAUAGGCAUGAGACUGAAAUAUACCAAUUUUAUCUCUUGGAACAUCUCAUAUGCUCCAUGGCGUUCAAAACAUUUUUGAAGUCCCGGUUCUAAGCCGUAAAGCAUGGUGCACUAAACUAUCAAGUAGUCAUCAUACCGAGCUUUGUCAAACAUUCAUAACGUCUGCAUCUGCUCCUGCAAUAGAUCUAUCACCUAGUGGUGCAUCAAGGACAAAAUUCUUUUGUGCAGCAAUGAGGAUAAUCCUCAGAUCAUGGACUCAGUCCGCAUCAUUGCUACUAACAUAUUUCAACUAAUUUUUAUCUAGGAACAUAUCAAAAAUAGUGGAGCUACAACGCGAGCUAUUGAUCUACAACAUAAAUAUGCAAAAUACUAUCAGGUACUAAGUUCAUGAUAAAUUAAAGUUCAAUUAAUCAUAUUACUUAAGAACUCCCACUUAUAUAAACAUCCCUCUAGUCAUCUAAAUGAUCAUGUGAUCCAAAUCAACCAAACCAUGUCCGAUCAUCACGUGAUAUGGAGUAGUUUUCAAUGGUGAACAUUACUAUGUUGAUCAUAUCUACUAUAUGAUUCACGCUCGGUCUUUCGAUCUCAGUGUUCCCAGGCCAUAUCUGCAUAUGCUAGGCUCGUCAAGUUUAACCCGAGUAUUCUGCGUGUGCAAAACUGGCUUGCACCCGUUGUAUGUGAACGUAGAGAUUAUCACACCCGAUCAUCAUGUGGUGUCUCGGCACGACGAACUGUAGCAAAGGUGCACUCAGGGAGAACACUUAUACCUUGAAAUUUAGUGAGGGAUCAUCUUAUAAUGCUACCGUCGCACUAAGCAAAAUAAGAUGCAUAAAAGAUAAACAUCACAUGCAAUCAAAAUAUGUGACAUGAUAUGGCCAUCAUCAUCUUGUGCCUUUGAUCUCCAUCUCCAAAGCACCAUCAUGAUCUCCAUCAUCACCGGCUUGACACCUUGAUCUCCAUCGUACCAUCAUUGUCGUCUCACCAACUAUUGCUUCUACGACUAUCGCUACCGCUUAGUGAUAAAGUAAAGCAAUUACAUGGUGAUUACAUUUCAUACAAUAAAGCGGCAACCAUAAGGCUCCUGCCAGUUGCUGAUAACGGUUACAAAACAUGAUCAUCUCAUACAACAAUUUAUAUCUCAUCAUGUCUUGACCAUAUCACAUCACAACAUGCCCUGCAAAAACAUGUUAGACGUCCUCUACUUAGUUGUUGCAAGUUUUACGUGGCUGCUACGGGCUUAGCAAGAACCGAUCUUACCUACGCAUCAAAACCACAACGAUUUUUCGUCAAGUGUGCUAUUUUAACCUUCAACAAGGACUGGGCGUAGUCAAACUCGAUUCAACUAAAGUUGGAGAAAUAGUCACCCACUGGCCACCUGUGUGCGAAGCACGUCGGUAGAACCAGUCUCAUGAACGCGGUCAUGUAAUGUCGGUCUGGGCCGCUUCAUCCAACAAUACCGCCGAAUCAAAGUAAGACGUUGCUAGUAAGCAGUAUGACUAUUAUCACCCACAACUCAUUGUGUUCUACUCGUGCAUAUAACAUCUACGCAUAGACUGAUGCCACUGUUGGGGAACGCAGUAUUUCAAAAAAAUUCCUACGAUCACGCAAGAUCUAUCUAGGAGAUGCAUAGAAACGAGAGGGGAGAGUGUGUCUACAUACCCUCAUAGACCGAAAGCGAAAGUGUUUAUCAACGCGGUUGAUGUAGUCAUACACCUUCACGAUCCGUCCCGAUCAAGUACCGAACAUACGGCACCUCCACGUUCAGCACACGUUCAGCUCGAUGACGUCCUCGCCUUCUUGAUCCAGCAAGAGGGGUGAAGUAGUAGAUGAGUUUCGGUAGCACGACGGCGUGGUGACGGUGUUGGUGAAGAACGAUCUCCGCAGGGCUUCACUUAAGCACUACGAAAACUAUGACGGAGGAUAAACUAGAGGGGACGGGGUUGCCGGCACACGGCUUGGUGUUUCAUGAACUCUCUUGGGUGAUAUCCCUGCCCCUCUAUUUAUAUGUUGAGCCUUGGGGUCGAAACCUGAAGUAAAGCCUCCACAAAGUCAGUUUCACCCGAAAAGCGAGAGUCCUUCUCGGACUCCAGGGCUAGACACAAGGGUUCCCGGCGUCUGGAACCACAUGCCAGGGACCCUAGCAUCUGGCCCCUGGACUCCGCAAAACUUUCUUUUGCGCUUUCCAAAAACCUUGUGGGCUUUCCCUUUUGGCCCAAAUAAAGUGUUCUCGUACCCAAACAUUUCGAGAAACAUCCGGAACCCCUUUCGGAGACCAAACACUAUUAUCCCAUAUAUGGAUCUUUAUCUCCAGACCAUUCCGGAGUUCCUCGUCAUGUCCGUGAUCUCAUCCGGGACUCUGAACAACAUUCGGUCACCAACAUACAUAACUCAUAUAAUACUAUAUCGUCAAUGAACGUUAAGCGUGCGGACCCUACGGGUUCGAGAACUAUGUAGACAUGACCGAGACAUCUCUUUGGUCAAUAACAAAUAGCGAAACCUGGAUGCCCAUAUUGGCUCCUACAUAUUCUACGAAGAUCUUUAUUGGUCGAACCGUUAUGACAACAUAUGUUAUUUCCUUUGUCAUCGGUAUGUUACUUGCCCAAGAUUCGAUCGUCAGUGUCCUCAUACCUAGUUCAAUCUCGUUACCAGCAAGUCUCCUUACUCGUUUUGUAAUGCAUCAUCCUGUAACUAACUCAUUAGUCACAUUUCUUGCAAGGCUCAUAGUGAUGUGCAUUACCGAGAGGGCCUAGAGAUACCUCUCCGAUACACGAAGUGACAAAUCCUAAUCUCGAUCUAUGCCAACUCAACAAACACCAUCGGAGACACCUAUAGAGCAUCUUUAUAAUCACCCAGUUACAUUGUGAUGUUUGAUAGCACACAAGGUGUUCCUCCGGUAUUCAGGAGUUGCAUAAUCUCAUAGUCAGAGGAAUAUGUAUAAGUCAUGAAGAAAGCAAUAGCAAUAAAACUAUACAAUCAUUAUUCUAGCUAAUGGAUGGGUCUUGUCCAUCACAUCAUUCUCUAAUGAUGUGAUCUCAUUCAUCAAAUGACAACACAUGUUUAUGGUUAGGAAAGUUAACCAUCUUUGAUUAACGAGCUAGUCAAGUAGAGGCAUACUAGGGAUACUUCAUUUGUCUAUGUAUUCACACAUGUACUAAGUUUCUGGUUAAUACAAUUGUAGCAUGAAUAAUAAACAUUUAUCAUGAUGUAAGGAAAUAUAAAUAACAACUUUAUUAUUGCCUCUAGGGCAUAUUUCCUUCAGCUUGUAGUUGUCUUUGUCAUCUUUGGCGCUACCAAAGCAGAACAAUUCACACUUGUGAAAAUUGAUCUUUAGACCAGAGAGUUGUUCAAAUAGGCAUAAUACUAGCUUCAUAUUUCUGGCCUUUGCGAGGUCGUGCUCCAUGAAGAUAAUGGUGUCAUCCGCAUAUUGUAGGAUAGAGAUGCCCCCAUCCACCAAAUGGGGAACCAGACCACCUACCAAGCCUUUCUCCUUGGCCCGACCUAUGACAACUAUCAACAUGUCUGCCAUGAAGUUAAACAAAAUCGAAGACAUCGGGUCUCCUUGUCUCAGGCCUUUAUGCAUUUGAAAAUAAUGACCAAUGUCAUCAUUCACCUUUAUCCCGACACUACCUUUCUGGACAAAAGAAUCCACCUGAUUCCUCCAUGUCCCAUUAAAGCCCUUCAUGCGCAUGGCUUGCUACAAAAAUGGCUAUUUAACCUUGUCAUAUGCCUUCUCAAAAUCCACUUUGAAUAUUAUCCCAUCGAGUUUCUUCGAGUGGAUUUCAUGUAAUGUUUCAUGUAAAACAACUACCCCUUCUAGGAUGUGUCUUCCAGGCAUAAAGGCAGUCUGACUUGGUUGCACAACCGAAUGGGCAAUCUGUGUCAGUCUAUUCGUGGCCACUUUCGUAAAGAUCUUGAAACUCACAUUCAAGAGACAUAUGGGCCUGAAUUGCUCAAUGUGAAUUGAUUCCGCUUUCUUUGGCAGAAGUGUAAUCGUGCCGAAAUUUAAAUGGAACAGUUGCAGAUGCCCAUUUGAAAGAUCAUGAAACAUAGGCAUAAGAUCAUCUUUCACGAUAUGCCAACAUUUCUUAUAGAAUUCUGCCGGAAACCCAUCCGGUCCCGGUGCAUUAUUCGGUUUCAUUUGAGCAAUCGCCUCAAAAACCUCCUUCUCAGUAAAAGGUGCAGAAAGAAUCUCAUUUUUCUCUGACCGCAAUUGAGGAAUAUCCUCAACUACAUGCUCAUCUAGGGUCACCGCGUUAUCCACCGGUGGUCCAAACAGUUGCUUGUAGUAGUUGGAUAUAUAUAUAUAUAUAUAUAUAUAUAUAUAUAUAUAUAUAUAUAUAUAUAUAUAUAUAUAUAUAUAUAUAUAUAUAUAUAGCUUCAGAUUCUCAUGACCCACAACUGUUCCCUCAUCUUGCUCAAGCUGGAUAAUCUCCUUUCUCCUAUGCUUGCCAUUAGCAAUGAUAUGAAAGAACUGGUGUUGUCAUCCCCAUGGACGACCUUAAGGACCUUAGCGUGUAAGGCCCAUUUCAUUUCCUCUUCUCUAAGCAAAGCACGCAAUUUCAACUCGGCCUCCGACUUAACUGCCCUCUCUGACUCGUCCAGCAGAUUCGUUUCUGCUCUCAGGUCUAGCGUUUGGAUCAGCUGGAUAAGUCGUUCCUUCUCUUGUUUAUAGAUCCCACUCUCAUUUCUGACCCAACCCCUCAAGAAUUGUCUCAGGUGUCUAAUCUUAUUCUGCCAGUGCUCCAUGUAGGAUCUACCUGCAACAGGUCUAGCCGACUCUCUCACCACCAUCUCUAUAAAAUUCUCUUUUUCGAACCAACUGAGCUCAAAAGAGAAAAUAUUUUUAUUGCCAAUAUGAGUUGCUUCACCCAAAUCAACUAACAAGGGCGUGUGGUCGGAAAUCGCCCUCUACAUCGCGUGCACCGAUACCAGUGGGUAUUUCUGUUCCCAUUCCACACUCGCAAGCACCCUGUCUAGCUUCUCAUAAGUAGGAGUAGGAAGAGUGUUUGCCCAGGUAAAUUGUCUACCCGUGAGUUCUAUCUCCCUAAGAUUAAGGCUCUCAAUGAUCAUAUUGAACAUAAAUGACCACCGUCCAUCAAAAUGAUCAUUGUUUUUUUCUUCCUUCCUCCUAAUGAUGUUAAAAUCACCCCCACUAAUAUUGGCAAUCUCUCAUCCCCACAAAUCCUAACCAGAUCCGCCAAGAAAUCCAGUUUAAAUUUAGGUUGGGCUGCGCCAUAAACCAUCACUAAGGCCCAUCGGAAACCAUCCAAUUUAGACCUAACCCAGAACUGAACCGCAUAAUCUCCUCGUACCACGUUUAGUACCUCAAGAGCUUCGCACUUCACCCCCAAGAGAAUCCCACCAGAUCGUCCUCUUGGCGGUAGGCGGUGCCAAUCAAAAUCAAUGCCACCAGUAAGUGAACCAAGGAAUUGUGAAGUGAAGUUAUCUCUACUAGUUUCAAGAAGUGUGAUGAAAUCUAGUUUAUCUUCGAGUGUUGUUUCAGCCAGGAACCUUUUCUUAGCCAAGUCUGCUAGACCUCUGCUAUUCCAAAAGAUCCCUUUCAUAUUUCAUCAUGAAAGUUUUUUCUUGAGUUUCACUCUCGCACUUCUACGGACCACCGACGUUGGAUAAAUCUUCCUCUUCUAGGAACGUUUAGGUUUAUCUAAUGCCGACACCUCCUCUACACAAUUUAUAGUCUGUUGUACCCCCGCCUGCAAUCACGGGGGGUCAACUGGUUGCACAGACUCCACAUCUUCUGCCUCUCCUUCGGCAUCCAAAGAAGGCAUCAUUCUGUCACAAAAGUUCUCUAGCGUAGAGAUACCCAAGUUAUUAAUAUGAGCAUCCGACAUAGGUUUAACUGCCGCUAAUGCGCGGAUCAACUCAGAAGCUCUCUCGGCCUCUAAGUCUAAAAUAUCAUUAACUAAUUUAGGAAUUUCUUUCCCAUUAGACCCAAGUGAGACUCCUAUGUCAUGUGCCUUACUAAUGAUCUCAUGUUUAGAAAAAUGCAAAAUAGAGCAUUGUUUAUUAACCGACAUACCUGUCUGAGUCUCGACGUCCCUAAGCUUGGAGGCCCUCAUAGCACGUCCAACCUGAAAGUCAUCGGCGUCUGGCUGGUCCUGAACCCGGCUACUGACACGCCUGCCAGACAGCACCAAGUCCGGAUGUCCACCAAACGCGAUCACCUCCUUCGUAGUCCAGACCUGUGGUGACUGGACCGUCUCCAUGAGGCCUUCUGGCCUGGCAAGUACAAGUGAAGGGGAGGAGGGGGCUCUGGCGCCUCCAGAGCCUCCUCCCAUAUCUCCCACCGCCUGCAGACCCGCUCCAGCUAACGUCAGUGAAGACGAUGUUGGAGAAGAACGCGCUGGUGAAUCGGGUGCCACCUGCCCAUAACUCACCCUCACCGGGGAAUCCUCCAGACGCCUUGUCAGCGUCUGAAGUGCGUACACCAGUGUAGGCGCAGGACUCACCUGGGCCUCCUACCCAGUCACGUUUGUCCAGCCCUCGUCAUCCAUCCUCGUCCUCGGGCUGCGCGCUGAACUCCACUGACCAGAGACACCCCCAACUCCGCUAUCGAGGACCCCUCGACAACAAGAGAGGCCAUCAGGACAGGCGGCAACACCUUCUCAUCUGCAUCGCCACUCUCAACCCGAUCACCCCAUAGGCGAGGAGGCACGGAUGACGGCAAUCCCAAAGAUCCAAAUCUUAAAGUGUGCAUGGGUGUAGAAGAUGUCGGUGUCGCACCCUUCUUUGACGCCUAUGGGGUGGACUUUCCACCCAUCAAAUGAGAACCAUCCCGUGAACCACUAUCAUCUUGCUUCUCCUGAUUUCCCAUACCAUCAUCCUUGUCAUACAUGUCAACAUCUCCACCUCCUUGGAGUGCCUCCUGAAACAUCUCAGCAUCAUCUAACUCAAUGUCCAAUUUGUACACCAUGCCCGCAUGUGUCCAUGGGACCACAUCAGGUAUAUGUUCAAUAUCCACAACAUUGACAAGCAGCCUGGCCACCCCGUGAGCACGUGUAAAAGGCAUAUCAACGCGCUUAGUCUUGCCUAUUAGUGUCCCAAGACUGCGACCACCCUGGCAUCAUUGAGAGGCUUAGAAGGUGCCCCCGAAAAGCGAACCCAGACCUGAGAUAAAGGCGUGCCCUUUGGUUCUGUCUGCUUCCAAGCAUCAAGCUCAAGUAUACACUCUGUACCCGGCACACGCGCGCUACCAAACUUAAGGAGUUUCUUCAGCUCUUCCGUUGAAGGAAAAUCAACCUUAUACAGAUUAUCAUCAAGCCUGGUAAGCUCCCAAUGAGAAUUCCCGGGAGCAAGCUCAUUCAACCUCUGCAUGAUCUGCGCCUCAGACAAGUAUCCCUUCAUAACUUUGACCACUCCUGUAGCCAAAUUCUGCAGUGCGUCCGGGAUAGCAGAAGGAGUAGGUGACUCCAAAAACAUCAACUCGGCACAACAUACCCCAUAUAUGGUGACCGCCGGCAUCGGAUGCAGCAACAACGGACACUCACCCGAGUCGUGUAUAGGCUUGAGACACGUAUCACAAAGCUCUGUGUUGCAUUUUGCAAUAAAGUGCCCCUGUUCACUGCAUCGAUAGCACAACAUUUUCUCUUUCUUGUGAGCCCACUUUGCGGACCUUUCACCAUCAGACUUGUCGGAAAGCUUGUCAGAAGCCUGCUCACGUCCUUUGGCCCCAGCUGGCACUGUCGCUGGAACCUUUGUAGUGGCAAGAGCGGUCACCACCGCCAUGGCCUUGCCCGACAAAUCUGUGGUCCAAGCCACCUCCGCCGUCUCCGACGACUGCCCCGCACUCAGUCUCGGCAGUCUGACUUGCGACAGCGAUGGAGGGCAAUGGCGAUAUUGGGAAGGCCGCCUGGCACCGCCCCUGCCGCCACAGAAGCCACGAUAACCUCUGCGAGACCUGUAAUCUGGGCUGGAUGCCCCCUCCACAUAGUUACCCGGAGGCGCAUAGAACGGUCGUUCAUCCGAACCAUCACUUUGCCAGACGUAUCCACGGCCACCGCCAGUCGACGAUGAGCCACGAUGUUGUCCGUCACCGUACGCAUUGACCCCAUCAUCGCCCCAACGGCCUCGGGGAGGGCCGUGACCCCCAUGCGCGACCGUAGCAUACUCUCGGCCCGGUGCUGCCCCAUGACCAGCAGCAGGGUGGGGGCCCUCCAAGGAUCGGCCAUCCCGGGUUGCCUGCCCGCCCGUUGACUGCACCUGUGCAGUCGAGCGCGGCGGUGGUAGCGCCUGAUGCGGCGGCGGCGCCGGCCUGUGCAGCUGCGGCCCGGACAUCGUCCCGCCUCUGUGCUACGCCGGCGCCGGCUUGGGUGGAGGCGGUGCAGCCUUGGCUGGCGGAGGCGCAGUCCUAGUAGGUGGAGGCGUGGUUUUUGGCGGCGACGGAGCAGGCUUGUGCGGCGGCGGCAAACCCCUUCCGUGACCGGCCAUGAUCUCGGAAGUCGAACGAAUGAAUGGUGCAACCCUCGCUGUGUGUCCUUGAGGUAGACUAUGAAACCCCGGCUGUGCGAUUCGGCGUUGCGUAAUCUCCGUACAUGCAUGUGGCUCUCGAUCCAACGCAUCCUCAUGCAGCCGGCCCUGAGCCUGAAUAGCCAUGUCCGGACCCUGGGCCACGCACUGGGCCUCAUACCCAGUGCACCUCGGGCCCAGGACGGACAGCUCUGCUUCCGGCCCACUAAGGCCAAGUGAUACGUCUCCAACAUAUCUUUAAUUUUUGAUUGUUCCAUGCUGUUAUAUUAUCAUUCUUGGAUGUUUUACAAUCAUUUUAUACUCAUUUUAUAUCAUUUUUUGGUACUAACCUAUUGACAUGGUGCCAAGUGCCAGUUGUUAUUUUCUGCAUGUUUUUUACAUCGCAAGAAAUCAAUACCAAACGGAGUCCAAACGCAGUGAAACUUUUUGUGGAUUUUUUUUGGACCAGAAGACAUCCAAUGGGCCGGGGAAGCGCCUGGGGGUGCUCCGAGGGGAGCACAACCCACCAGGGCGCGCCAGGAGGCCCAGGCGCGCCCUGGUGGGUUGUGCCCACCUUGGGUGCCCCCUGAACCGACUCUUUGCUCUAUAAAUACCCCAAUAUUCCAGAAACCCUAGGAGAGUCAACGAAAAUCUAUUCCAGCCGCUGCAGAGUCCAGAACCACUAGAUGAAUCUAGACACCAUCACGGAGGGGUGCAUCAUGUCCAUUGGUGCGUCUCCGAUGAUGCGUGAGUAGUUCUUUGGAGACCUACGGGUCCGUAGUUAGUAGCUACAUCGCUUCCUCUCUCUCGUUUGAUUCUCAAUACAAUGGUCUCUUGGAGAUCCAUAUGACGUACCUCUUUUUACGGUGUGUUUGUUGGGAUCCGAUGAACUUUGAGUUUAUGAUCAGAUCUAUCUUUUUAUCCAUGAAAGUUAUUUGAGUCUUCUAUGAAUCUCUUAUACGCAUGAUUGCUUAUAGCCUCGUAUUUCUUCUCCAAUAUUUGGGUUUUUUUUGGCCAACUUGAUCUAUUUAUCUUGCAAUGGGAAGAGGUGCUUUGUAGUGGGUUCGAUCUUACAGUGCUUGACCCUAGUGACAGAAGGGGAACUGACACAUAUGUAUCAUUGCUACUAAGGAUAAAACAAUGGGGUCUAUUUCUACAUAAAUAGAUCUUGUCUACAUCAUGUCAUCGUUCUUAUUGCAUUACUUCGUUUCUCCAUGAACUUAAUACACUAGAUGCAUGCUGGAUAGCGGAUGAUGUGUGGAGUAAUAGUAGUAGAUGCAGGCAGGAGUCGGUCUACUAAUCUUGGACGUGGUGCCUAUACAAUGAUCAUUGCCUGGAUAUCGUCAUGAUUAUUUGAAGUUCUAUCAAUUGCCCAAAAUUAAUUUGUUCACCCACCGCUAGUGAAACAUACGGCCCCCGGGUCUCUUUCUCAUAUUAUUUGCCUUUGCGAUCUAUUUUAUUUGCCUUUUAUUUUCAGAUCUAUUAAACCAAAAAUACAAACAUACCUUGCUGCAAUUUGUUUUAUUUGGCAUUCGAUCUAUCAAUAUUUACAACUCUCUCACGUCCGUUUGCCAAUUUCUCGCGUCGCUACCCGAAAGGGAUUGACAACCCCUUUUACACGUCGGGUUGCGAGUAUUUGUUAUUUGUGUGCAGGUGAUGUUCACGUAGUGUUGCUUGGUUCUCCUACUGGUUCGAUAACCUUGGUCUCAUCAUUGAGGGAAAUACCUACCCGUCGUUGUGCUGCAUCAUCCCUUCAUCUUUCUGGAAAUACCGACGUAGUUCUAGCAGGCAGCAAAAGGAAUUUCUGGCGCUGUUGCCGGGGAGGAUCUUCAACAUUACCAAGUUCCUAAUCAAAAAUCUCAUCUCCUCGCAAUUUACAUUAUUUGCCAUUUGCCUCUCGUUUUCCUCUCCCCCACUUCACAAAAUAUUUUCCGUUUUAUUCGCCCUCUUUUUCGUUCGCCAUUUUCUCGUCAGAUCUAUCCUUUGCUUGCAACCAUGAGUGAUUUCGGUAUGGCACCAACAGAUGAUGGCCUAACUCCUAAGAUUGGAUGUACUGGCAAUGUAGAUGCUAAAAAUUUUAUCACGGGGCAAGGGAAUGUUAUGGGAAAAGAACGUAUCCAAGAAUUUUUCAAUUGUGUGGGAAAUCUAAGUCUUGAUGAUGCUCCUAUACUUAGAACUACUAGAUCUUAUGCGGAUGCUAUAUCAGCAUUAGUUUUCAAACUUGAAAGCAAAUUUAUCCAUACCCAUCCUACUUUGCAAAGAUUGUUUUUUGAGCUUCCCGUUAUAAAGAACCCUAAAGCUAAAAAGUUGGCCACUCUCAUUCUUAUGAAUGAAUUUGACUACAUAAUACGGGAAGCUAGGGAAAUCCUUGAUUUUUAUGGUAUGAAUCGUGAAAAGCCCGUGAUAGAUGAAAUUAUUUACAAUAAUGAUUAUGCGUUAAGACAUUUACUUGGGGAUAAUAAAAUCUUUGAUGAGAAUCUUAAGAAGGAAGUCCCCAUUUUAGACAUAAUCCAACAAGUUUUCAAUAAUGUUAAUCAACAUUACUCUUGGAUUGUUGCCGGAAAUCAAAGGGGUUAUGAUAAUGAAAACUCAGUAAUGCUAAGGUUUCUAUGGAUAAUAUGUUUUAUGUUGUUUUUACAAAACCUCAUGACGAAAACACCUCUAAAGAAAUUAAGAAGACAGAGGACAAAACUUAGAUCCUUGCUUUAUGCCUAGCUAAGGGUGUAAAACGAUAGCGCUUGUUGGGAGGCAACCCAAUGAAUAAAAUUUAUUUUUGCUUUUUGCUUUCUGUUCUUGAGUGUUUGCACAAUUAUGCUACUGUUAUGAUUGUGUUUUUUGUGUUUUAAUUAGUGUUUGUGCCGAGCAAAGCCUUUAGAAACUUCUUGGGUAAUAGUUGUUUCAUCUUGCUGAAAAACACAAACUUAUGCACACAUGAAAAUAGUUUUCAUAAAUCACAGAAACGUCAUUUUUCCCUGAUUCUUUUUGAAGAAGAUUAAUAUACAAAUUUCUCAGGUUUUCCUAAUUUCUAAAGAUUUUUGGAGUUUCAUAAGUAUUGAAAAUAUUCAGAUUGCUACAGACUGUUCUGUUUUUGACAGAUUCUGUUUUCUUUGCGUUGUGUGCUUGUUUUGAUGAUUCUAUGGUUUUCUUUAAUGAGUUUUUGUGAUAGAAAAGUUGGAAUACAGAAGAUAUAAUGCAAGGGUAAAAUAUUAAUUGGUUUUCUACAAUACUUAUAGUAGUGAUUUGCUUUAUUAUACUAACGGAUCUCACGAAGGUUUUGUUGAGUUUUGUGUGAUUGAAGUUUUCAAGUUCUGGGUUAUCUUACGAUGGAUGAAGGAAUAAGGAUUAAGAAGAGACUAAGCUUGGGGAUGCCCACGGAACCCCAAGUUAUUAUCCAAAAAGAAGCAAGCAACUAAGCUUGGGGAUGCCCCGAGUGGCAUCCCCUCUUUCUUCUAACGACCAUCGGUAUUUUACUCGAAGCUAUAUUUUUAUUCGUCACAUACUAUGAGUUUUGCUUGAAGCGUCUUGUUUAUAUGAGUCUUUGCUUGUUUUUCUUUGUGUUCUAAGUCAUGAUUCCUUGCUGGACACACCUAUUUGAGAGAUCCAAAAUUAUGCCAUGACUUGUUAGAAUUGCUCUCUAUGCUUCACUUAAAUUUUGUGAGCUAUGGUUUUGCUCUAGUGCUUCACUUAUAUCUUUUUGAGCACGGUGUGCUUUAGUGUUUUUGAAGAAAUGCUCUCUUGCUGCGCUUAGAUUUGUUUGGGAGUUGGUAAAGUUUUCAAGAAAUUCUCUCUUGCUUCACUUAAAUUAUUUUGAGAUAAAGAAAUAUUAUGCUCAUGAUCUUCACUUAUAUUUGUUUGAGCUUAGCAAACGCAACACAUGAAAAUUAGUCCCAAAGUGAUAGAUAUCCAAGAAGGAUAUAAUAAAAACUUUCAUGAAGAUCAUUGGACAAAAUAAACUUGAUUCCUUGUAACAGUUUUGAGACAUGAUGAUGUGAUAUGUGAGUCAUGUUGACGAGUAAUUAUGCUUUAGUAAGAAUAUUGGUGUUAAGGUUUGUGAUUCCCUAUGCAAGCACGAAAGUCAAUAGUCAUGCAAUGAAAUUACAUCCUACUUGUGGUGCAUUAUUUGGUGUUAAUUAUGCUUAAUGCUUGCUUAUGAGAUUAUUCGUUUCUUGGUUGGUCGCUCCUCAAUCUUUUGCUAGCCUUCAUUUUGCACUAAGUAUGAUCACUACUUGUGCAUCCAAAAUCCUUUAAACCAGUUUUGCCACAUGAGUCCACUAUACCUACCUAUAUGCGGUAUUCUUUUGCCGUUCUAAGCAAAUUUGUAUGUGCCAGCUCUAAUUUUCAAAAUAAAUUUCUCUUUUGUGUGCUCGUACCGCUCACGAGGCGGUGAGGGGUGGCUAAUAUUUUCCAUGCUAGAUGUGUUAUUCUCACGAUGAGUGUUUAUUCACUUAUCCUUGCACGAGAGUAAGGCAAAGGUAUUAGGGAUACCCAGUCUCGAAAUAAAAAAUGAAUUUACUUUAUGUUGUCAAAUAAUAAAUUCCUUGGAAAGUGUUGGUAUGGAGGGCAAUCGUGGAUUCGGCUAGCCAUGGAAAGUGAAAGUAUGGUGGAAAAGGGAAUAAACUUUAUUUCCUGUUUGGGAACCUCCUAUGAUAUAUCUAGCAUGGAAAGUGUUGAGAGCUCUAAGUCAUUUUCGUUGGUGGGAAAAGUAUGUCUAUCAAAAUGUUUUUAUCUCUCAAUUUUCGCUUUGAGCUCUGCCACCUCUACAAAUCCCUACUUCCCUCUGGGAAGGGCCUUUCUUUUACUUUAUGCAAUUUUUAUUUUGAAUUUGAGUCUCCAUCUUCUCUUAUAAAGCACCAACUAGGAGGCACUAUGAUCAUACUUGAGCACUGGGUGUAGCUAAUAUGCGAGUGUGUUAUGAAUGGAUCAAUGAUUGAGCAUAAUGGGCUACGCAUAACUUAUUUUAGCGUUGAUAUUCUGAAAGACAUGGUUGCUUGUUGAUAUGCUUGAGUAUUUAAAUCUCAUGUCAAAACUAGACUAUUGCUUUGAACCAUAUAAAAGUCCAAAUGUCCAUAAUAUAAAAAAAGAAUAUGUGAUGAAUAUGUUAGGCAGCAUUCCACAUCAAAAAUUCUGUUUUUAUAAAUUACCUACUCGAGGACGAGCAGGAAUUAAGCUUGGGGAUGCUGAUACGUCUCUAAUGUAUCUAUAAUUUAUGAUUAUUUCAUGUUGUUAUAUUAUCAUUCUUGGAUGUUUUACAAUCAUUUUAUAGUCAUUUUAUAUCAUUUUUUGGUACUAACCUAUUGACAUAGUGCCAAGUGCCAGUUGUUGUUUUCUGCAUGUUUUUUACAUCAUAGUAAAUCAAUACCAAACGGAGUCCAAACGCCGCGAAACUGCUACUAAGGAUAAAACGAUGGGGUAUAUUUCUACAUAAAUAGAUCUUGUCUACAUCAUGUCAUCGUUCUUAUUGUAUUACUCCGUUUCUCCAUGAACUUAAUACACUAGAUGCAUGCUGGAUAGCGAUCAGUGUGUGGAGUAAUAGUAGUAGAUGCAGGCAUGAGUUGGUCUACUAAUCUUGGAUGUGAUGCCUAUAUAAUGAUCAUUGCCUGGAUAUCGUCAUGAUUAUUUGAAGUUCUAUCAAUUGCUCAACAGUAAUUUGUUCACCCAUCGAUUGCUAUUUUUCUUGAGAGAAGCCACUAGUGAAACCUACGGCCCCCGGGACUCUUUCUCAUAUUAUUUGCCUUUGCGAUCUAUUUUAUUUGCCUUUUAUUUUCAGAUCCAUUAAACCAAAAAUACAAAAAUACCUUGCUACAAUUUAUUUAUUUGGCGUUCGAUCUAUCAAUAUUUACAAUUCUCUCACGUCCGUUUGCCAAUUUCUGGCGCCGCUACCCGAAAGGGAUUGACAACCCAUUUUACAUGUCGAGUUGCGAGUAUUUGUUAUUUAUGUGCAGGUGUUGUUUACGUAGUGUUGCUUGGUUUUCCUACUGAUUCGAUAACCUUGGUCUCAUCACUAAGGGAAAUACCUACCAUCGUUGUGCUGUAUCAUCCCUUCCUCUUUGGAGAAAUACCGACGUAGUUCUAGCAGGCAUCACCAAGCAGCAGGUUCAAAUGCUCCCGACGCGUUGCUCAGAUCUCGCCUGGGCCGACGGCCGACGGCGGCGGAUGAACCACUGCCGGAGAAACUUUCUUGUUCUUCUUACGAGUAAUUUUCGUCCAACCGUCUGAUGAAAAAAAUCUGAUAACGUGAUUUGUGGCAGAUUCACCUUUGGAAGGGGACCUUUCCAAGGUUUGAUCUUCAUCGUCGAGGAUUUGCAGAGAGCCACAGGUCGUGGUUAUGCGAUCUUCUUGUCUUUGUGCCCCUCACGAGGCAUGAGUUUCAUGAGUGAUUCAGCGAUUGGUGUUGUGUACUUUGACAGCUCCUUGGGUGACUCUUGGCCCGUGGCUCCAGGUGAUCUUUGCUCUGCAAUGCCAUCUUCUUCAUCUUCAUCAUCUGCCAGGAUCCAAAACCUUCCUCCGAUCUUCGGCUUCGGUAUUGGGCCUCCCGGUUCCGAUGUUAGAUCGAUGACCUCUAUCUGAUCCUCCCCGUCCAAAGCCUCCUGCAAGCAAUCUAAAACAAGGAUUUCGAAAACAUCGAUAUUCAAAUGCGUACAUGCGUGGAUCUGCUCGUCAACGCCCAAGUACCAUCCGGCAAGGAUAUCAUGAUCCUGAUCUCGCACCGUUGUCCAUCGCGACAAUGAGUGCUCGUAUAGAAAUCCAUCCCUCCAUGUCCCGGCCAUCCGGCCAUCCUCGAAGUGGAUGCGCCAUCUGACCAGAUCCAAAUGCCCCUCGGUUCGAUCCUGAUCCAACUCGGAAUUGGAUCCGCGAGAGUCCUCUGAAGACGGCGCCUGAUUUGACCGCGCGGACACUGGCUCUGGCGGUGGCGGUGGUUCCGGUGCGGCCCCUGGCGUCGGCAGUGGCGGUGGUUCCGGUGGAGGCGGCAAGGUCGCCACCCCCUCCCCCACCCUCACGCGAGGCCAUUCCUAAUGGAAUUGCAAAGAUGCAAGCACUGGUGGUGGAAGACGUCAUGGCCAUCUUUGGAAAGGCACUGGAGAGGAUUGACGACGUUGAGAAGACAAUUGACACCAAGUUGGACGCCAAGUUCGAUGAAGUACUCGUGUGUCUUCCACAACCACCACCUGCAUCUGCUACUGAGGAUGGUGGGUAUGAGUCCGCUAGUGACUAUGAUGAGGAGACUUUGGCUCUUAUUACAAGUGAACAACACAGUGGAGAUGAUUCUGAUAAUGAGACGCAAUACAUGGCUGUUGAAGAUGCUGACAAGUAUGAAAGUUUAGUUGCUCAACAUGUUUUGAGUGUGCAGGUCACACAAGCUGAGCAAAAUCAGAGGCAUAAUUUGUUCCAUACAAAGGGAGUUGUGAAGGAAUGUUCUGUCCGUGUCAUCAACUUGGCUAGCAUGGAGAUGGUGGAGAAGCUCUCUCUCAUCACAAGACGACAUCCGCAUCCUUACUACAUCCAAUGGUUCAAUAACAGCGGCAAGGUUAAGGUAACAGGUGCCGAUUGUGUGCAUUUUAGUAUCGCUACAUAUGCUGAUUUUGUUGAUUGUGAUGUGGUACCCAUGCAAGCAUGUUCCUUAUUACUUGGUAGACCAUGGCAAUUUGAUAAAAAAAAUUGUACACCAUGGUAGAAACAAUCACUAUACUCUUGUUCAUAAGGAUAAACAUAUUACUUUGCUUCCUAUGACUCCUGAUUCCAUUUUGAAAGAUGGUAUUAAUAGAGCUAGUAAAGCAAAACAGGAGCAAAAUAAGAGUGAAAAUUAGCUAGUGGCAAAAGAAUUUGAGCAACAAAUGAAACCUAAUAAUAAACCAUAUAGUGUUGCUUCUGAAAUUAUAUUGAAAAGUGGAUGUUUACUUGCCACCAAAUCUGAUAUUGAUGAUCUAGAUUGUAGCAAAUCUGUUUGUUAUGCUUUUGUGUGCAAAGAGGCAUUAUUUUCAUUCGAGGACGUGCCUUCCUCUUUGCCUCCUGCUGUCACUAACAUUUUGUAGGAGUUUGCUGAUGUCUUUCCACAAGACGUGCCACCGGGAUUACCACCUAUUCGAGGGAUUGAGCAUCAGAUUGACUUAAUUCUCAGUGCAUCACUAACCAACUGUGCACCAUACCAUACAAAUCCAGAGGAAACGAAGGAGAUUGUGCGUCAAGUACAGGAGCUGCUCGACAAAAGUUAUAUACGCGAAUCUCUUAGUCCCCGUGUUGUUCCUAUUAUACUAGUGCCAAAAAAGGAUGGCACGUCGCGUAUGUGUGUUAAUUGUCGAGGCAUUAAUAAUAUUAUUAUUCAUUAUCGUCAUCCUAUUCCUAGGCUAGAUGAUAUGCUUGAUGAAUUGAGUGGCUCUACAAUAUUCUCCAAAGUUGAUUUGCGUAGUGGAUACCAUCAAAUUCGUAUGAAAUUAGGAGAUGAAUGGAAAACAGCAUUUAAAACUAAGUUUGGAUUAUAUGAGUGGUUAGUCAUGCCUUUUGGGUUAACUAAUGCACCUAGUACUUUCAUGAGAUUAAUGAAUGAAGUUCUACGUGCUUUCAUUGGACGAUUUGUGGUAGUCUAUUUUGAUGAUAUACUGAUUUAUAGCAGAUUUUUGGAGGAACAUUUGAAACAUUUACAUGUUGUUUUUAUUGCUCUACGUGAUGCACGUUUGUUUGGUAACCUUGGGAAGUGCGCCUUUUGCACCGACCGAGUAUCUUUUCUUGGCUAUGUUGUUACUCCACGGGGAAUUGAAGUUGAUAAAGCCAAGAUUGAAGCUAUUGAGAGUUGGCCGCAGGCCAAAAGGGUCACACAAGUGAGGAGUUUUCUUGGCCUCGAUGGAUUCUACAUGCGUUUUGUGAGAGAUUUCAGCACCAUUGCUGCACCUCUUAAUGAGCUUACAAAGAAGGAUGUGUCUUUUAUUUGGGGUACCGCAUAGGAAGAAGCCUUCACGGUAUUGAAAGAUAAGUUGACACAUGCUCCUUUACUCUUGGAGAUUGCUUAGAAAGGCCUUGCCUACGGGUUUGCGAGCUGGUCGUUUUUUCAUUCAUAUUUCUAGGGUCAAAACUUCCGCUUGGAGAUUGCUUAGAAAGGCCUUGCCUACGGGUUUGCGAGCUGGUCGUUUUUCCAUUCAUAUUUCUAAAGAUUGUUGUCGUUGUGGCCAGCAAGAGGAUUAGUUCCAUCUAUUUUUUUUGUGCAACUUCUCCCGUGUGGCUUGGUUUUCCUCUCCUUGGUUCCUUCGAUCCGAUGCUUUAAUUCAGGGCCAUUCCACUAUGCAUUAUGUUCUUUUUGACUUGCUUCGUAUGGGACAUCUCAUGGUUCUAUCUCUAGUGUUUUAAAUUUUUUGUGGUGUCUCUGGAAGGCUAGAAAUGAUUUUCUCUUUGAUAGAAAAGAGGCUCUCCCCCACCAAGUUCAUAUUGCAGCUCUUGCUUUAGCUUCUGAUUCUUAUGAUAAUCUUUCAUGUUUACCUUCGAAGCAAGAACAAGCCCAUAAUCAAUUGCCUCCUAAUCAGCUCCCUAUGCAAGGUAGAACGCUUACGACAGAUCUGUUAAUUGUUGGCCCUAAGAUCUAUUCUGAUGCUACUUUUAGGACCAAGAAAGUUCUAGGUUUGUUGCAAGGAGAGGUUGCUACAGGUGUGGGAGUGUAAAUCUAUAUGCCCUUCAACCAAAAGGAAAUUAAUGUGCAAGUUCAAGCUUCGGCUUCUCCUACUUCUACUCCUCUGCAAGCUGAAGCAUUGGCUCUUUCUUUUGCUGCUCAUCUUGCUUCUCAACUCAAUAUUGCGCAGCCCAUUUUUCUUUUGGAUUGUCUUGCUUUAGCUUUGGUUGUUGCCUCAGGUAAUAUUUGUGAUUCUACCACCCCUUGGAAUAUUAGAAAGUCUUUGGCUAGCUUUUUCAAAUGCACAUCUAAUCUGCAUCCGUGUGUGUUUCAUAUUUCUAGAGAAAUCGGUAUUGCUCAUAAUCUUGCGCAACAGGUUUUUCUUUCUGAUGGGCACACUCAACUCUCUUGUUUUGCUUCUACUCAUUCUCAAGUUUCUUGUCAUGUGCUGCCCCUUCUUUCAAAUUUUCAGAUUCAGGAUUUUAGAAUUCAUACUAUACAUUGCUACUAACAGUCUUGUUGUGCAUGGAUCUUCUGCUUCUCUUCACAGUGUUGUUGUGCUGGCUUCUAUACUCUCUCUCUCUCUCUCUCUCUCUCUCUCUCUCCCUCCCUCCCUCCCUCCCUCCCUCCCUCCCUCCCUCUCUCUGGAUGCGCCUUUGCCAGAUUAAGGAUGGUCUUCUUCAACCUGCUAGUUCACAGGAGAAGGAAGCAUCUUUCAUGUUGUGCAUUUUGCAGAGUUUGCCAAGCUGGGGCAGUUGACGUCUUAAGCUCUGCAGGAUUAAAUUUAGAGGCUUGUAUUACACCUGCCUUGGGGUGCUUCAGUACACUUUCAAGUCAUCUUCGUUUGCACACUCGUUGGUUUAGGCUAUCUAUUGCCUGCUUUUCUGUUCUUCUGAUCAUGUUGUUCAUCAGUUGGGGUUUUUUCCCUCCCUGUCUUCGAGGAUAGUUCUUCAACUCACAGCCUUAGAUUCUGCUUCUCUUUCUUUUAAUUUCUUGGCAGGUCUAUGUAAUGCUUGAUGUACUCUGUCAAUAUUGACACCUGUUGGUGCCUUCUCUUGUUCAAAAAAGAAAACAGCCUUAGAAGUACUUCAAUCCGGUUUCUAUUGGCCAACUUUUUAAAAUGCUUUGUCACUUAAUUACAAUUCUGGUUUUUAGGCAAAAGUUCCAAUUUUGCUGUUAAUAAAUAUAGGAUUAGCAAGAUCUAGUCAAGUUCAUCUCAGGACAUUAGUAUAAGGUGUUUGUCUAUGGAUCACCGAAGUCCAUAGUGGAGGCCCCAAUUGGUCAAAUUGGUCACAUCCAUGGAACGGAGCAAAUAUUUAUAAGUUGCAAUUUCUUGCAUCUCCAAAAAAGAUGUAGUUCCGUGUGAAAUUUAUUGUACAACAUGUUUGCAUACAUGAUAUAGUACAACAAAUUUCAUCACAGCACCAUAACUGGCACUGAACUAAUAAGAAUGCUUUGGACAACUGCAGAGUUCCACAAGUUGACAAGCAAAAUACAAGAUACCAGUAUCGCAGCAUAUAGUACAAAUGAAACAUCCUAUAAGUUUAUGACACGACAAAAAUCUGGAUUGACAAUGGAAACUACUUUCCUGUUUAGAUUUUAUGCACCUGAUGCAUAGUUACUUGUUAAUGUUACAAAUGACCAACUCACAUCCAUGUUUUGAGACCCCUCCCCACCUACCAAAAUGUACCAAGAAUCGCAACAAACGCCAUACCAAACUGAACAGAAAUCAGAACCAGGAAGUUACAAACGAUGAUCAAAGUUAAUGAUGGCAUUGCUUGCUCGCACACCCACAGAUUAACAAGGAAAAUGGCAGCCAAACAUCAACAGUUCAGCUCCAAAAUUCGAGCACAGCAAUUGAAUAAACUGGCAUCCCCCCUAAAGCAACAAUCAGAACACAAUGAGAAAAAGGUAGACCACAGAAGUUUCCCCACUUUAGCUUUGAGACUGUUGAGGUUGUUGCCUUGUCAAUAUGCAGGAGGCCCUCACAUCAACUUCCACAUUCUUCCUGGCAAGCAAAAAUGUUUGCACAACUGGACAACUGAUAAUAUCAAAUCAGACCUGCACAGUAAAACUCAUAAGUAGUCUUUGGUGUUACUGAAACUGCUUCGAGCCUGCAAUGACCUCCGCAGGCUAGCCAAAACCUUUACACUUCUUCAACUUCCCAACCAAUUUCAUCCAUAUCCAACCAAUUAGGAGUGUGAGGCCUGUUAAUGGGAAAGACAGUUCUAGAACAGUUCAGCAAAGGAAGUAGCUGUAAACAUAUCAUGAUUUGUUUUAUUUUCUCAUCAAAUCAUCAUUCCAUCAUAUCAACAGAGCCAAAUUACCAGGUCACAUACAUCUUGAAAAUAGAUGAAAAAUAAAAAUAAACUUGUGGUACAUCAGAACAUACUCCGAAUACAUGACACUUUGACUUCAUGAAAAAUCUACUAAUUUCAAUGAUAUGACAGUAAUUCUUUCUAUAUUGAUGGUCAAACCUGAAAAGUUUUGACUGCCACAAAUUCUAGAACUAUAACUAAUAUGAAUGGCCAGAGUAAUUGUUUGAUUGGACGAAACUCACCAAUCGUACUGGCUACUAUAGUUUAUACAAGCUUUAACUUGAUAAACAUCGAAGGCGGCAAAGACGCGGGAAGCAAAAAUGCUCUGAAAAAACCAUUGCAUCUGCACCGAUGACCAGCUUAUACGAGAGAUAAAACGGAACCAUGUGUUGGCUCAAGGGGGUGGAGGGUUAUGAAAUAUGAGGACAUGCCGCUGGCACCAGAUUCAAAAUUCUCUGCAUGACGGGGGAAAAUUGCAUAUACUUGACAGCAGUUUUUGCUUAAACCACUCAAGCACAAUUCAGUUUUUACUGCUGAUCAACCCACACUGGCCAUAUUAAAUUUCAGAUACGGAAC
rnacentral:lncRNA from 1 species